UAUUUUUGGUCCAAGACUCGGGGUACGUUUUGGAUAACAUUUGGGUCAGUACCUGUGGCCCUUUUUUAAUACGAAGCCCACGAAGGGUGGCGAAGUCUGGCAACACGCGAAUUGGAGUUGUGCAAGGAUUCUGAUACCUCGCGGGAUUCGAUGUCCUCGCGGGAUCCUUUGUUCCAGUUCGUGUAGGAUUCUACAGUGCAUGGCGAGGUAGAAUUGGAAAUGGAUUGUAGUACUCCGCGGGAUAGGAUCGUUUAGUGUUUGAGUUCGCGUACGACGCUACAGUGAGAUGAUGCGGGGCGGUAAGCAAGACCUAGGCGAGGUUUGUUCUGGACACGUGUUGCAUGAAUCGCGCGGCUCGCGAGCUGGUCGUAUCCUUGUGGGAUUCUAAUUGCUGAGUCCGAAUGGAUUGUGAUUAGGUCUAUGCGAAUUGCUAUAUAAGGGAACUUGACACAAAUCAAAGACACACAAUCAAUCAUACAAAACAACUGCAAAUCUUCAAGCAUCCUCGAAACCCUAAGUUCUAAGUGCACCUCGUCUUAGAUCUCAGAGCCCGUCUGGACUCGCCUCUCCUUCCUAAUUGUUGCUCUGCUCGCUUCGAACAGUGAGUAUCGAUUCACAGGUGACUAGAUAGUUUGCUCGUAAUUCCUCGCCCGCGAGGUGACACCGGAGCUCUACUUCGCCUGAUUAGAAGUCAAGAACGCGCACCGUUCUCGUUCCGCGUCCGCGCGGUGGCACGCCCUGCAAACCCUAAUUUACUUUUGGUAGCACAAGUUACCUCUCUACCCCUGCUGAGGAUCGUGGCCAAAACAUUUGGCACGCCCAGUGGGACCGGGAGUAUAACAUUCUCGUCAUCAUUGGGAAGUCAGGCAGAUCCCCAUACGGGAGACCCUCGAUUUCUUGUUUGAAACACAAAUCACCGCGUUACCAGCCUCAUAACAGCGCGGCCUGUCGCUCACUCACGAAAGACCAAGUAUUAACUCGGUUCGGAAACCCAGAUUUUAGCGAACCUACGAUGGCAGAACUAACACCUACUAGCAGCACUGGCCCCGUCACUCUAGCUGAAGACCAGAUAACGGCCCUGGUCGACCGCCUAACGGCUCACACCGACCAGGCAACCCGCCAAUUGCAGGAGGGUCUUGACUCCCUCACCCUGACUGUUAAGAAUCUAUCUGAAGUAGUCAUGAAGGAUAGAGAUAUCUGGCUUGCUAACCAAGAAAACCUUUCUAGGCUCAGCGAGGACUUUAACUUCCAUGCCGGUCAAGUCAGGGAGGACAAAGAUUUGGUGGAAGGUUCCCUUCAAAGGAUCCAAAAAGAACUGGAUCAGAGCAAGGUGACUUUCACAGAAACCAUGCAGCUUACCCGCGCAAUCGUGGAUGAGCAAACCCGUCGCUUGGACGAGCAUGAUACCAAGCUACAAUUGCAGCAGGACGCUUCCUUCUUUGGAAGUAAGAAUGACAUAGAAAAGCUCGAGAAAUAUAAGGAGCAACAUGAUAACUUGAGCUUAAGGGUCCUGCAAGUGGAAGACUGGAUGCGGUCUCAGGCACCAAAGAAUCAUGCUAUGAACUUAAUUAGUUCAAGUGCAACUGAGGGAUCAAGGUAUAUUCCACCUAAUGAACGCCCUAGGGGGAAUCCGAAGAUCGGGGCCCAGAAGACUCCCCAAUUCACAUUGGGAGCCAGUUCGUCAAAAACACCACCCCUUCUACCCACGACAGGCAACCCUAGAGUCGCACUUGGGGGCGCCGGUGUCUUCCCAUCCCAAGGGAUCGGGACACCAGAUGACUCAGUUAUAGCUUAUUCCAGUUCGACCCCUAAAAACAUCGGGCAGGCCCCUAGCCUCUCUGCAUGGCACAGCCACGAUCAGGGGGCAAAAUACACACCAGUAACGGCAGCCGAUUGGCGCCAGCUCAUCUCGAGCAUAGUCAAGGAGCAAACCGGAAAAGGUGAUGCUAGCUUGCAUUAUCGUGAUCCCUAUCCUGAUAGCGUGGCACAAUAUCCCUUCCCUCAUGGGUUUAAGAAUAUUGUCUUCACCACUUUCUCCGGGGAGACAAGGGAAGAUGCAGCAACACACAUGGCCCUUUUUAAGGUCCAAUGCGGCCAAUACGGGAAUGAUGAUAUGCUCAAACUCAAACUCUUCGGGACUUCUCUGUCCGGGGCUGCUUUCACCUGGUACUCCAGAUUGAAGCCUGAGUCAAUAGCAGAUUGGCCCACUAUGAAAAGACUCUUCCGAGAAACAUACGGCACGAUUGAGCCUGAAGUUGGCCUCGACUCCCUCACACAGAUGAGCCAGCAGAGCAUGGAGUCCAGAGUUUCUUUCCUCCAACGCUUCAAGAUCCAGCAAGCCAAGUGUGAUUACCUGCUACCUGAGCAGGAAGCCAUUAAGUUGGCUAUUAGAGGUCUGGAGCACCGCCAGCGGUUGAAGCACCAUGGAGAGCGCUUUAAUUUCCAUGGGUGACCUGAUUAACAAAGUCGGCAGCUACGAGCUAAUCCUGAACGAGUUGGACGACAAAACAAAUGGUUCCAAAGGAACUUACAUACCAGGGAAAAACCGGAUAGUGGGGGCACUAAACAUACAAACCCCUACUCAUGAUCUAUAUUAUCAAAGACCUGAGGGAGUUCAUACGAAUCAGGACCUAGAUGACAUUGGCGCAGUAGAAUUGACUGGCAAGCCAUUAGCUCAUAAGUUGAAAAACCUGAAGAUGACACGUGAGCCAAUCACCAUCCAGUCCUUUGCAUGGACCAAACCGGAGUACGAGUCAUACACCUAUGAUGCUAAGAACGCCCAUCUGGUCUUUAAUGACCUAAUCAAGGCAAGAUACGUGCGCUUGGAUCACAAGAUACCGCCCAAGGAGGAGCUGAAAGACAAGAAGUACUGCGCCUUCCACAAUGUUUACAAUCAUGACACUAAAGAUUGUGUCAAGCUUCGAGACCAGCUGCAGACAUGGCUGAACUCAGGCGAACUAAAGAUGAAAACACCGGGUAGUACGGCCUCGUUGGUUGAUAUAGACCCUUUCCCGCCUGUAGUUGGCAUGGUCGAGGUAAACUGGGCCAAUCAGACCAAGGACGACGAUCGACGCCGGGCACCUAAAAGGGGUCGCGAGGAAGGUGACGACAGUGCCCGCCGGCCACGUCGCCAAUACACCUACAACGAAGAUCUUGCACAUGAGGUUUUAAACGAUCUCAUCGACGAUGGGCUUGUCACAGUGGCCAAUUCCUUGCCUUACGUAGAAUAUAAGGAGGGGCGCAAUCACUGCAAGUUUCAUAAUAGUUGGGGGCACAGAACCAGCGAAUGCCAGCAGCUUAGAGACCAGGUUCAAGACUGGCUCGACCUCGGGUAUAUUCGCUUUGAGAAUAAGGGCGACUUCAUGAUCGCAACGGCUGACUUCGCUUGGCCUCGAGUUACCCAGCGAAGAAUCACAUUAGACUUGUCACCAAAUGCAGGUUUACGUGAACCGUCGGGCCGAAAUCGCAAACGGCCGGCGAAUAACUAUACUGUCCCGAAUAACCAGCAGGGGAAAGCAGACGACCCAGCUCGACAGUUGGUCGCUAAGCUCGAAACAGACCGCUCCUCCCGCAAAGAUAAGGGCAAAGCAAUCAUGAGGGACGAUGGACCGUUCCCCGUUGAAGAUCCCCAGCCUAUGAGUCCCAGGACUCGAGAAGAGCUGGAAAGGAGGAUAGAGCGUCUCGAGACGUUCGUCUAUACACGUUGGGCAGAGGCGGUACCUUCAUCCCCUGCCACAAGUGAGAUGGACAUGUCAGACUCCAGCGGUGAGCGUCACAACAACGAGGCCUCGAGCCUUCGUAAAGGUGUCCUAACCGACCCCUAUAUUCCCCCGACGUCCAAAUCAGCAAUCAAGGAUGGAGUCUGGUACACACAGCAAGAGGGCAAGGCAGUUACCAUCAGCAGGGCUAAGAAGCGAAAUCUCCAAAAGCGAUACGGUAGUAUCCUAUGUGCCUUACGGGCUGUCGAAGAGGGCGCUGUACGCCCCUCACAGCUCGCACAGACGCAUGAGCGGAUGUGGAGGGAAGCAGAGGGUUUGCGCGCAUUCCUUCAAAUGCUGCCAGUCACACCCCCAAGGAUUUGCGAGCAGUUCAGCGAUGAGCCUGCACCCAAAGCAAACGUCUUUUGCCGACUCGCGGUUCCACCAAAGCAGGAUCCACAGCCUUCCAGGCGCAGGCCAUCACCAGAACCUGAAAGAAGAAGGGAUCCACAGCCUGCUAGGCCCAAACCGUCACCAGAGCCUGAAAAGAGGAGGGAUCAACAGCCUUCCAGGCACAGGCCGCCACCGGAGCCCGAGCGGAGAAAGACUCCGCCUACCGGUCCCAGGCGUAAGCUGUUCACAACCUCGGACCUAGAGUCCAAACGCGAACCGUCUCAGCCCUCACGGCAACGAGAACGUCAAAAUCCGGAGGCCAAUAUCAGAAGGGAGCCACCACCACCACACCAGCCUCGGGCACGAUCUACCCCGGAGCCCGAGACUCGGAUAGUUCCCCGAGUAUCCGCCCUACAACGGUUGAAAAAAGAAGACAACGAUAAGGCACGGUUGAAAAAAGAAGACAACGAUAAGGCUCCUCUGGCAACAGACAAACAACCAGCCAAGGACCAUCAGCCUUCAACCAAGUCAGUAUGGCGUCCGUGGCAACCCGAGGCUCAAGAGCCACCAAUAGCCGCACAGGCGCUUUCCAGUCCUAACCUCGCCCAACAAAUGGCCCAGCGUUUCCGCGAGAAUUCAGAAGACGAUGAGGCACAUUCAGAACCUCGACUUAACCUAGAGGAAGACCGGGACGAAGGGCAGGCAGAAUCAUUCACCUGUAAUAUGAUAGAGAUCUCAGGAUGGGGUGCUGAUGAAGGGUUUAGCAGCGAAGCAGACGCUUUCGCGGUGCUCGAAGAGGAACACGGGAUCAUUGACACUCCCUUGGUCCCAGUUCCUGAACAAUCCUCCUUUCAAGUAGGGAUGGUGUUCUUCAUUUCGGAAAGAUACGCUCUCCCACCAAACACAACCUGCAGUGCGGCGGAUAUUCCCGUCAGCAGCGAGGAUGUCAGUAGCAUACCCCCGGCAUGCAGCAGCGAAAUGGGCCCAGUUCCGGCACAAGCCGACGAUGCCUCACAGGUGGAAAUUACGAGCAGCAUCAAACAUAAGCAAACUCUAACCUUCUCCACACCAACUUUGGACAUGGCCACUCACAUGCGGCCACUGUAUAUCACGGCCGAAGUCGAAGGAAAAAUGAUCAACAAGGUCAUGGUCGACACCGGUGCCGCGGUCAAUGUUGUCACAACCCGUACCAUGGGACUCCUAGACAUCCUGCGCUCGAUGAUCCAAACCACGUCCUUAACAGUCAAGAACUUCACCGGGCAAGUGUCCAGAACCCUAGGCUUGCUAUUCCUACGGGUCAAGGUCGGGCCGGCAUCACGGGUUUACACCUUUUUCGUCGCUGAAUGCGCUUCCUCUUACAGCAUGAUUCUUGGCCGAGAUUGGAUCCACAGAAGUUUUUGCGUGCCUUCCUCCAUACACCAAGAACUCAUGUUUUGGGACGCCGAGAACCGUGAAGUGGUCAUCAUCAAAGCCGACCCGCGGCCAUUCUCUAUCUCCGCCAACUUCAACGAUGCCUGAUAUUAUACUACAGACUUGGGUCCGUUGGAUGUUCAAGGCGUCGAUAACAAGGGCCACCCAUAUGGAAUAACGGCCUCUAAUCUAACGCGAUGGGGACUUACCCAGGCGAAGGACGAUUUGCAACGUCCUCACACCAUCGCGAGUUCCACACCCCAUUCUGAUGAAUAGUGCCUUCUCAGAGGAGGCACACGAGGCUGGCGAGUCCUUGUUGUGCGAAAGACUCCUUUCGUACUGGGCAGAACGCGAAGCCUACGACAAGGUCGCGACUAUGGAAUAUGUAGAUGAAGUGGUGGAUUAUUCCGAUACCAAGGAGGAAGUUAUUCAUUUAGCUCCCGCCGCCUUGGACGACACACCACCUCAAGUCCGCGACCCCAUUUCACAAGUUGACGUAGGGACUGCAGAAAAGCCCUUACUUAUUUCUAUCAGUGCUAAGUUGGCGGAAGACGAAAAUGAAGCCCUUCUUGCCCUGUUAUGUGAGUACAGGGAUUGCUUCGCCGACAAAUACGAAGAUAUGCCCGGCUUGUCCCCGGACUUGGUCUGCCACCGGUUACCAACUUAUCCCGACCGACGUCCAGUACAGCAGGACGGCCGGUUCAUGCGAACUGAGACUCAGAUCGUAGUCAAGGAAGAGAUCGAAAGCAUGCAUCGAUCGGGCAUCAUUCGCGUGGCAAAGUAUAACGAGUGGCUGUCCAAUGUUGUCCUCGUUCGCAAGAAAAAUGGCAAGAUGCGCGUUUGUGUUGAUUACCGCGACCUAAACAACGCAACACCGAAGGAUAUAUACCCCAUGCUUGUGGCUGACCUACUCAUUGAUGCCGCCGCGGGGCACGAGGUGUUAUCCUUUAUGGACGGAACGGCCGGAUACCAUCAGAUUCCCGUCGCUGAGGAAGAUCGACACAAGACCGCUUUCCGCUGCCCUGGUUUUGCCGGCGCGUUCGAAUAUGUUGUCAUGCCUUUCGGACCUAAAAACGCAGGGGCAACGUACCAGCGCGCCAUGAACCUCAUCUUUCAUGACAUCUUGGGGAAGUUGAUCGAAGUAUACAUCGACGAUGUGGUAGUCAAAACCAAAACACGGGCAACCCACGUUGAAGACCUGCGGCAGGUGUUUACACGGAUGCGCCGACAUAACCUGAAGAUGAACCCCCGCAAGUGUGUUUUCUCGCGGAGGCCGGCGAUUUUCCCUCUUGGUUUUCCUAGUGCAUCAAAGNGGCAUCGAAAUCCCAAAGGCAAGGCACAGGCGNNNNNNNNNNNNNNNNNNNNNNNNNNNNNNNNNNNNNNNNNNNNNNNNNNNNNNNNNNNNNNNNNNNNNNNNNNNNNNNNNNNNNNNNNNNNNNNNNNNNNNNNNNNNNNNNNNNNNNNNNNNNNNNNNNNNNNNNNNNNNNNNNNNNNNNNNNNNNNNNNNNNNNNNNNNNNNNNNNNNNNNNNNNNNNNNNNNNNNNNNNNNNNNNNNNNNNNNNNNNNNNNNNNNNNNNNNNNNNNNNNNNNNNNNNNNNNNNNNNNNNNNNNNNNNNNNNNNNNNNNNNNNNNNNNNNNNNNNNNNNNNNNNNNNNNNNNNNNNNNNNNNNNNNNNNNNNNNNNNNNNNNNNNNNNNNNNNNNNNNNNNNNNNNNNNNNNNNNNNNNNNNNNNNNNNNNNNNNNNNNNNNNNNNNNNNNNNNNNNNNNNNNNNNNNNNNNNNNNNNNNNNNNNNNNNNNNNNNNNNNNNNNNNNNNNNNNNNNNNNNNNNNNGAAGUUGCGGCCUUGGACCCUAUCGACGAGGAUUGGCGGCUACCAUUUAUCGCCUACCUCCAGAACCCCAACGACUCCGCUCACUCCAGGCAAAUACGUUUCCUCGCCUUAAACUUUGUUUUACGCAAUGGCGAACUCCGGCGGCGUGGGGAAGACGGAAACGAUUUCCGCUGCGUGUAUGGGAACGAAGCUAAACGUAUCAUGCGCGAAGUCCAUUGUGGGGUUUGAGGUUCGCACCAGGCCGGGCCCAAAAUGCGAUGGUUGAUCCGUCGCCAUGGGUACUACUGGCCAACCAUUCUGAAAGACUGUAUUGCCUUCGCCAAAGGUUGCCAAGACUGCCAGGCUCACGGACCAGUGCAACAUAUUCCCAACAUCUCGUUGCAGCCUAUCAUUAAACCUUGGCCGGGUCGCGGUUGGGCGAUAGAUUUCGUUGGCAUUAUUCAUCCCCAUUCUUUUGAGCAGCAUAAGUUCAUUAUCGUCGCCAUCGAUUUCUUUACCAAGUGGGUCAAGGCCGAACCACUCAAGGUUGCCUCCGCCAACUCGGUUCACAACUUUAUUUUCCGCAAUAUCAUCUCCCGCUUUGGUAUCCCGGAGUGCAUCGUUACGGACAGGGGGGCAGCUUUCAUGGCUGAUUCAGUUGUUAAGUACUUAAACGACUACGGAAUCAAGCUUCUCCACUCUACGCGAUAUUAUGCACAGUCCAACGGCCAGGCGGAGGCUAGUAAUAAGGUCAUCCUUGGCAUCCUCCGCAAGAUGUUGGAGUUGAACCCGCGUGUCUGGCAUGAGGAACUCUACCACACCUUGUGGGCCUACCGCACUUCAAAGCGCGGCCCGACGGAUACCACCCCGUACGCUCUCAUGUACGGUCAUGAUGCCGUCCUUCCCCUUGAGAUCAAUAUCGCUUCACUCCGCGUUCAGGAACAGCAUCAACUACUUGGCGAGGAUUACGUCCAAGCCAUGUGGCAGGAGCUUGAAGAUCUUGAUGAGCACCGCGUCACCGCUUUCAACAAUCUCGUCCUCGAGAAACAACGCAUCGCACGUUCGUAUGAUAAGGUCACGCGCGAACGGAGCUAUGCUGAGGGCCAGAAAGUGUGGCGCGCGGUACUCCCAAUUGGGGAAAAAACCGACGGUCGGGGCAAGUGGUCCGCUCGAUGGGAAGGCCCUUUUAUUAUUCAUCGUAUACUCCCCAAGGGGGCAUACCACCUGCGCGACUUGGACGGCACCAUUCAUCGCAAUCCUAUUAAUGGCCGCUUCCUCAAGCGCCACAUUGCAGGAGUUUGGGAACGCGAGGAUCCUCCACCUCCCCCAGACCCCGUCACCACAGUCAAUAGUGAUACGCGCCAUCGCGUUCUCGCUCCGCCGCCUAGCACUAGGGGGCAAUCCGGGAUAGAAGACUGAUAGAGUACGUUGUAACAUACCAGCCUAAAAAGGCCAGUAUAAGAUUGGGGCCUAUUCCAGAGGCCCUAAAAAAAAAGAUAACUCUAUUUUUCUUCAUUUUCUGUAAACGUGNNNNNNNNNNNNNNNNNNNNNNNNNNNNNNNNNNNNNNNNNNNNNNNNNNNNNNNNNNNNNNNNNNNNNNNNNNNNNNNNNNNNNNNNNNNNNNNNNNNNNNNNNNNNNNNNNNNNNNNNNNNNNNNNNNNNNNNNNNNNNNNNNNNNNNNNNNNNNNNNNNNNNNNNNNNNNNNNNNNNNNNNNNNNNNNNNNNNNNNNNNNNNNNNNNNNNNNNNNNNNNNNNNNNNNNNNNNNNNNNNNNNNNNNNNNNNNNNNNNNNNNNNNNNNNNNNNNNNNNNNNNNNNNNNNNNNNNNNNNNNNNNNNNNNNNNNNNNNNNNNNNNNNNNNNNNNNNNNNNNNNNNNNNNNNNNNNNNNNNNNNNNNNNNNNNNNNNNNNNNNNNNNNNNNNNNNNNNNNNNNNNNNNNNNNNNNNNNNNNNNNNNNNNNNNNNNNNNNNNNNNNNNNNNNNNNNNNNNNNNNAAUACAAGUUUCGAACAUCAGCUUUGCGGCCGAAGCAACUACAUUGACAGAAAUGGUGAAAUUAGACUAUGUUUACAUUUAGAAGCAUAGAUCUGCAGAUAUUGGAAGCCUCAACCCGUAUAUCUUGCAGGGUUGAAGAAGAGACUGCCGCCGCAUCCUUCAUUUAAAGUUGGCAAGCGCCCCGCUUUCAUAAACCAGCACGAGCUUUGACACCGGCCCGGACCUAAGACAAAUUGUUGGUAAGCUAGAGGUCCACUGGAACAGCAUCCCUCAUGCUACCGGUCAUGCCUGGAAGGUGCUUGAAUGGCACUGACCAGAACCUGAAGCGCAAGCGGAUGCGGAGCCCCGAGAACCUCACGUUUGGACAGAACAGCCGGUGCAAGGCAGAAGGUACCCGACCAUUAGCUUGUCCAAACAAAGGCUUGACCUGAGAGUAGAUUUUCAAAAUCACUCCCGGCCUGAGAGUAGAUUUUCAGAAUCAGAAAGAACGAAGAGUGAAAAUGUGAGGAGGGGGUUUUGCUUUAAGCAGGGAUAAGAGGAUGUACAGAAGGGUAUAAGAGCCCAUGGCAAGGGGGCAAAGACUUAACUGGUACUUCGCCCCGGCCAAGCGUUUCUUUUUAUAGGCGGAAAGAGUGUUUUUCCUUUCAACAGAUGUCCUCCAUACAGCGAUUUGCUCCGAGAUAUGAGCUUUGGAGAUAAGGUUGAACGCGUUGUUCCAUAAUGACUUCCCGCGUUCCAAGCGAGUAGUUGCAUUGGAAACCCCCACCAAAUCUUGGAAGAAGAUUUUUUCCUGGGAAGGCAGUUCUUACACAAGAGUUCACAAGAGCGGGAAAUGUUCGAUUUAAUAAUAAUAUUAUUAUAAAAGUUCAUACAAAGGGGGCAAAGCGCUGAUCGGGCCUAAACCCGCCUAGAAGCCCUAUACAAAUCUAUGAGAAGGCCUUCUAAGGCCAACUCUUCGACGUCUGCCUGGGCUUGGGCUUCGUCGGCAGCAGCAGCAGCCGAGUCCAAAGCUUCCUGGGUCUCUUCCGCGGCCUGCACAUGGGUUUCUGCCUCUUCAGCUCGGGCCAAGUUUUGGCGAGCUUGAGCAAGCUGAGCUUGCAGCUCCGCUAUCUGAACCUCCAGGGCCUCCACUUGCCGAGCAUAGACAGUGCAUGGGUUCUCUGACGAUGCCUCAGGGAUUUCAGCGUCAUCAAGCUCGGCUAAAAGGGCUGCCAUCUGAUCGUCUAAGGCUUGGCGGACUUUCUCGUGAGCAGCCGACUGGGCACCGACAUCUUGAACUCGGCGAGCCUGCAGCUCGACAGCGUCGGUGAGUUCCAACACAUGGUCUAGAGCAGGGUUGCUCCCAGCGAGGUGCCGAAUCAGAGCUUCAUGGGCCUCGCGGGCGCGCCUCACCAAGUCGAAUACGUUCAUGUGGGGACCUUGGCGCAGUAACCCGUGAAAGAAAGCCCGGGCCAGGCGAAUAGGCUCUGGAUCGGCAGGCGGGGUAAUCCGGGCCCGAAGACGAGCGGUCCGGGUAGCCAAAGAAGAAGCCGCCUCGUCAGAUGUUCUCGUUGGGGCCGGAGUGGUUGGUUCAACCUCUGCAACUGCCUCAAUCUCUGGAACGGGCGGUGGGACCUCAAACCAAGUAGGGACUGUCGGUUCUUCGGUGGUCUGGGCCGCUGAGUCUGGUUGCAAAGGAGAGGGCUCAAGCACCGGUUGAAGGUCCUUUGGCGGAACCGCCGAGGGGCAGCAAAAUCAGAAAGCCGGGUGGUCUGGCCGAGAUCUUCAUCUUGAGCAGGAGCCAAGGUAGGCUCUGGAGGCGGGCCAGUUUCGCCUAGAGCGUCGGUUGGAGAAGGGUCGCACGGUGACUUCCUCUGUAACCAUGGUUUGAUCCUCGACGAUUGGUUCCGGGAUUGGGACUUCAACUAUCGUUGUUGCUCCUUCAAUGACAGAGAGGCGAGGUCGGAUGCGGCGGCGAACCUGUCAAAUACAAAGUUAGCAAAUCGUUUGUUGGCUUUAAUGAGUUUGGUUCGAAGAAAGGUCGCUUACCAAAGCGUGCUCUUACCGAUAUCGUUCAUCCUCUAGCAGUUCUUCUUCGUCCUCGAUAGGGCGCUUCCGCGAGCCUUCGCCGCUUGUUGGCCGGGGAAUAGCGGGAGCAGUCUCACCGUCAUGGUCCGCCGCGGGCUCCUCUUGAGCAGGUGCUUUCCCUUUGUCUCCGGCACCCUCAGGUCUUCUGACCGAUCUCCGGCGGGGUGCAGACUGUAAAGGUAGACAGGAGAGUUAGGAGGAAGCAUUUUGUUGAAGUGGUAAAGGCGGUAUGGAAUUUACAUAGUUGGUGGCUUACCUCGGGUGCGGGAUCGCGUUCUCGAAUGACGAUCCCGGUCGAGUGAUGAGUAGCGGGAACCGGUGGGAGCGCAGGCCUAGACCAUGUCGCAGCCUUUGAACCGCUCUCUUCACGUUUGCGCUGGACAUCAAGGAUGACGCGGUCUGACUCGCCCAGAGUGUCGUAUAGAGGAUAAAAGAUGGCAGCAAAGACAGCAUCAUCUGGGAACCCCCAAUGGUUGUCGGACAAGGAUCGCCACCAAGAGAGAUAGGCGGGGUCAACGCCCAGUGAAGGCUCAAUCUCGAGCAAGUCAGGAGUGAGAGGGAAAAUGUUCUGCAGCGGGGUGACCCGGUCGGACUUGCCAAUCUUCCUCCAGGAGGUGUACUUGUUCACCGAAUGGAAGAGUGGAUAGGGGAUCCCUUGAAAGAAGCCAAGUUGUUUGGCGAAGUGGUUGGGGGCAUACAGCUCGAAGCCUUGUUCAUCCUCGGCGAGUUGAAGGUCGCAGCAUGAGGAUGCUCUCAUGAAGACGGUCUUGGCGUCUGAGUCCGAAUCAGAGCGCGGGAAGAAGCCCGUCGAUAAGACUUCAGGGUGGCGCCGGCGAACCAUCAUGUCUAUGGUGGGAGGCGGUUCGAGUUGGUUGUACAGGAUAGAGAGGCUGGCGAAGAAGGAUAGGGGAGUCCGGUUCGCAGCGUUCCUGCACACCGCAAAGCCAAGCAAUUGGUCCUUGGGCAGGAAUUCCAGCGGGGCUCGCCGGAAGAGCAGGAAGUACAGCUGCGUCCAUAAGUCCAGGAUCCACAGAGGGCCAACAGAGAGAUGGUAAGGUCUUAGGGACAGCAUGUGCAGGGUCCGGUAGAGCGCGCCCAGUACGGGCUGCCCUAGCCCUACUUCGAUCCCAUUGUAGAGUGCCUCGGCCAGCUUGGUCCAUUUCCCUGUAGGCUUGUGAGCACUGCCACAGAAUAUGAAUUUAUCAAGCCAGUACUCAAGGAAAGCGAUACCUCCUUCGUGUUGUUCUGCAUGGCCGAUGUAGAACUUCCUCCAUACUCCAUACGAGCCUUUCAGGGCGCGGCGGGCCCCCUGGUUGCAGGAGUGCGUAAACUCGGUCGAUGCAAAGUCAUCUGGCGCAUAUGGCUUUGCAUGAAUCGGCAGCCCGGUGAUGGCGAGGAUGUCCAGUAGAGAAAUGCCCAUUUGCCCGAAAGGAAAAUCGAAAGUGUUGGUGGCACUGUUCCAUAAGCAGGCCGCGGCAGCAAUGGGUGCUCGAUCAGCAUGAGGAGGCAGUGAGAAGCUCAAGGCAAUGGCUUCAUUGAUGCCGGUUGCUUCCCAGAUCGCUUGGUCGGUCUGGAGGCGAGCCGUGUACCAUGCCCGGUCCUCCGCGGUGACGCUGGGCCAUUCCCCGACCCGUAUAUUUGUAUGAGAGCGGGCUUGGUGGAACCAGGAGGCGAAGUUUCCCGGUUCGCGACGCUGGGUAAGGAUUGGUCGGCGCACGGAGGCGGUAUAGUGGUUUAGAUCAACGGCGGACGGAGGUUGUGAAGGAGUCGGACCGAGCAGGGCUGCCCCUGUUUCAAGGAAAUAGAUGGGUGUUCCUUGAGGAGGGUUGUUGGCAAAACGGCGAGCAAGGCCGGUCGACCAAGAGCUCGCCGCCGUGAGGUUAAGGUUUGGAUCGUUAGCGGUUGGUUUGGGAGCCAUUGUUUCUGGGCGGAGUGAGUCCAGUUGUGAAGUUCUGUUGGUUGCAGAAGAAAGGGAAAAGCUUGGUUGGAAAGCGAUGGUGAGAUGUGGGGACCCGCAUCGAGGUUUAUAAAGGAGACGGACCGUAACGUCUUUUCAAUUAGUAGCCGUAAUGAGGAGAUGCGAUGACGACCGAAACGUCAGCACGUUUCAAAUUUCAAACAGUCGCAAUGAUGAAAAGAAGCGAUGAUGCCGAAACGUCAGCACCUUUUGAAUUGCGAAUUCCCGUAAAUGGCUCAUUUAGGCCUUUUCGCUUAACCGUUGCGAAGUGGAUUAAGCUCAAGGCCUAGGGGGCAAUGUUUGAGCCCAGUGGGUAUUUUUGGUCCAAGACUCGGGGUACGUUUUGGAUAACAUUUGGGCCAGUACCUGUGGCCCUUUUUUAAUACGAAGCCCACGAAGGGUGGCGAAGUCUGGCAACACGCGAAUUGGAAUUGUGCAAGGAUUCUGAUACCGCGCUGGAUUCGAUGUCCUCGCGGGAUCCUUUGUUCCAGUUCGUGUAGGAUUCUACAGUGCAUGGCGAGGUAGAGUUGGAAAUGGACUGUAGUACUCCGCGGGAUAGGAUCGCUUAGUGUUUGAGUUCGCGUACGACGCUACAGUGAGAUGAUGCGGGGCGGUAAGCAAGACCUAGGCGAGGUUUGUUCUGGACACGUGUUGCAUGGAUCGCGCGGCUCGCGAGCUGGUCAUAUCCUUGUGGGAUUCUAAUUGCUGAGUCCGAAUGGAUUGUGAUUAGGUCUAUGCGAAUUGCUAUAUAAGGGAACUUGACACAAAUCAAAGACACACAAUCAAUCAUACAAAACAACUGCAAAUCUUCGAGCAUCCUCGAAACCCUAAGUUCUAAGUGCACCUCGCCUUAGAUCUCAGAGCCCGUCUGGACUCGCCUCUCCUUCCUAAUUGUUGCUCUGCUCGCUUCGAACAGUGAGUAUCGAUUCACAGGUGACUAGAUAGUUUGCUCGUAAUUCCUCGCCCGCGAGGUGACACCGGAGCUCUACUUCGCCUGAUUAGAAGUCAAGAACGCGCACCGUUCUCGUUCCGCGUCCGCGCGGUGGCACGCCCUGNNNNNNNNNNNNNNNNNNNNAUGGUAUCAGAGCCCAUGGUCGCGAUUUUGUGGCCUUGUGGCUUCUGUGAUUAGCUUAGCUUCCGCGUUUUGAUUCCAGUUUUUCAGUUUUCAGUUUCCCCAACUUCAAUUACCCUAGCUUUGCGUUUUUCCCAAACCCGUUCAUCAACGAUCCCAAACUCAAAAUCUUCGUCUUUGGCGCUAUAAUCUUCUCUUCCGGCGUGAGAUUGUCGAUACCCAGCCUUCUCUAAGACCUCUGGGCUUCGAUGUUCGUUCUCCGCGUCGUCACCUGCGCGGCUCGCCUCGUAUGGCUCUGUUCUUUGUUUGCGGGUUUUCUCCUUCAGAUCCUCGAGUAUGACGUCAGGGGAGGACUGUAUCAGUGUGAUGCAGCGAAUCUGUUCUCUGAGACUUGGUAAUCUUCGAGCCCUUUAUUUUGUCACUAUGUCUUUGCGCUGCAAUUCUUGUUGCUGAGAGUAUCUAGUAGACUAGUUGUUCAAUCUAUUUGCUCUGAAGGUGAAUGGGAGACGAAGAUGUGUAUAUUUUGAUAAAUCUGGUUGGGAAGAUGAGUAUUUUUAAGGUUGAAUAUUCCUGGGCUUAUUGUUCUGAUGGUGAUUAGAGAUGGUUAGGUCUUAUGACUGGAUUUUGUGUGCUUCUUUCUCUGCUGUGCGCUUCUAUGUGCUAAGUGGUUGGUGACAUUAAGUUGAUAGCUGCUGUUGUUUAGUGUUCUACCACAAUAUGUUUGAGAUACUGACCCUGCAACAAAACGUAUGUUUGGAAGUAGUAGUAAUGUAUGUGGAAUUGUAGUAUGGAGGUAGUAGCCUCUGUAUGAUCGUAGAGUUGUGGUAAUCACAACUAGCGGUAGUAGCCUCUGUAUGAUCGUAGAGUUGUGGUAAUCACAACUAGAGGUAGUAGCCUCUGUAGAACAAAGUGGUGCAGAAAAUAUUGUAGUGAGUCAAGGUUUCAAUUGAGAUGUGGAGGGAAACAUUAUUUUUUGCAGCAGCUUAUAUGUUUGGGGUAUGAACGCAUGGGAUUUGAUUACAGCAAGUUAAUAUUGGUAGAGAUAUGCAGUAUGUAGCAGUGUUCAGUCCUUGCAGUUAGUUUUUUCAGAUUCUUCAUUGGAUUGUUUGUUGCCUUGCUUCCAUGGAUUUUGUCUUCUCAGCUCUGUGUUGCCUCAAUGCUCUGCUGCAACCUACAAUCUUGUCAACUGACUGUGGAUGAUGUUCUCAUACUGCUAAGUGGCUGUUGGGUUUUGAUUUUUGGGAUGAUAAUCUUGUAAAUUGUUCUACAUCAUGUAUUGUGCUUCUUGGUCCAACCAAGCAUAUGGUUGCGGGGGGAUAGUUGAGUCAUUUACUAUUAUCCCUACCUAUAUAAAGCUAUGAGUUGUGUACACUGUUCAUCAAUUGAGAAAUACAAGAUGUAGACGUUUACUCUCUCCUGUGUUUUCUUUACUUUUCUGCUUAGCAUUUUCAAUUCAAUAAUUCCAUGAAUCCUAUCAAGAGAAGCUCACAACAUUCAACCAUAAUCCCUAUCCAUCUCUUCUAUCUCAAAUCACCACCAGAUUUAGAAGCCCAGAGUAUUUACAUAUAAUAUCAAUCAACACUGUCAUCUCCCCUACUUCUACAACCAACCACAUCCAAGCGAUAAACACACAGGAGAGAGGGGGAUAGAGCACGAUGACGACGAAGCGAGAUAGAUGACGAUGACUUCCAAGAGAAAUUAUGCUUCGAUUCGAAACUGAGAAGAAGAAGACUCAUCGGGCUUCGUCGAUCUGAGGACAACACGGCAUCAACUAAGAAAAUCAGUCACAGGAGAGAACAAGGACGUCGACAAGGCUCGCACGCCGACUAUGCGUCAAUAAUCAUUGACUGAAUCGACUGGGUGUGAGGGAAAUUGGAUUUUGGGGUUAGGGUUCUGAAAUUGGGGUUAAAUCAAAUCGAGAACGAAGGAAACUGAUAACAGCGGAAGCUAAGAUAGACAUACAGAAGCCACAAGGCCAAAGAUCAUGACCAUGGGCUCUGAUACCAUGAUAACAUUCAUGGAUUUAUUCAACGGAAGAAGAAAAGGAAGAAGACGACUGAAAGUAAGAAACGCUGAGAAUAUAAACGACUAUAUCGUGAAUUUUCAAUACAUCACAACACUACAAUAAUCCCUAGAUAUAGAACUAAUCUAAUACUGAAAUGACAGGAAUACCCUUGAAAUAUAUAUCUGUAUAUUUCUAACAUUUCUUUGAUGUUUCCAUCUAUGGUGUUGGCCUCUUAAUGCUUCCAUUCCCUUCACCUAAACGAAUGUGGCGGUUUCGAUUGAUCCUGGUAUGUCAACGAAUAUAUAUAUUUCCACUACUUUCUUAUCUACUUGUUUGUUCAUAACUGGCUGCUAAAGUGCUAAUACAAAUCUUUCUGACCUUUCAGAGUGCAUCAGGCAUCAUAUUCCCCAUUAUAAAGGGGGAAGGAGUUAGACAGAUGUUCUUUCCUGCCACAUUAUCAGCAUAUUACAGAAAUCCUCCUGUUCAUUGAAGAAAUGGAAACUUGGAUCGAUAUGACUGUAUACAGUGAAGAACAAUUUUCAAAUACAUGGAAGUAAUCGAAGAACUAGAGCAUGGACUCCAGCUUAAGGCAGACAUGGUACAAUAUUCAUAAGCCCGGCCUCGUAAGACCGAUGGCUUCAACCAUCUCUAUAACCUGAACUACAACCCAGAUAUAUGAACGUCUAGUUAGAAUGCAUGACCGGAAUCAUUUUUGAAUGCCAUCACAGCUCAACAAUCCAAUCUAUGGUGUGCCUUGGCUUUGAAGUAACAUCAAAAUAUACAGUGAAAUGUUCAAACUUAUUCCUGGAUUAUUUGUCAGAGUUCUUAUGUAUCCACAAAGAAGGUUUGUCCAGCAUAAAGACAGAAUAUAUAAAUAUACAAUAUGUGAAUGCAUGUGUGAGUAAAUCAUGAAGACUUCCAUAUCCAACAUAAAACAACUAUUUAUUCUACCAACUGAUCAUGUGCAACUACAUCUUGAAAGAUAGAAUCUUUAGACAAAACAACAGAGCUGAUGCCUAUUGGCAAUAUCAAAAUUUACCAGAAAGCAAAUACAGUAUCACACUAGCCACUCUUACUCCUCUCAGAUCUAAAGUUGCAGUCUUAGAAAUGGAAGAAGGUGAACCGUCUAUUCUUUAAAUCCUAUUCUUUAAAUCAAAAAAGGAGAGUCGAUUUAUACCAACAUUCUGUUAAAGAAAAAUAUUUAUAUAUAUACACAGAUACGUGAUAUGCUAUUGUUAUUCAAUAUUUAUGUCGAAAUGUAACGAGAGUCGUCAAAUUAGCUCCUCAUCCAAAGGCCAACCCAACCAAAACUUAUUCGUACAAUUUAUGAUCAUCCAAACUUAACACUGUUUCCAUGCAUAUAGUUGAGGUCGAUUUGUAUACAUAAAAUCAUAUGCAUAAAAACUUAACAGACAGGAAAGAGGAAUUUGGAAAACGUUGCUACUUGGCUUGAAUGCUUGGAAAUGGAAAGCGCACGUAUGCGCAAGCUUUGUUUGACAAAAUCUAGUCUCAAAUGGAGAGCUAGCUCUGCAACCGAGUGCAUGCAGCAACACCGUUUGACUGAAAUUCUUUUUAUAUUUCCAAAUUUUUAACUAUACAAUGUGAGAAACUUGAUUUUUACUAUAUUAAUUUAUGAGAUUAUUAUCACUAGUUUUUCAGUAGGAGAUCCAUUGUUCGACAAAUAUUAUUGUUUAUGUAAUUUAUAUAUUCUAAUACAAUAAUGAGUUUUCAAAGACGACCAAAAGUAAAAAUUAUACUUGUUAUUAUCGAGACUCUACAUAUACGUAAAAGAACUUUAUAUGUUAGUAACGAGUCAAAAUUUAUUUUCUACGAAGAAACAAGACAAUCAUUGUAUAAGUCUUAAUUGUUACGGUGCCUAAAACAAAUCCUUAAUGUCAUAUCGGACAAUCUCAUUCUAAGAAUCAUUCAAAUAACUUAGAAAGUGAAGUUAAAUUUGGUAAUUGGUGAGCUACACUAUAAGCCCUUAAGAUAAGCCCUAGUGAUGCUUAGAGAGAGGUUGAUAAUUUGUUUAAAAUUGGCUAGAUCAGAAGUUCGAUUUCAUUGGAGUAAAGAAAACAUGUCGAAAAAAAAAAACAUGUCGAUAAUAACUCCCGCCUAAUAUAACAACCACGAAAAUUCAUCUCGUCACACAAUUAUAUACGUUGAGCAUAUAUAAAUAAGUGACAUUAUAGUUGAGGAUAUAUAAAUAAUAAGUAUACAUUUUUUUUGUUACAAUAAUAAGUAGAGACUCUUUUGUUGUAUAAUAGCAAGUGACAGUUUCUGAUCACCAACUCAAAUUGUUUUCCCAAGAAGGAAGCCAUGUUUUACCAAGAAAACAAAACUUUGACUCUCCCAAUAUCAGAAAGUGACACAAGGUUGAGUCCUUGGUUGGCUCUGUCUUGCACUUUGAACCCUAUUUUCGUCCAUCCCAAUCUUCCAUACGCUCCCCCACACCCUACCCCAACCCUCCAAAUCGGUUAAAUAACAGUGGCGGGCGCCUUCCAUUUUAACCCCCGAAAGCCAGAACACAAGUCUCUAACUCUAUAUAAACAACACCUUUCCUAGCUGUCUCUAACCAUAAGUCCCUUCCCCACUUCACACAUCCCCACACGUAAAACCAAAACCAACCCAAAUCACAAGUACACCCCACAAGAACAAGAAGAAGCAAACCAGAGCUUCUCCAUUGUUGUUGUUCAAACUUAACCAAGAUGGUGUCGUACGAGUAUGUUCUGGGUGGAGUUCUGGCUUCUCUGCUGGCCUCUGUUUUCAUCAUGAUUAUUAAUAGCGCUAGAAAGGUGGAGGGGGUGGAAAAGAGUAGUAAUGGGUUUGUGAGGAUGCCGGAAAACGAUGAGGAGAAAGGUACCGACGUCGUCAUUGUCGGCGCCGGAGUUGCCGGUGCGGCUCUUGCGUACACUCUUGCCAAGGUCAGAUUUUGUUACGAUUUUUUUAGUGUGGUAAGAUUGAGUCUUUUGAAUGAUGGGAUUGGGUUGGUUGUUACUUGUUAGUAAAAUAUGAAGUGGUCAUUGUUGGUUUGAUUUUUGAUUAGUUAUUUUACCAACUACUACCCAGCUAAACAAGUCAAAACUUGAAGCCGUCUUCUUCUGACUCUGGUUUGUGUUAGUUUAUUGUUUUCCGAUUUCAACUUAUUGUUUUGGUGAAUAAGCGAAUGAGUCUUGUUUGCUUGGGUUAUAUGGGUUGUUUCAUUUUAUUUUUUCCUUUAGGAUUUGUUGCAGUUGGUACUGAUUUGAAUGGAGUAAUGCAGAUCCAAAGUGUUUUUGAUAUUGCUAAAUUUAGUAUGGGAAUGGUUUGUGAUGAGGUUUUGGGGAACAUGUGAAUUGAUUGCAUGAACAUUAGCACUUAAAGCUGAAACCUUUAGAGUUUAGAUCUUCCUGUAAAUGCUGAGCUUUGAGCAAGCUCCAUUAUUUGGGCUUUUGGGUUAAGCAAAUGUUUGCAUCUUGUUACAGGAAGGACGUCGUGUACAUGUCAUCGAAAGAGACUUGAGUGAGCCGGACAGAAUUGUUGGUGAGCUUUUGCAGCCUGGGGGUUAUCUUAAGUUGAUUGAGUUGGGUCUUGAGGGUGAGCAAUUUCCUAUCUCAUUUAGAGCCUCUUUGUUAAAUUAAAUUAGUUUGUGAUAGUUUACACUCUUACUGAAUGGUUAGUAACCAAUAAUAUCAAUUAUGGCUUCAGACUGUGCAAAUGAAUCCAUUGAUGCUCAGAAGGUGUUUGGUUAUGCUCUCUACAAAGAUGGGAAGGAUACAAAACUUUCUUAUCCCUUGGAAAAGUACAGUUCGGAUAUAGCUGGGAGAAGUUUCCACAAUGGCCGUUUCAUCCAAAGAAUGCGUGAAAAGGCAGCAACACUUUCAAAGUAAUCAUCAUUUCCCUCAAGUUUAUUAUUCCUUUUCGUGUGUGAUUUCUUGUAAGUUUGAUGUUAAAUGUAUCGACUUCUUACUCAUGUCCGUGGAAUAUCUUUACAGUGUGAAAUUGGAACAAGGGACGGUGACAACACUAAUUGAAGAAAAGGGCACUAUCAAAGGAGUGAUUUACAAGAACAAAUCUGGAGAGGAGUUCAGAACAUAUGCUCCACUAACAAUCGUGUGCGAUGGCUGCUUUUCAAAUCUGCGCAAAAAUCUCAGUGCUCCAAAGGUAAUGAAGUGUCCCGAACCUGGGGAUAUCAAGCCUUUGUUAAAUAUUUGUAUUCAAAUUUAGCACAGGCAUGCUUGCUCUUUCAUGAGACCAACAGGGUUAUUUGUUGUUACUGCAGGUUGAAAGUCCCUCUUGUUUUGUUGGUUUGGUAUUGGAGAACUGUGACCUUCCACAUGCAAAUCAUGGUCAUGUGAUUUUGGGAGACCCUUCACCUGUCCUGUUUUAUCCCAUCAGUAGCACAGAGAUUCGUUGUUUGGUUGAUAUACCUGGAACAAAAGUUCCUUCUGUAGCUAAUGGUGAAAUGGCCAAGUAUUUGAAAACCGUGGUGGCUCCUCAGGUAUAUUAUCAAUAAUUUGCUUGACUUGAUUAGAGAUUAGUUGUUUAGCUUUCACAUGAUACAUGUGCCUACCUGAAACUGAACUGAACUGAUAUUGGGGCUACUUUGUAUUUCAGAUUCCUCCUCAGCUCUACAAUUCUUUUAUAGCUGCAAUUGACAAGGGAAACAUCAGGUCCAUGCAAAACAAAAGCAUGGCUGCAAAUCCGCUUCCCACUCCUGGUGCACUUUUGUUGGGGGAUUCAUUCAACAUGAGGCAUCCCUUAACCGGAGGAGGGAUGACUGUGGCUCUUUCAGACAUCGUUCUUCUUCGUGAUCUUCUUAGACCCCUACAUGAUCUCAAUGAUGCAUCUGCAUUGUCCCAUUACCUCGAAUCAUUCUACACAUUGCGCAAGGUAAAGCCUUCACUAAAUUACCUUAUAACUGAAAGCAUUUAUGUUCCAACAAUAUUCACCCGAUGUGGCAUUGUGUUGUUUCUGCUUUGCUGAUAUUGUGCUUGGUGUUCAUUGCAGCCUGUGUCAUCUACCAUAAACACAUUGGCAGGUGCCUUGUACAAGGUGUUUUGUGCUUCGCCUGAUCCAGCAAGACAGGAAAUGCGUGAAGCAUGUUUCGGUUAUUUGAGCCUUGGAGGUAUCUGUUCGUAUGGACCAGUUUCUCUUCUGUCUGGUCUUAACCCUCGUCCACUGCACCUGUUUCUCCAUUUUUUUGCUGUUGCUGUCUAUGGUGUCGGGCGCUUGAUGCUUCCAUUCCCUUCUCCUCAACGCACAUGGCUUGGGAUUAGACUGAUCCUGGUAAGUUUAACUGAAUACACUUACUUUCUCUACAUGUUUGUCAUUUACAAUAUCCUUGCACAUAACUGGCUGCUUAUACAAAUCUUUCUGGUUUCGAUUUUCAGAGUGCAUCAGGGAUCAUAUUUCCCAUCAUAAAGGGUGAAGGAGUUAGACAGAUGUUCUUUCCUACAACAAUACCAGCAUAUUACAGAGCUCCUCCUGUUCAUUGAAGACAUCAAUACAACCAUAUUCUUGGAGAAAAAUUUGGUACUUGGAUCUUUCUUUUAUUGUAAAACCAAUCUGUAUCAAAUCAACUGCAUUAGUUCCUCCCACAAAUAAAUAUCAUGAUGGGAGUUCAAUGCUCAAAUUAGGAGAGCAAGAAAACUAUGUUCUUAAUUCUUUUAGGAUUUGUUCUUCUGCAGUGGAGAAAACAAGCAAGGUUUUCUCAUGAAAGUUGUAACUGUAUGAAACUAUAGUAGUUGGUAAAUAAUAACAUAAAUUUUGGGUCCCUAUCUUACCCUCUUUCAAGUUUCAAACUACACGUUCUCUUUGGCUUUUCACACACGAAUAUGCACAAAGUCAGCUAUUGCUGGCUUUCCCAUAUUCUAAAUUUCCAACAACCAUGGUUUUUGUCUCCACUGUCUUUUUCUUUUCGUGUUUUAUUUGCAUGAGAUAUCUCUAUUUCUGACGUGAAAGCACAUUAUUUAAAGGGACCAUGUUAAUUUGGAUGGCUGAAAUAAUAGUACUCAGUUCAUAUUCUUCUUUGUCCUGUUGUGAUUUUCUUCUUCUACAUGAUUUGUAUACUCAUUCAUGUGCUGCAUAAGGGUCACAAUAAUGCAGAAUAUCAACUAUGGUGUGCUGUUUCAUUCAUGAAUUGAAUGAUAUCAAGUACAUGGUGAUAUGUGACAUUUACUGUGUAUACUGAUCGAGGGAUGAUGGGGAAUUGGGUUGGUAUUAGGCUUGCUUUAGUUUACCCAAUAUAUAUAUACACAGGGCCUUCCACUAAAGGAUUCCUUUUUUUGACAUAUAUGAGGGAUGGGGGAUUACACCAACUUUUCGAUCACAAAAUCAUAUCUUCACCGUUCAAUAUGUAGUUCUAUAUGAGUAGAUCAUUUCUACAAAUUUUCAGAAAUUUUGGUAAUCGUUAAGACAUUCAAAAUUACGAUUUAUAAUUAUAAGCAUAAACGGUUCAUGUUUGGCAGAUUUAGUUCGUUCAUUGAUUUAAUCUUGUUUGACACCUUAACGAUCACCAAAUUGGCUGAAAAUUUGCAUAAUUGAUCUAUAUAUAAGAACCAACAAACUGAACGGUGGAGAUUCAAAAAUAUAAUCGAAAAGUUGGUGUAAUCCCCCAUCCCUUAUAUNNNNNNNNNNNNNNNNNNNNNNNNNNNNNNNNNNNNNNNNNNNNNNNNNNNNNNNNNNNNNNNNNNNNNNNNNNNNNNNNNNNNNNNNNNNNNNNNNNNNNNNNNNNNNNNNNNNNNNNNNNNNNNNNNNNNNNNNNNNNNNNNNNNNNNNNNNNNNNNNNNNNNNNNNNNNNNNNNNNNNNNNNNNNNNNNNNNNNNNNNNNNNNNNNNNNNNNNNNNNNNNNNNNNNNNNNNNNNNNNNNNNNNNNNNNNNNNNNNNNNNNNNNNNNNNNNNNNNNNNNNNNNNNNNNNNNNNNNNNNNNNNNNNNNNNNNNNNNNNNNNNNNNNNNNNNNNNNNNNNNNNNNNNNNNNNNNNNNNNNNNNNNNNNNNNNNNNNNNNNNNNNNNNNNNNNNNNNNNNNNNNNNNNNNNNNNNNNNNNNNNNNNNNNNNNNNNNNNNNNNNNNNNNNNNNNNNNNNNNNNNNNNNNNNNNNNNNNNNNNNNNNNNNNNNNNNNNNNNNNNNNNNNNNNNNNNNNNNNNNNNNNNNNNNNNNNNNNNNNNNNNNNNNNNNNNNNNNNNNNNNNNNNNNNNNNNNNNNNNNNNNNNNNNNNNNNNNNNNNNNNNNNNNNNNNNNNNNNNNNNNNNNNNNNNNNNNNNNNNNNNNNNNNNNNNNNNNNNNNNNNNNNNNNNNNNNNNNNNNNNNNNNNNNNNNNNNNNNNNNNNNNNNNNNNUGGAGGCGCGCCAUCGUCGGCGCCGGAGGGUGGAGAAUGACGGACGUUCGCACUUUAAGCCGAGUGCGGACGUCCGCUUCUGAUCCUUUAUAUAUAUAUACAGUCCGUCUCUGCUACGGACGUCCGCACCGUUUUACGGUGUGGAUUUUCGUCCGUUCGCCACCGUACGGUGCCGCGCGAGGGCACGCCUCCACCCCAGCCGACUCUAGCAGCUUUCCCGACCACUUUCCAUCCCCGGUGAGUCCGCCGAAUUCCAGUUUUCCGGCCAGAUCACCCAAAACUUGAAACUUUGGUGCUAUGGCCGGANNNNNNNNNNNNNNNNNNNNNNNNNNNNNNNNNNNNNNNNNNNNNNNNNNNNNNNNNNNNNNNNNNNNNNNNNNNNNNNNNNNNNNNNNNNNNNNNNNNNNNNNNNNNNNNNNNNNNNNNNNNNNNNNNNNNNNNNNNNNNNNNNNNNNNNNNNNNNNNNNNNNNNNNNNNNNNNNNNNNNNNNNNNNNNNNNNNNNNNNNNNNNNNNNNNNNNNNNNNNNNNNNNNNNNNNNNNNNNNNNNNNNNNNNNNNNNNNNNNNNNNNNNNNNNNNNNNNNNNNNNNNNNNNNNNNNNNNNNNNNNNNNNNNNNNNNNNNNNNNNNNNNNNNNNNNNNNNNNNNNNNNNNNNNNNNNNNNNNNNNNNNNNNNNNNNNNNNNNNNNNNNNNNNNNNNNNNNNNNNNNNNNNNNNNNNNNNNNNNNNNNNNNNNNNNNNNNNNNNNNNNNNNNNNNNNNNNNNNNNNNNNNNNNNNNNNNNNNNNNNNNNNNNNNNNNNNNNNNNNNNNNNNNNNNNNNNNNNNNNNNNNNNNNNNNNNNNNNNNNNNNNNNNNNNNNNNNNNNNNNNNNNNNNNNNNNNNNNNNNNNNNNNNNNNNNNNNNNNNNNNNNNNNNNNNNNNNNNNNNNNNNNNNNNNNNNNNNNNNNNNNNNNNNNNNNNNNNNNNNNNNNNNNNNNNNNNNNNNNNNNNNNNNNNNNNNNNNNNNNNNNNNNNNNNNNNNNNNNNNNNNNNNNNNNNNNNNNNNNNNNNNNNNNNNNNNNNNNNNNNNNNNNNNNNNNNNNNNNNNNNNNNNNNNNNNNNNNNNNNNNNNNNNNNNNNNNNNNNNNNNNNNNNNNNNNNNNNNNNNNNNNNNNNNNNNNNNNNNNNNNNNNNNNNNNNNNNNNNNNNNNNNNNNNNNNNNNNNNNNNNNNNNNNNNNNNNNNNNNNNNNNNNNNNNNNNNNNNNNNNNNNNNNNNNNNNNNNNNNNNNNNNNNNNNNNNNNNNNNNNNNNNNNNNNNNNNNNNNNNNNNNNNNNNNNNNNNNNNNNNNNNNNNNNNNNNNNNNNNNNNNNNNNNNNNNNNNNNNNNNNNNNNNNNNNNNNNNNNNNNNNNNNNNNNNNNNNNNNNNNNNNNNNNNNNNNNNNNNNNNNNNNNNNNNNNNNNNNNNNNNNNNNNNNNNNNNNNNNNNNNNNNNNNNNNNNNNNNNNNNNNNNNNNNNNNNNNNNNNNNNNNNNNNNNNNNNNNNNNNNNNNNNNNNNNNNNNNNNNNNNNNNNNNNNNNNNNNNNNNNNNNNNNNNNNNNNNNNNNNNNNNNNNNNNNNNNNNNNNNNNNNNNNNNNNNNNNNNNNNNNNNNNNNNNNNNNNNNNNNNNNNNNNNNNNNNNNNNNNNNNNNNNNNNNNNNNNNNNNNNNNNNNNNNNNNNNNNNNNNNNNNNNNNNNNNNNNNNNNNNNNNNNNNNNNNNNNNNNNNNNNNNNNNNNNNNNNNNNNNNNNNNNNNNNNNNNNNNNNNNNNNNNNNNNNNNNNNNNNNNNNNNNNNNNNNNNNNNNNNNNNNNNNNNNNNNNNNNNNNNNNNNNNNNNNNNUAUAUAUAUAUAUAUAUAUAUAUAUAUAUAUUAUCUCCUAACACUUGACAUUCAAUCACUUUACAUUUCAAGCUUCUGAGUUUUGCAUCCCAUAAUCACAUUCACUCACUGAAAGAGAUGCAGAAGUUUAUCCUUUAGUUGUGUAAAUAUGAGUAUUCUAGGCUUUAGAGCUCUAAGUACAAUUUACCCAGAACAUAGAACUAAAUAUACUGCAAGUAACCAUGAUGUCCUUAAUGAGUAUCAGCAUCUAUAUAACAUCAAUAUCCUCUUGUUGGAUGAUUGCAUUUGGGGCAGAGAAUAUCCUAUACCUAAAGUCUUGUACCUGAUAAUAGUGGUUAAUUAAAAGUUGCUGUCCUGCUUACUUCAAUCUUGUUUCUUCAAAAAUAUUUGAAACUGACAAGAGGUUAGGUAGUUCAGUGAUCAGUUAGGUCAAGAAGAUAAGUCUACAUCUUAAAGCAAGAGAUUCCUCUUCAUGCUUAAUAUGUCUAACAGGCCCUAUAAGUUCAUACUAGUGAACCCUUCUUUAGUGCAACAUCAGCUAAAGCUUUUGGAAUAGUAGUUCUUAUAUGUAUCAGCGCUUUGAUGGUACUAAUUUCGUGUUUGAUACUGCUAAUCCAAAUCUCGACUCUACUUCCUUGUCGAGUUGCAGAUUGUUUGAAUGAAACACGAACGCACAUAGCUCAUUAAGAUUCAUUGCAGCAAGACAUGAAUAAUAUUACUGGAAAUGCUUUUCUACAAAUAUGGUGACUUGGUGAGGUCUGCGAGUUGUGUGUACUGUGUAGUUGAAAAAAUAGUGUAUUAAUAUGAGUAAAUAUACCAGUAAUAUGCAGGUGCACACAUAAAAAUAUUAAAAUUUAAAAAAGGAUUGUCACCCUGACUUGACCCAGCAGCCACCUGCGUGACAGAUUAUUGUAGAAGACUGCAGACAUAAUAUCAGUAUUUGCUGUAAUUUGUUUACAUGAUUAGAGAAAUGUGUUUUCUUCUGUCUAACCUUUUAAUGUUUUAAAUUUAUUUAUCACUACUAGCUGUGAUCACCCCCUGUUUGGCACCCAUGGUUUCAAAAACUAAAGAAAAUUAGUUUUUGACCUUGCAUCUCUGGAAAUUUUGAUAAUCUGUACUAGAUAUAUGUUACCCGCUACUUCCUACAUAUCACCAACCCCAUCUCUGACCAAAAUCCAGUCUAACUUGGACAGCCUUCAAGUGCUACUCAAUCACUUACCAUGAACAUCAUCUUUGGAAGUUAAAUCAUUAUGCCUACUGAUGAGUGAUGACAAAUUUCUUUGUGGUUUUAUUCAAAUUCUACUCAAUCACUUAUCAUGAACAUCAUCUUUUGGCAGUUAAAUCAUUAUACUAAUGAAUGAUGACAAAUUUCUUUGUGGUGUUAUUGAGAGUUAAUCAGUAACAAGUGAAGAAGACUAAUGGUAAUUUUUAAAGGUGUCCCAUUUUUAGUAUGUUAGAUUAUCACAUUGUAUCGAUAUUGUCUUUAACUUAACUACUCAUGCCUAAUAUAUCCAGCUCGGUUUGGCGGUAUAUAUUGUGACACCAGACUUUUGCUAGCACAAAUAUUUUAAUGGAGAAUCCUAAUUGCCAACCUUUCUUUGUGUAUUCUGGUAUACAAACCUUUUCUAAAUGGUGGGCGCAUGAUCACAUAAACCCCAAUUGCCCCAAAAAGCAGUUUUGAAAGUUGGCUGAGUCUAUAUAAAGGCGCCAAGUUUAGUUUGAGGCACAAACUCAAACACUUGCAGUAGUGCCUUGCAGUAGUGCCUCAGAGAACUAAAAUGGAUUACCUUUAUAUAACAGGAGCAGUCAUAGCUUCAUUGUUAAGUGUUGUUUUCUUGUAUACUUUGCCAGGGAAGAGGAAGAAUGCCAUAGCUUCAGUGAAGACUCAAAAUGGGAAACUUUUGAAGAGCUACGGAAAUGGAAUGUGUCUGCCGGCAGAAAUAGGUACAAGUCCUGACAUUGUCAUCGUUGGUGCUGGAGUUGUUGGUUCGGCACUCGCUUAUACUCUUGGGAAGGUGACAUUCUCUAACUCAUGCCCUAAGCUCUCUAACUCUAAGCCUCUUUCUAUGCUUAUCUGAUAUAAAAGUAAUAAAACCUUAUAAGGUUUAAACUUUACGUUAUAAUUAAUUUCUACAGAGGACAUUACAUUAAGGAAUGAUGAGAUGUUGGAUCUGUUUGUGGUUUUCAAGAUUUACUCAAUUGUGGUACAUUUGGAAACUUUCUGCUAGCCAGUUUAGCAUAAAUGGUUGUUAGCUUAUACAUGUAGCAACUAUAUAUCAUACUGUUACAAUAUCUUGAAUAUUUAUUAUGACUGGGUUCCUUCCCUUGGGUUUGGCUGUGUUCUGACAGUAUGUGCAUUUGCAGGAUGGGCGCCGAGUGCAUGUGAUUGAAAGAGACUUGACUGAACCUGAUAGAAUUGUUGGUGAACUCCUGCAACCUGGAGGAUAUCUUAGUUUGAUUGAGUUGGGCCUUGAAGGUAAGUAAGGACACUUGUUGAUACGGAAAUAAUAAACAAUAGUUCUUAUAGGGAUGUAUGAUUUCCAAAGAUUCUUCAUGAUUUUGUACAUGCCUAAUUUAGUUGAGCUUUCUUCUCUCUUAGAGUAGUCUUAGACAGUAUAUGCUAAUUGCUCAUCUGUUUGUUUUGCUGAAUUAGAUUGUGUGAAUGAGAUUGAUGCUCAGAGAGUUUUUGGCUAUGCACUUUACAAGGACGGGAAAAGUACCAAGCUGCCAUAUCCUUUGGAAGAUUUCCAUCCAGAUGUGGCUGGGAGAAGUUUUCACCAUGGCCGUUUCAUUCAAAAGAUGCGUGAAAAGGCCGCAUCUUUUCCCAAGUAUGCUCCAUUUGCUUUAAAUGUUUCCGAACUGUUGUGCUGUCACUAGGCUGGCUCUCUGUUGUGUGAUUGAAUGUUGUAUAAUUCUGCUUCAGUCUUUUGAACCUUUUCUUUCAAGUAUUGAAUAUUAUGACACAACUAUUUGAAAAAGAAAAUCUUUUGAGAAACUAAUGUCUAUCAAAAUAUGUCUGUUAUGGAGGAUUUGCAAUCUUGCAUGUUCUAUUGGGACUCCCAAUUUGGGAGACUUAUUACUGUCCUAACUUGAAGUUUUGAUAUCAGUGUAAGAUUGGAGCAAGGCACAGUGACUUCUCUGCUUGAAGAAAAGGGUACUGUCAAAGGGGUCCAAUACAAAUCCAAAGGCAGUGAUCAAGAGCUCACUGCACAUGCUCCCCUCACGAUAGUCUGUGAUGGUUGCUAUUCAAACUUGCGACGCUCUCUCUGUAAUGCGAAGGUGAAGUUAACAUGUUAACCAUGUGAAAAAACAAGAGCAUGAAGUUAUAAUUGGUUUAGCUAAUACUUGGAAGGUUUGAAUAGGAAAUAUUCAUGGUCAUUAUUAUUUCUGCAGGUUGAUAUUCCUUCAUGUUUCGUUGGUUUAGUUCUUGAGAAUUGCCAGCUUCCAUACGCAAAUCAUGGGCAUGUGAUCUUAGCAGAUCCUUCACCCAUAUUGUUUUAUCCUAUCAGCAGCACCGAGAUUCGCUGCCUGGUUGAUGUACCAGGCCAGAAAGUACCUUCAAUUUCCGCUGGUGAUAUGGCUCACUACUUGAAAACAAAAGUGGCACCCCAAGUACGUAUAGUUUCAUAGUUUGCUUCACAUACGUUGAUUGUUUUGCUUUCUACUUCUCUUAUCUAAUUCUUUGGACUAAUGAGUUGUUCAGGUUCCACUUGAACUGCAUGCUGCUUUCUUGGCUGCCAUUGAUAAAGGAAACAUAAAGUCAAUGCCAAACAGAAGCAUGCCUGCUGCUCCUCAUCCCACCCCUGGUGCCUUUCUAAUGGGUGAUGCAGUCAAUAUGCGCCAUCCUUUAACCGGAGGAGGCAUGACUGUGGCUCUAGCUGACAUUGUGGUUGUAAGGGAUCUUCUAAACCCUCUGAACAAUCUGAAUGAUGCAUCAGCCCUUUGCAAGUACCUUGGAUCGUUCUAUACUCUACGUAAGGUAAGCAGCCUAUCCAUAUUUGAUAAUUUUAGCACAGACUAUAUUGGUAAGUUUUUAAAAACCUGCUAAUGAAGCCAAAGUCUUAAUUUCAGCUCAAACUUGGUAGUAAUUUUAUAUAAGAGACUGCUUGGUUUUUCUGCAGCCUGUGUCUUCUACCAUAAACACAUUGGCAGGCGCUCUAUACAAGGUAUUCUGUGCAUCUCCUGAUCCAGCAAGGAAAGAAAUGCGGGAAGCAUGCUUCGACUACUUGAGCCUUGGUGGCAUCUUUUCCAAUGGACCUCUGGCUCUUCUCUCCGGUCUAAAUCCUCACCCAUUGAGCUUGAUUCUCCACUUCUUUUCUGUGGCUAUCUACGCUGUUGGCCGGCUGUUACUUCCAUUCCCUUCACCCAAACGCAUGUGGAUUGGAACUAGAUUGAUUAUGGUGUGCAUCUGUCCCUUUAUGAAUUUUUGGGGAAUUGGGGUUGUCACACAUUCCACUAGGAAGACUUUAAACAUAUAUUGAUUUUCUUUCUUUCUGCAGGGCGCAUCGGGUAUCAUUUUCCCAAUAAUCAGCGCUGAAGGAGUAAGACAAAUGUUCUUCCCUGUAAUGGUUCCAUCCUAUCACAGAGCUCCUCCAGUUCAUUUAAAUGAUGUUGAUGAUAAACAAGAAAAAGCAAUUUAUGGCAUGGAGCAACUUUCAACAUUAUGAGAUAAGCUAGUUCUAAUACAGAUUCUUCGAUGUAACCAUUUUCUGGGUUAGUCCAGAAAACCAUUGUAUGAAAAAGAUGAAAUUGAUCGAAUGAAAUACUUACAUUGUGACAUUAAAAGCUAGCACAUAUGUUAUUUUUGGAGAGAAAUGAAUAUUUCAUUAAUCAAGGGGCGAACCCAAAUUACAAACCUGCAAAUGCAAGGCCGAUAAACUAAUAACAAAAAGCAUAAGUCUCCAACUCGAUCAAUAAAGAAAGAGUGAAAGGACACCACCAGCUCACUAAACUAUGGACCGAAAAGCCUACAUCCGAAAUCAUAAAUACAACAAUACUAACAAAGCUACCACACACACCACCCAUGCACGCUAACAUUGUUGUUGCCAUCGCCGCCAGCAACUGUGAGUAAGUGAGAAGUGCUAAAUCGGAGCAUUGUUGCCCGAGUACCUGAUAUCUACCAAAUCUCAAUGCACAAAUCAUAUGGAAACCCACAAACAAAAGAAAAAACUUCCUCAAAACAACACCAUACAAUCCACCAACUAAACCAAAGCCAUGAUAAAGCUGAGGCUGCCGAGAGAGGACCGAAAAACAUACCCAAGAACCGUAACCAAUGAAGAUGGGGGAAGCACAUAUGUUAUACUUUGUUGUAGUUACAAAUAUUUUUUUUGGUCAAUUGUUACGAAUAAUUGACUACGACUUAUUUUAGUAGAGGCGAACAAUAAUAUUAAUUAAUAAUAUAAUGGUAGCCUUAAAAUCAUGUUACAUAGUGACCGGUCAAAAUAAAUGCCUCAAUCGGUUUCCCUAUAUGUCACACAAUAGACGAGGAUUAAACUCAGCAUUAGCGAGAUUUGAAACUGAGCAUAGGAGUCCUAGAAGCUCUUACAAACUCAAUCACAUGUACUUGUUUUUUUAACUGAAAGCUUCAAAUCAUCCUUAACUUAAGAAAAACACAAAUCAAGUAGCUACUCCUCUUCCUCUUUUCCCACCGAACCAACGAGGCAACUGUGCCGCUCUCUACCACUAGUGGAGGAGAUCACCAACUAAAACCAUUCCCAAGAGGCUAACAAAUACCACAUAUACCACACAUGCAAAAUUGCAGAUACUCAAAACUAUUCUUUAGGUAAGUAGGAAACUUGAAUCAAUUGAAGUUCCAAAAACAUUGGAUCGGAUUAUACUUUCAAAACUGACCCGAACUGACCCUACACAAUCUGGCCCAUUAGAUACUUCAAAAACCUUUGCCAAAAGAAGAUGGCGGUCAGUUUAGUUUAGAAUUCCAAGCAUCAAUAAUUCAAAAUCCUCUCAAUCCAAAUAAAGAACCACAUAGCCACUUCCUACUCCCCUACUCGACCUCAUUGGAGCCCUCAAACUUCUCACCAGAGGUACUGACGUCAGUCACGCUCGGCCGAGCAAUCUAUAUGAGUAGCUUGUUCCAGCUUACAAAUUGCACUUAGGAAGAUUGAAAUGUUUAACACAAUGAUAGUUGUUUUGUAAGGUGCCUGAGAGAUAGGCAUAGUUCCGGGAAGUAAUUUUAUAGAGAAGUCUAUCUCCCUUGCAGGAGGUAAACCAGGCAACUCUUCAGGAAAAACAUCCGGGAACUCCCUUACAACAGGAAUAUCUUCUAUUUCCAAGACUCUCAUACUUGUAUCCACCACAUGAGCUAAAUAUGCCUGACAACCUUUACUCAACAAUUUCCUUGUAGCAAUAGCGGAAAUUAUGCAACUAGAAAUAACAUCUCUUUCCCCUUGGAAAGCAACCUCAAAACCAUCUGGACUUCGAAGCACCACUACUUUCUGAAAACAAUCUACCAUAGCUCUAUAUGCUUCCAAAAAGUCUAUUCCCAAAAUCACAUCAAACUCCACUAUCUCUAAAGGAAUUAAAUCGGCCUUGAAAUUAAAUCAUUCAACUAAAACUUCACAACCAUUAAACACCUAAUUUAUUCUCAUCACCUCACCGGAGGGUAGAGACACAUGCCACUCGCUUGGAAGAGACGAUGAUGGCACAUUGGCAUGGAGGGCAAAUCUACUAGACAUGAAUGAAUGCGUGGCUCCGGGAUCAAUUAAAGUAAAUGCAGGCUGACCAAAAAUUAAUAACGUACCAAUGAUGACAUAUGGAGAAGUACGACCCUCCUGCUGGGUCAUAGCAUGCAGUCUAGCGCGAGUCAUAGGACGUCCACGCUGACCACCGCUCCACUGAGAGCCACCUCUGACCGAUGCACUGCCCUGGGCACCAUUACUGGAGCCUCCAGCUGAAAACUGACCAACUGGCUGAGUAGGGGUGGGGGUGGUCCUCUGAGCCAACAAUGGGCAAUCUCUCCUGAAGUGGUCUUGACCACCACACUCAAAGCACCCAGAAAACUGUUGCUACCCAUAAGAAAAAGUCUGGCUACCGGAUGACCCACCAUGGAAGCUACCACCAGAACCAUACUGCCCAGACUGCUGCCUACCCAAAUGACUCCGAGAAGGUCUCCUGAAACGUCCUCUAGUCCUGUUUCGAGCACCAGAGCUCGAUCCCCCACUACUGCCACUACCAGCAGAUGAUCCAGAAGCGGAUGAUGAAGCAGCCUUCUUGGAUGGACCCUAACUAGGACCACCAAAAUCACGGGGCCGAGCACCAUAUGUCCCCCUGAACUCAAUGGCCAUGGCUGCACCAACUGCAUCCGUAAAGGUCGGGUAAAUUACCCCUGUCAUCUUGUCCGCAUACACCCCACCAAGUGCCCCAAUGAACAUCUCAAUCCUGGUUUUCUCAUCAGGAAUCAAAUAUGACACAUGGUAGCUCAGGGAAGUGAAUCUUUCCUGGAACUCUAUGAUACCCUCAUCAUCCCUCUUUGUCAUAUGCAGGAAAUCCGACUGAAUUCUGCUGUGGUGGGCAUGAUUGAAAUACUGCCCCAAGAAGAGAGUCUUAAACUGCUCCCACGACAUAUUCAGAGCAUCCUCAACAUUUCUGCUGGCAAGCGACCACCAAUGAUAUGCUGAAUCAUCCAGAAAAGUCACUGUCAUCUUCACCUUUCUUUCUUCUGGCAACUCAGUGCUCGCAAAAGCAUUUUCCAUCUUGUCCACCCAAUUGUGAGCAUCAAGAGGUCCCUUGACACCCUUGAACUCUCUGGCACCAUAAACUUCUCUCCUUUUCACCGUAGGAGGGCGUGGAGCUCGAUCCAUGACAUCCUUCAACAUAUUUCCAAUAUCAUCAACCAGUCCCCUGACCUCAUUGCCCUCAUCGGCAUUGGUCGAAGUAGCCACAUGGGGUUACCGUGGGCACCUAGGAGGCAUAGUACCUGAGGAAGAAGAUAUUUAGUAGUCCAUAAACAAGACUAACACAACUAUCACACAUACCCAAUAACACAUAGCAUCAAAAGCAUAAAAUGCCAAUGAAUCCGCCGUGGUCGGAUCAUCACUUUAUAGACACUACGUGCUACUUAGGCAAUUAUGAUAGUGACAAAGAAGCAGGAAAAGGAAACCUAAAGCUUUGAUACCAACUGACACGACCCACCCCGAAUUUCACCAUGAAACCCGGAGUAAGUCGUGCAGGGACCACCUCCAAGGAAGAUAUUACCGAAAAAUUCGGCAUAACCUCCCUUGAAAAUAGACAACCCUUCCUAAGAAAACCUGCAAACACUUUCAAAAUUUUCAAUCCAACCUUAACUCCUGGAGCCUACGUGCUCCCCAAAUACAACCACCACCAACAACACAAUAUUAUCCAAACAUCAGAUAUAAUUAUCCAAAAGAUAACAUAAAUUCUCCGACAAAUAUUUUAAAAUGUCAACAUGCCUUCGCUCACAACCGAAAUAAUAUACAUUAAACCAAAGUAUUCAGAGCUACUAAACACUAGCGGAAAUAAGGAAACACAGGUAGAUUAAACAGGUAACCUACGGAAGAAAAGUGGUGGAAAAGCGGGUGAUUAUGCCUCGUCUCCUACUAGAUCAACCCGUACUCUGCAGACUGGGCAUUUUAAAACGAAUGACCUAGGGGAAAUCAUUUAAUAACGUUAGAGUGAGUGGACAAAAAUAAAUAAAUAAAAAUAUUUAUGCUUCCCCAUUUCAAUUUCCAAAGAAAAAUAUACUGCAUGUGGCAGCUCAAAAGCGUUCAACUCAUAAACUAACAAUUUCACGACUAGCUCCGGCUAGUCACCAACUCAAAUAAAAUGGAGCAUCUCAGGCUAAAUUAUAUAUAAUCAUAUAUAUAUAUAUAUGUGUGUAUGUAUUUAUACUCGUCAUACUCUUUGUACAAAUUCUAUGAAGGAAUAAGCAAAAUAGAAAUUCAUAUAAGGCUACUACGCUUGCGUCUAACGCUCACGUCACACCAUAAUGGAAUUUUUCCUCAUUAUGGCGGAAAAGCACGAGUGUAUAUACGUGUGGACUCCCUAUAUGAAAACCUAUAUGAACCAGAAAAUAAAAUAGUUUUCAUAUAGGGCUACUACGCUUGUGUCUAACACUCACGUCACACCAUAAUGGUAUUUUACCUCAUUAUGGCGGAUCAAGCACGUAUGGCUAGCUAGCAUUUAUAUACAUACUAUACUCAUAAUAUCCAUUAAACAUAUCCACCGAAAAUCUCAUUUUCGGGAUCUCUCCAAAGGAGGAAAAUUGCCAAAUUUCCGAGAAAGAAAUAAAUCUCAGGAAAAGAAAUAAAUGAUCAACAAAUAAUUCAUCGCAUGCUUUUCAAUUAAAACAAAAGUCCACUCACAAAUUAGGCCUAAGCCUGACGACGCUCCGAGGCUUCCUCUGCUCGGGCCUCCUCUCGUCCAGUUCCAAAUAUAUAAUUAAUUUCCCACUAAAAAAUCCAAUAAUCAAACACAAUGGGUAAAAUUAAACGUGAGCCUCCCACACACUCAUCAUUGCCCAACUUCGCCAUUCUUAACUCAAAAUGGCUCAAACUUCACCAAACAUACCGGUAGCCUUAAAUCAACCUUUUACAGAUUAAUGACUUAAAUCCUACGGCCGGAUUCUACAUUAAUUAACCGCCAAAAAUACCAAACUUCGGAAAUUCACAAACCUAUCCAAAACUCAUCCGAAAAUUCUAUAAUUUACUUCAAUAAACUCCCCUUAAUAUUCCAAAUUUAAAAACAUUAAAAUCUCCCAACCGGCGCCGGCAACGGCGGCCGGAGGCCGAUUCCGGCGACCUCCAAUUCCUAUGAAAUUUUGACAGAAUAAUCCUCUCAUCAUGCUCUACAACUUUCUUAACUAGCACAAACCCAAAAUCCAAGCCUAGCUAUGCCAAUCGAGCAAAAACAUCAAAAUCGCCCUAGAACUUCCACCUCAAAUUUCUCCUUACCUGAAGCGAACCGGAGUGAGUCCUUUUAGGGCAAGGCAGCUGAGUUGGAGACCUACAAAACCGUACCAAGUUUGCCUGGAUUGGUGGCCGGAGGAGGGAGUUCCGGCGAGUGAAGCAACACGGCAGUCGCACCUUUCGGGGGAGAAUACUCCUUCACGGCGGCGCUAGGGCGGCUAUCACCGGCCUAGAAUAGAAGCUGGGUCGGAGGGCAACCGAACGGGACCGGUGCGGUAGUCCCAGGCGGCCGGACGCCAGCGGACGAGCGGCCGGAAUGACUAGCAGUGGGAGGGACUCGGGGAGAGAGAGAACCGGGAGGAAGAGAGAAGAAAGAGAGAAGAAAGAAAUGCUUUGGGCCUCCACACCCGGUCCAAGUCCAAAAAUAUACCCAACUCCACCAAAAAUUUACUCCCCAAAAUAAUACCCUAAUAAAAUUACCUUUUACUAGCUAAAAUUUACCAUUUUACCGUCGUCAUAAUUUUCUCUUACAAAUAACUCUCUGAAAUAAUCGUCCCCCAAAACCCCUCUAGGGACCAAUUAAAUUAUAACCUCAAUGACGGAGACAGUAAAAUUCUUAUUAUAACUAAGCUAGUAAAUAAGGUAAAAAUUUAAGAGUCGGGAUGUGACAUAUUCUUUCUUGACAUCGUGAAUGAUUGCAUGGAUUAUAUGGUUACAUUAUCAUGGUUAGUGUUAGUGUGCCCUUAAAAUAUCUUAUUUAAGCUUAUAUGUUUAUUCAUAUAAUUCUUAUUACAACUUUUUGAUUGUUUGUUGUUACACUAACCAUGUCAAUGGGAGUUCGAUCUAGUCUUGUGAGGGAGUUCAUACCCAUCAUUUUUCUCAGCUCAAGCAUAUUUGGAUGAUCUUUAAGUUUACAAGGAUGCCAAUCACAAAUAGCAUUAGUCAGAUGAUCACGAGAUCAAACUAUUGCGAAUGUGUGCUAAUUGACUAUUUGUUAACCUCAAGUUAGGGAUAUUUACUUUCACUAAUUUGCUAUUACACUACUAUUAUAUGUUUAAUUAAUUAAUAUUCUGAAAAACAAUUAAAGUCAAUCUUGGGUUAUCUUGCUACUUGUCAUGACCAUUAGACAGAUUCACAUCUUUGUCAUAAAGAAACUUGGGAGGAACAAAUUCAUAGUCACCUGAUCAACCCCAAUUCACACUCUUUGAAAGCAUCAUCUUCUCCCUUUCUUCAAGCUACUUCAAAUGGUUACCAAUAUAUAUGAGUUACACAAAAUUCAUUCCUAUAACGUUAUGCCUCAAAAGAUCAAGAGUCACCCAAUUCACAACAAUACAUAUACUCACAUUGGCAUUACAAAAUCAUAUUCCAAUAGAAAAAAAUAACGUUAUUCCUCACGCACAGGGCUGCCAUUUAGGUUACCACAACAUUUGUAAACUUCAUCCUCAACACAAAACCGCCGCCACAGAGAGCACCAUGAAUCAUGCACUCACUGAACUUCAACCACCAAACACUCAGUCACACACACUCAAUAGCAUAUAUAAAUUUAGAAAUUUCAUCUCAAUCAUGAAUUUUUUUUUUCUUUUCUUUUUAAAGAUAUUGGAAGUUACACUACUACACAAAAAGUUUCAACAAACAUUAUUAUAGAGCUUUCAUGACGUUUAUCAAAUGUCAUCUACUUCGCCGUCUAUACCAAAAUCAUGGCUUCCCCAUCCUUUUAAAGACGUUUGUAAAACAUCGUGAAAUAUCUUUAAUGACAUUUGAUAAGGGUCCGUGUGAGGGCAAUCUUCCACCUGAAGAAUCGAAGCCGACCAAGGGUGAUUCCAGACAUGACCGUGUUGGCAGACGAUCCUUAACGAACAAAUACCAUAAUUGUGGGUCCGUCAACCAAUACCAAAACCAAUUUAAAGGCCAAAACCUAAAAUAUUGGUGAAAGGGUUCUACAAGGAAUAAAAGUUGGACUCCAUGGCUAAAACCCACAAGCCCCACCUAGAUCCCACACCCAGACACUACUCCAGGCCCUAAUCCAUAUCUGACCCGGAUCACAGGUCCAAACCCAGUACCGCCUCACCCUUGGAACCAACCAUUGCGCCACCUUCUCAUGCCGGAAAAUGCACAUCAACAACUGAGCCCGCGUCUCACUAGGUCUCAUCCAGGCAACCUCAUAUGCUUCAACCCAACAACCCCUGGUGUAAGAUGGAAAUCAUGGCCUGUCACCUCCAUAGAUCUGAGCUUCUUGUACCUUUAGUAAUAAAUGGAACAAUCUACAUUGUUCCAGAAAUAAGUAUUAAGUAUCUAGUAUUAAGUAUGUUAUUUAUUAAGAGUUAGUGUUCUAUGCUUAGAGGGGAUGAAUCUGUAGAUCAGCCCUUAAAAAUAAGAGUUGUAAACUCAUUUUCUGGAGUUCAUGCUCAAUCUAAGUUUACCCUCAUUCUCUCUCUCCUCCCUCCUCUCUCUCUCUCUCUAUCUCUCUCUCUCAUUCAUCUGAGAUCUAGAAGGUUGAGACGUUGAUCUCUUCCUUUUCUUACUUCUGCUACGCUAAGUUGGCAUUAGAGCAGGGAUUAACCUUGUUUCUAUGGCGAAUGAAGCACCAAUUACGCAAGCUGCAUUUCAAGCUUUUCAACCAGAAAUGCGAAAUGCUCUUGCACAAAUCGCCCAAGCUGUGAAUGGAAAUCCUCAGAGUCAAAAUCCUAUUCCAGCCAACAACAAUCAACGGGCUCCUGCUGGCAACAAUCGCAGGCCAAUUUAUGAAGAUGAUUCCAGUGAUGAAGAAGUGGAAAAUAUUCUUCUACAGCCAGAAAAUCAAAAGGAAGGACAGGAUCGUGAUUUUUGCAUCAGGAUGGAUUUACCAUCAUUCAAUGGUAAUUUACACAUCUAGGAUUUCCUUGAUUGGUUAUCGGAAGUGGAGCGUUUCUUUGACUACAUGGAUAUUCAAGAGCACAAAAAGGUGAAACUAGUUGCUUAUAAGCUGAAGGGUGGCGCUUCAGCAUGGUGGGAAUAAUUGUAACUUAGCAGAACACGUCAAGGAAAUGCAGGAAUAAAAAUAUGGCCAAGAAUGAAACAAUUGCUUCGUUCUCGCUUUCUUCCACCAGAUUAUGACCAUGUAUUGUUUCAGCAAUAUCACAACUGCCGGUAAGGAAACCGUUCUGUACGAGACUAUGUUGUUGAGUUCUAUCGCCUUUCGGCUCGAAAUGACUUGUCUGAAACCAAAAUUCUACAUGUUGCAAGGUUUAUUGGAGGGCUGAAGCCAAGUAUCCAUGCUCUUGUUGUCCUAUAACCAGUAUACCUUCUUAAUGAUGCGAUUCAGCUUGCAACAAAAGUAGAAGCUCAACUAGAGCGUUCAAAUACACAACAUUAUUUCUCCGGUAAAGGGAUACUACCCACUCCAGAUCAGGUUCCACCAUAAAAAGUUGCUCCUGGAGUUGACAACCCUCUUAUUGUUGCAAGCCAAGAUUGUGAGUCUAGCAAGGCUAAAACCACCAGAGUCAGCACUACAAAGACCGCAACAGUCAAUCCUUAUGCACCCCCACCUCCAAUCAAGUGUUUUCGUUGCAAUCAGCCAGGGCAUCGCUCUAAUCAAUGUCCUUCUCGCCAAGUGAAUUUAGCAACUCAUGAUGGACAAAAUAUAGUGCUGCAAGAAAAGGAAGAUGAUGUUGAAGAUGAGGCUGAAGUGACUUACAAAGACGAAGGUGUUUCCCUGGUAGUGCGAAGACUGAUGUAUACUCCAAAGCAAGAGUUAAAUCCACAGCAGCACAACAUAUUUCAUACUAGAUGCACUGUCAACCAGCGUGUCUGCAAUCUGAUUAUAGAUGGUGGAAACAGUGAGAAUAUUGUGUCGAAAACAAUGGUGGACAAACUCCAAUUGAAGACUCAGCCAUAUCCAGCUCUUUACACUAUUGGAUGGAUUAAGAAGGUCCGCAAAACCAAGGUAACUGAGCAAUGUAAAAUCCCAUUCUCAAUUGGAAAGUUUUAUAAGGAUGAAGUUCUCUGCGAUGUGGUAAAUAUGGAUGCUUGUUACAUGCUUUUGGGCAGACCAUGGCAAUUCGAUGUUGAUUCUACACAUAAAAGCAGAGAGAACACAAUCACCUUUUUCAAGGAUGAGGUUAAAAUUAUCUUAGCUCCAAUGCGUGAGACUUCGCCCAAAACUUCCCAAGCUGGGAGUCGAUCAUUCCUUAUUGUGAAUGACAUUGUGAAAGAGUUUGCAUAUAACAACAUGGUGAACCACUCUACUGGCAAGACACCACUUGAAGUCAUCCAUGGUCGAACCACUCAUCACACACUUGAUUUGGUGCCUUUACCGAAAUUACCAUGAAUGAGUAUCACUGCCAACCUUAUGGCAGAAAAGAUGGCAGACAGCAUGAUGCACACUAAGAAGGCCAUAGAAGAGUCCAAUGCCCAUUACAAAUCUCAUGCCUACAUGCACAUGCAUCUCAAAGCUUUCAAAGAGAGUGAUGGAGUCAUGGUCCAUCUCAGCAAAGAGGGAUUUCCAGUGGGUACAUACAUACAAUAAGCUGAAGCAAAAGAAGAUUGGACCAGUAAAGAUACUUAAGAAGAUCAACGACAAUGCCUAUGUUGUUGAUUUGCCAGCAGAAUAUUCCAUCUCCAAAACUUUCAAUGUUAAGGAUCUGUAUGAAUAUUAUGCUGCUGCCAAAACUUAUCCGUUACCAGCUAUAACCUCGAGGUCGAGCUUUUCUCAAGAGGAGGGGACUGAUGUAGAACAAAGAGCUGCUUAAGUCGUUGUAUAAUGAUCUUUCAUUAUACAAUGAAUCAGUAAUAAAUGGAAUAAUCUACAUUGUUCCAGAAAUAUGUAUUAAAUAUCUAGUAUUAAGUAUGUUAUUUAUUAAGAGUUAAUGUUCUAUGCCUAGAGGGGAUGGAUAUGUAAAUCAGCCCUUAUAAAUAGGAGUUGCAAACUUAUUUUCUGGAGUUCAUGCUCAAUCUAAGUUUACCCUCAUUCUCUCUCUCUCUCUCUCCUACCCCUUUCAUUUGAUAUCUACAAGGUUGAGACGUUGAUCUCUUCCUUUUCUUACUUCCGCUACACCAGACGCAUCGUAGUCCAUCAUCAAUCAUGAGAUUGGAAGUGAUUAGUAAGGAAGAGGACCAGCGCUGAAACAAAAGGGUGCAGCAACUCGGGGAUUGCCAUGGAGGGAUUCGCGAGGCCAAGAGGCUCGUCAGCCGAGAACCAUAAACAAGAAGGUCGCCGGUCAAGAGAUUUGGGUAGAAAACCCUAAGAUUAGCCGCCGCGGUAACGAGAGAGCGAGCAAGCGCUUUCAUAGGUUUUUUGUUUUUAUGUUAAUAUAUGCCCAACUAAGCUUUGUUUACUUUGACCCCGAUUGAAAUUUUUCACUUUAAAAGAAAAAUAUCAGUCUUUGUUUAUGCUAGUUGACAACCUUAAUUAUAUUAAAUAUGAGUAAACCUAUUAACAAUGACAUGAUAAAUAAAACAAAACGUUACACAAUAAAGAACUAGGUCACUAUUAUAUUUCGAAACCCGAUCCGACCCGGCCCGGUAGAGUACUUCUAAAACCUUUUCCGAUGGAAGAUGGCGGUCAGUUGAGUUUAGAAUUGCAAGUCCCCAAUAGCUCCUGUAAUUUCAAAUCCUCUCAAUCCCAAUGGAAGAACCACAGAGCCACUUCCUACUCCCCCACUCGACCUCGUCGGAGCUCUCAGACUCCUCACCGGAGUCAAUGACUUCAGUCACGCUCGGCCGAGCAAUCUCCUCUCUCCUCUCCGCCCGCCCCAAAAAGCUACACGACGCCGUUUCGCAGCUCUCUCCUCUUCCUCCUCUCGCCUCCGUCUCCGGCUCCCUCGACGACUCGCUCCGCUUCCUCCACAACUACCUAAACGACGCCGCUCGCCGAAACGAGCCUCUCGAUGAAAUCCUCAUCCCUAUGCUCGAUCACGUAAGCCAAAAUUUCAUCUCAUUCGCGCUUUGAAUUCUCCAGAUUAGUGUUGAUUUCGUUUUUCUUGACUCCAGUAUUUGAGGAACAAGGAUUCGAAGCACGGCGGCCAAGCUUUGGUGGUUCUGAACUGGCUAUUUCAAGAUGAAGUGAUUUUCCGAGCUGUUGCGACGGCGCUGGUUAGAGUGAUUUGGACCAAGGAUAAUCGGUUUGUUGUGCUCGGAUGGUGUACUUUCGUGCGUGGUGUAUUGGAGUAUGAGAGCUCUGUUACUCAAUUUCUGAUGAACGGUAACGAAACCUAAGUUUUUAGAAGCAAAAAUGAAGUUGAGAUUAGUGUGUUUAGUGAUGGAGUAUGAUUUUCGACCCGAUGCUUGAAAUGACAGGGAUAAAGGAGAGGUAUCCUGAUUUGUUGAAGAUACUGGCUUCAUGUAUUCCGCAGCUCUCAGUUGUUCUGCACAAAGGAAGGUAAUUGAUGACUAUGAUUUUUUGAUUGUGUAUAUGUUAUGAAUACUUCAUGCACUGAUUGCUUGUUUGUCGGUUUUAGUUGGUCUUAAUGUUGGACCCUUUUGCCUUGGCAGCACUUUGCAGGAUGGAUAUGAACUGCCCUCUCGCCUUGCUGUGUCUGCUGCUGAUUGUUUUCUGGCUCUCUCGGAAGCAUUGAUCAGAAAAGCUAAAGUUUCAAGUAACAAGGCAAAGUUAUUGGAUUCAAAGGCACAAAAGCGUCCGGUUGUGUCCCUUGAUGGUGGUGAAAAGAAAGCAAAGCCAGCUCCUGAAACUUUAGACGCCUCAAACAUGGAGUUGGACUAUAUACUUUGGGAUCAUUUAGAGGAAGUUUAUGGUCUAGUGCAGAAACUCGUUGCUGUAAGUUCCAUACUUUUGCAUUUGUUUUUACCUAUCUUCUGCAUUUUGAGCUUAACAUGUCGUAGAUACGUUUAAAAUGUUGUGCUAUUGAUAUUCGCUGAUUGUGCUGUUUUUCUUUGGCUGCAUAUAGUAUUUCUAAUAGAUAGCUACUGUCAUAUUGUCAUUUGUCAAUUGGGAAAUAAAUAGCCGUUCUGGUUUAGUUACGGUCAUUAUCUCAGCUCUCAAAUUUUCAAUUUGAUGAUGAUGCUUUUAUGUUUAACAGUUAAAAUUACAUAAUUAAGUUUAGAAAGAAGGACUUCCAUGGUAACGGUUCAUCUAGUUGUCACUAAUUCUUUGGUAUAACUGUCUAAGAUUCUUCAAAUCAUUACAUCUUGUGUAACAUGCUUGAAGUUUGUAUCAUGAUAAUGUUUCUAAAUGCACUGCAGUGGAGCAGAAAAAGCCGACCUUUGCAUGCCAAAGGAUUGGAACAAGUGCUUAAGUGGUUGCACGAGUUUAAAGGACAUUAUCGUAACGUGAAAGCUGAGGCAGGUCCUUUACCCAUCUUCAUAAAUAUUACAUAUCUUAUGGUGUCUUAUUUGUGUGGGGUAUGAUGAUUUGUUUGUAUCAUGAAAGACAGGCUCGAAGGUUAUCAAAACUGGAAUGUUGCUACUGUCUUCUUGUUGGAAGCAUUAUGGCAUGCUAAUGCAUUUGGAAGAUCAGAAAUUUUCCCAGCAUUACAAAGAACUGUUGGACCAAUACUUAGCAGGCAUACAGGUUAGUUAUACUAAAUACUUUAAGUUUCAUUAUGUCAUGUAAUCUAUGAUUUUACGACAGGUAAGGUAAUAAGAAUUCCCUGUUCUUAGGUUAUAUCUCUGAGUUUCUCAACUGGUCUUGAUUUGUUCCACUUUGUGGGUGUAUCGACAAUCUAUUUGCAUGACUUCUAUUUAGUUUCACUUGAUGGAAUCACUAGCUUUCUGAUACACUAUACAUACAUAUAUUUGCAGUUUUAUGCAAGUCAGACUGAGAAUAAGGAUGGGAGUUCUGAGACCAUAAAGUUCUUUCUGAAUUGUUUAUGCCUUCUACUGGGGCGAUUUGAUAGCAAGAAAUUUGAGAGCGUAGUCGCCGAAUACGGGAUGAGGAUAUCUCAGGUUCUCUUACCACAGGUAAUAACUGAGGUUUUGAAGAAAAUUUCUGUGGGGUUUAUAUUCUAAGAUAGAGCUCCAUUCAGCUUGGUGGUUUGCAUGUUGUUAUAGUAUGCUUCCCUUGAAAGGCUUGUAGAUGUGUAAUCUAAAAUCUUAGCAAAUUUUUGUUAUUGGGAGUAGCUUACCUUGAACUGUGAUCGCAUCUUACCUGGUUAGUAUGCUUGUCAAUUAUAGAUCACUCAGUGCACAUCAAAUUUAAGAAGUUAUUGUAUUUUAGACAUAGUAAUUUAAGCUCUGUUUGAUAUAUUAGGGUUGGGAACGUAUAUGACGCUUUUCUUUCCGGGUUUGAUCAUGAUACUACUUUCUUUAACCAAAUGUGCUAUAUAAUUGAGACCUAGGUUAUGUAAUUGGUCCUGGGAGUUAACUUGGUCUGGAUGGUACAUUUAAUUUUAUAUUGGGUUGGGCACCUGUUGUGAUAAAAUAGUGUACCGUAAUAAUUUAAUGGGUACUUAAGAGAGAUUCUAUGAAUUAAGAUAAUAUUGCCAUCCUAAGUGCCAUUACAUGAUCAGUUAUCUUUUCAUACUGUUCAAAUUAACUAUGUUUAGCACUUAGUAUUAGAGUUACCUCUUAAUGGCUAUUGUUUUUUGGUUUCCUACUAACAUUUAUUUUCAUCUUGCAGCUUCAUUCUGCUGCUGAUGAUGUUAUUGAAGGGGUUGUGUGUAUAUUCAAAGCAUUAAUAUUUAAGCAAAAAUCAUCUGGAAGCAGUCUCACUGACACCGGAGAGGUGGAUGCUGUGCUUCCGCUGCUGAUUCACCUUCUCGAUGAACGAGAUGGCACAGCAAGAGCUGUGGUUCUGCUUAUAGCAGAAUACUGCUUGAUGUAGUUUUCUUCGCCUAUACUUUUUGUGUUUGGCAAUUUGGCAGAAAUCAAUUAUGAUAUCUCCUUACUGAUUGGCAAUUUGGCAUAAAUGAUCCACCAGGAGCAGAGACAGUCAGUGCCUUAAAGAAGUUAUUGAGCGUCUUACUUCUGAAGAUGUUCAACAGAGAAGAAAUGCAGUUGAUGUUAUAUCAGAAGUCAUACAUUUGUCUUCAGACUCAAAAAACGUACAUACCCAGCUAUCAUGGUACAAAGAAUGUUCUGUCCGAUUUGUUGUUUCAUAAUAGUAUGAUGUUUUUCAUCAUUCUACCUUUCUUUACUUCUUUCUCUGAUAAUUGCAGGCAGGAUAUAGCAAAGCACUUGCUUGUGCUACUUGAAGAUGAAGAUAUUGCAAUUAAGGAACAAGCGUCCAGUUUGCUUCCAUUAAUUGGUUCGUUUCAUAGUUAAAGUUUUAAGCUAUAAUUCAUGCCAAGUGUGAUUUUACAUUUUCAAUGUACUUGCUUUCUGUGUAUAGUUUGGUUGUUUCACAUUAAAUAUAAAAAAUAAUAAAAGAUAAAAUUCUUCGGACCAGAACAUUAUAAAUAUCGGUUAUACACUUAUACUUGAACCAUGUUCUUAAGUAAAAGUAAUGUUGUUUGAAACUGCUUUUAGCACUAUCAUAAUUAGUAAAGAUACAAAUUUAGUUGUAGUAGAUAAUUAUCAUACUCCUUUUAUUGCAGACCCUUCAUUAGUUCUACCUGCUUUAGUUAAUCUGAUUUACUCUGGGGAUGAAAGAUUGCAAGCAACUGCCAGUGAUGCUUGUGUUGCGGUGCUCAAAUAUCAUGGCCAGAAGGCUGAAGUCAUUUGUAUGCUGCUUGACUGUCUUAGGUAUUUUUCCAUUUCAUUUCAUAAUUGUUUCCUUAUUUCUCAAAGUUUCAUAUGUCCGUCUUGUUUAUGUAAAUGUCUUUUCACUCUUUUGAGACUCUAUUGGGUUCAUGUUAUAAAAACAUAUGUGUUGUUAUAGCUAUUAAAAUAAUAAUAUUUAGAGAAUCUUGGUCUGGACCGCUCUGGUGUCAGGUUUAGGGUCAAACCCCCUCAUAGUUUCCUGUCUUCUAAGAUUGUAUGUUUCAGCAGGAGGCCAUAGUUUCAAGAAUGAGUCUGCAAGAUGGGGUUGGGGGGUCUCUGGAUAUAGAAAAAUAAAAUAAAAAUAUGUUAGACAGCAAACAGAAGUUGACCAAUUUUAAUUUCUUCUUCCUUGCAGCAACCUCAGCCAAAGUGUAAAUCUUAACAGUACUGGAGGCACAGGUACAGUUUUAAUGUUACCACUUUCCAUUGUGUUUUAAUGGGGAGAAAUAGUUAAACUUGUUUUUAAUAUUCUCUACCAAUUCUUCGGAGACCAACCAAACUGCACAUUUAAGUAAAUAUUUGUAUGCAACUUGAAGUGUCCAAAUUCUGCAAUUUUAGAAUAUGCUAUGUUUCUACAUCAAGCUCCAUCCAAGUUUUUUGUUUCCAGAUAUUGAAUGAAAAUCUUGCUUUGUCUGUUUCUAGUGUUGUAUAUUCUUCUGUCAACAGAUUUUUUCUUUUGCUUGUUUCUUGUGCUUUUAAAUGGAUCAUAUGUUCCUUUCAAAAAAAUGGAUGAUAUGUUUGGGAGAAUAUCAGUUCCUUUUUUUUUUUUUUUUUUUUUGUUGGUUUUGGCUUCCAGUAUUCUGAUUAUUGCUUCUAUCAUGUACUAUUCCAAUAUGGUGUCCUGUUUGAAACUUGCAGGAUCCAAAUUGGAGAGUGAUCGAGUGCUUAGGCUAAUCCCAGAGUGGUCUAAAAGUGUAAGAUGAUGGAAACUCAAAUUUUUCGCAAGUCUCUAUUACUUUUAAUUACAUGUUAAAGCCUGAUGAUCUUUGUUUCCUACUGAUUUAUCACAGGUCCAAAGCUGGAACCUCUUGAUUGAACCACUGAUUGACAAGAUGUUUGCAGAGCCAUCAAACGCAAACAUUGUUAGGUUUUUGAGUCAUAUAAGUGAACACCUGGCAGAUGCUGCUGAUGUAGUGCUCUCUUGUGUUCUAAGGCAUGCUAAGCGACUUAAAGAGUGAGUACUUGUUGUGCUGGUGUUCUGAAAAGAUGGAUACAAAAAUAAAAAGUACAAUAUAAACGAUGAACUUGAGUUUGUGAAAAUUAUGCAUCAUUAUGUGUUUGCUGCGAUUGAAAGUUUAACAAUUCCUAUAAAAUUACUAUGCUUUGCUUCCUAGUACAAUUCUUAUCCUCAUAAGAUUACUACUGGUGUUCAGUGUCUUGUGUUUAGCUUUUGCACAUAGAUGAGCUUUAACCGUAAAGUAGUGUAAAAAGUGAAUUUAAGGCUUCAUACUCUUAUCUUGGAAAAACACAAGGGUUUGUUGCGAUGAGCUUUCACCCUAAAGUAAUGUCGUUCCGACUAGGAUCUGCUCGUGUACUUUUUACUUUUCANNNNNNNNNNNNNNNNNNNNUGAGAGUAUUUAAUGAUCUCGAUUCAGCUGUCAUGUAUGGCCAACUUGCCAAUAAAGAAAUUGUUCAUGGUAUACAUUUCUCUCUCCUCUCCUUCUACCCUAUGAUAUCUAAGCACUGAUGGACUUGUUAUAUUUCCUGGUGUCUUUGUUAGCUUUUUCUGUGAAGUUUUAACCUUUUAUCUAUCUGCACAAAUGAUCCAGGAGUGUUUCUCUUGUAAGGAAUCUUAGGUCUUGCAUUUUUUUUUUUGGGUCUGAAAGUUGCAUUCAUUAAACACAAAGGGAACAAACUGGGCCUAGGCAAUAGCCUCUAGCCACAGAAAAACAAAGAGCUGGCCAUCAAACCAUGCUCGCAAAAAUGACCCAGAAAGAAUAAAACCAAAAACUGGACAUAAUUUGAAAGCUAAGACAAAGAUGAUAAGACAAUAUAUUUAGGUCUUGCAUGAUCUGGCAUGAUGAUGAUUUAUUAAUUUCAAUUUCAUGCAUUUUUGUGUGGCUAUCAGUAGAUUACAGCUGAACAAUCCUCUAUUUGAAUUCAUGAACUUUUGCCAAAUUUCACUUUGGACUUCUCGACUUGUCAACUAUGUGAUGAUUCUUUCUCGAGUUUAAUCUCCUGGUUGCUUUUUCUUCAUCUUUUGUUUAGUUCUUUUGGGGCACUUCUUUUUGUGAGUUUAUCACAUAAUGUUGGUUUUUGUUUGAUUUCAGACUGUCGAGAUAUCAAUGCCAUCAAUCUGGAUUCUGUUACUGCUCUUCUUUUGAAAAGGUUUAUCCAUAUCAGAAAAAUUUAGUAAAGCAAAUGAAAUUAUUAUUAUUAUUAUUAUUAUUAUUAUUAUUUUUGUCAUUGUUUGAUAAUAUUUAUUUUCAGGACAUUUUGCGAGUUUGAAUUCAACGAUGUUCGGAAACUUGCUACUGAGCUCUGUGGGCGUAUUCAUCCUCAAGUAUAAAACACUUCCCUGUAAUCUAUAAUAUCACUGUAUUUCUCAUUUAUCUUCCAAAACCAAUGAUCUGAAAUCAAAAAGGCCUUUGGGGCAUUUUAGUUCUGAAAUCAAGAAUCCAACUCGGUUAUGUCAUGAUCCAUAUGCUUUUAUCCAUUGAAGAAUUGAUAGAUUCUUACAGAGUGGUCUUAAAUAAUGCUGCUUCAGGUGGCUGAUUAUAGCUUCAAUAUAUAACAAAAAGGCCUUGUGUGUACUUUACUUGAAUACAAAUCCUUUUAAUCUACCUGCUUUGGAUUUUGUAGGUGCUAAUUCCACUCAUCAGCUCCCACUUAGAAUACGCUGCUGUUUCUCAGGAUAUAAUGAAGAUUAAAGGUUGUUUGUUUGCAAUUUGCACGUCCCUUGUGGUAAUUAUCCUUGACAUAAUCUCUUGCCUUUCACUUUUAUUGCUUUGGCUUUAUCUUUCUACCAUGGUCUCUAGGCAUUACACUUCUAUUUGCAGUGAACUAAAGAUAGGGUUCUCAUGGUUGAACAGGUUAGAGGUCGCAAAUCACUUUCUCAUCCUGGUAUGUUGAUAAUUAGAAAAACAUUAGAGACUAUGCUAAUAUGGCCUUCUGUGGAUGGGGAUGAAGGUAUGUAACAACUACAAGUACUGUUCCUCAAAUCCCAAGCAAAAUUUAAUAGUCAUUUGAGUUUGAUGGCUGUAAGGUUACUUUCCUUUCAGUUUCCAGAAUACAGCAUGGAUGCAUUGAUUGCAUGGCAUUAAUGAUAUGUGCUGAGCUGCAAGAUCCAAUAUCAUCUAACAUUGUUGGGACAAAAAAAUAUCUUGGUUAGUAUGUUGUCCUCAGUCUGCAGACUUUUUCCUGAUUGGCAGAAAUCUGACUUUAUUAUAAAACAAUUCAGGCGAUGGUACAUUGAAAAACUCUGUCCUCACCUACGUGAUCAACCAGCUAACAGAAGAUAAAGACACACCUGUUUCAAAGUCCAACUUGGAUGAUGUGAAAUGCACGACUGAGGUGCCAGUUCCAAUCUCAUUUUACCUAUGCAUGGCUAAUGUUCUCAUCAGUGCUUGCCAAAAGAUAUCAGACUCUGGCAAGAAACCUUUUGCUCGAAGAUCUCUUCCCCGUCUCAUUCGUGCCGUCGAGGUACAGUAAAUUACUAAAUUUUCAUUGUUUUAUGAUCUGUGAGGUUGUCUUAUUAAAUCAUGCUUCAUGUCACUUCAUUCAUGCAUGGUGUAAAACACUGCAGGUGAUUACAAAGUCAGAGAUCAGAGCUGCAUGCACUCAAGUUCUCUUCUCAGCUGUGUACCAUCUGAAAUCUAUAAUUCUUCCUUACUCCAUGGAUCUUCUUAAAGUUUCAAUCAAAGCUCUUCAAAAGGGAUCAGAGAAGGUACUGGAAUUGGGUUUCAAUAAAUCUGUUACUCUUUGUGCAUUCACAUUGUUAUCCUGAAGUGUUAUUUUAAUUUCAUCUCGAGAAACCCCAUACUUCAUGAAUUGAUGGCCUAUAUUCAUUUUGUAGGAAAGGAUGGCAAGCGCGAAGCUAAUGGGGUCCCUUAUGGCUAGUGAUGAUGCAAUCAUACAAAGUAUAUCAGCGGGAUUAAUAGAAGCAAGAUCUGUACUGUUGAGUAUUUCUUCGACAGAUCCUUCACCUGAAGUACGUCAAGUCUGCAAAAAGUUGCUAGCAUGCCUAACUUCUUGAGAUGGUGCCUAGGAUUAUAGACACUGCGCUUUGUUUUUCUUUUCGGUAGGUGUAUACAUAAUGUACAGCCGCUAUUGUUUUUUUCAAAUCGACGUAAUUGUUGAUAGUAGUUGCUUUGAGAAACAUAAAGAAAAAGAUGCAACGGUAAAGUAGGAUCUUUUGUUACCAGUUGACAUAUUUAUUGGUAGUCGUCGUUUGAGUAUAGUGAUCUCUGUAGUGGUAGGUUGAUAGCAGUUCCUCUAACCAUUCUUUGGUUUUGACCCAGAACUGGAUAAUUUCGUGGGUAGAGGUUUUAGGGUGGGAAGAAGUCACCAUGGCAAACUGAGGAGAGGAGGUAAAAGAUGAAAAACAGGGUUUGAGAUAGGAAAGGAAAAAGCUUUGAGAUCAGAAGCUAGGUGACAAGUACAUGCUCCCCAAUGUCAACAAGAACACUAUCAUUGGAUCCAAGGAAUAUUUUGCUGUACCUAACAAGCUUCGACUUUUGCUCAGCAGCAACCCACGACCUUAAACCACUUAUACCGUCGAAUGCGAAGAAGUUUUAUGUGUGACAAUUAUCAGAUGAAGAAACACCCCCCCAUUGGUGACAGAUGACCCAAAUGCCAUAUGUCCAAUGUGUCGUGGUAGAGCCAUGUUCAUCGCAGCCGCCUAUGUUGCUCCUCCUCCGGAAGAAACUGGCUUGAUGACUUGGGAUGAUGGGUAUGUGGGAGGAGGUUUUUGCUUCAUACACGAUAAUGGACGAUCUGAGAGUCCAACCUGCAUCUGUCUUCGCAAAUUUGAAUAUGAAGUACAUUCAUAUCAGUAGUAGUGGUUUUGAUAAUCAUGAAGAGAAGGUGGUACAUGUUGAAAUCGAUCAGGUGUGAAUCUUUAGUCUUAUAUCUCUGUACCUCACUUCUGUACGUAUACGUUUUGUAUAGCAGAAAAGUGUGUCCUAUCAUAUGUAAACUCUUGAUACUUCAUUUGGGUUUUUAGGUAGAUGAAUGGUUGAAGCAGAAUCAAACUCAGUUCUUACCGAUAUCUUCCUCGGAAGAAAGCAAUUGCUUGAGAAAUGGUUCCAACCUGAAGCAGAUUCUCAGGACGGAUUCACACUUUUCCCGGUUCUUAACAACUUUCAUUUUGGUCGGUUCUUAAUAACUAUUAUAAGAAGCAAAUUGCAUGAAGGGAAAACAAUGUCCUAAAUAACCAAAUAAAGCUUAGGGAAAGCUGAUGGAAAUCUCAACAAACAAGGACUUAAUAGCAUAUGCUCCACUAACAAUAAUGUGUGAGAGGUAUUUGGAACAAGGCUGCUUUUCAAAUCUGCGCAAAUCUCUCAGUGCUCCAAAGGUAACAAUGGGGGUACCUCAUGUUAUUGUCGACACAGUAUUUGUUGUUUCAUAAGACCAACAGAGGUAUUUGGUAUUGUUGCAGGUUGAAAGUCCCUUUUGUUUUGUUGGUAUGAUCUUGAAGAGUUGUGAGCUUCCACAUACAAACGCAUGUGGCUAGGGGCUAGAUUGAUCUCGGUAAGCUGGUCAAUCAUUCCCAUCAUACUCAACAUUUUGCCAUCAGUUACAAAUAAUGUUUCCGGUUUUUAAUUUGCAGAGUGCAUCAGACAUUAUAUUUCCCAUUGUAAAGGGUGAGGAGUUGACAGAUGUUUUUUCAUGCCACUGUGCCAGCAUAUUACAGAUCUUCUCCUAUUCAUUGAAGAUUUCCAAACAAGAACGUCUUAAGAGAAAAGUCGGUACCCAGAUUCUUUUAUUCCAUUGAUCUGAUAGACCAAUUUGUAUCAAAUGAUCAAAUCAGAAGCAUUAGUACCAUAUAGAAAGUAAAGAUCAAGAUGAAAGUACAGUAACAAAUGUAAUCAGUAACAGAUGUCUAUCUUAAGAGAAAAGUCGGUACUCGGUACCCAGAUUCUUUCUGUGUUAUUCCUAAAUGCAAAAUACUACUCUAAAACAGUAACAAAUCUAAAUGUAACCCAUUUACAAGGUCACAAGAUAUUAAGUAUGGUUCCAGGAGGUUAUUGCCUCUCUUUUUUGGGAAGCUAAAUAUAAUUUAUUUUAGCUUUUGAACCCACUAAAUUUGUUAGUUGAUAGUAUCAUCCAAAGCAAUCAGAAGUUUUUUAGAAAAGAGAAAUUCGAAAUUCGCUCAAGUUCCAAUUGUUUCAAGUUUAUCCUACCUAGCAAUCAUGACAAGAAGCAAUGGUACUGAAACAAAAUUUACCCAAGACCUGAAUAGAACAGUGUUGAUGCUUGGGUUACAUCAAAUUUAUAACCAUGUGAAACAUCUCCCAACACAUGAGGGAAUAAAUUCCUCCGGCACUAGAAGCUUCAUUCUACUUCUGCCAAUAUGAAUACUGUGAUGACUAUUUGUAAAUGAGAGCAUCACGUCCAGGUCCGACACCAAUGUAAUGGAUAGGUACACCAACAAGUUCUUCUAUUCUUUCCACGUACUGUCUUGCAGCUUUUGGAAGUUCAGAGUAGCUUCUUACAUUGGAGAUAUCGGAAUUCUAUCCGGGUAAUACUUCAUAUUCAACCUAAACACAUAAAAACAACAUCACCACCAAUAGCUAACCAAAAUUUCAUUGUUUAACAUGUAGAACCAGCGGCUAUAUUGCUCAACAGAAAAUUUAGUGCUCGUAAUUUAAUUAUCCAACUGAAAUCAAGUAAUAAGAGAAACAAAACAUCCUGAUAAAUAAGGGAGAGAAGAAAACUUACUUUCACUUGCUCAAGAAGGCGAAGAUCUCCAGGGAAUGAUUUGAUUGGUGUCCCAUCACUAGUUUUGUAGGCAAUACCCAACUGAAUUGCGGGAAAAUCAGACAAAACAUCUAGUUUGGUGAGAUUGAGAGAAGAAAAGCCAUUAAUCUGGCAGCAGUAUUUCAGUGCUACUAUAUCAAGCCAACCACAGCGACGAGGGCGACCGGUAGUUGUUCCAAACUCUUGACCUUGCAACCUAAGAAGGUCACCCUCUUUACCUAAGUUUUCAGUGGGGAAAGGACCAGAACCAACUCUUGUAGUGUAUGCUUUCACCUGGGAAGCCAAAAACCAAGUUAGCAACAUGAAUUUUAUACCAACACAUAUACAUUUACACUAACAGGAUGCAGCUUAAUAACUUGAAAGAAUAACCUAAAGAUACAUAAAGCAAAUUAGAUUUACAAAAUUGAACAUUAACCCCAUAAAAAGAGAACUGUAGAAGAUGCAAUUUUCUUAAAUUGUUCAUAGAAGUCUAAAACUUCAACAACAAUGAAAAAUGGGAACAAGGCAGGUUUUUUUUUUUUUUUUUGGUUCUGAAACAAGGCAAGGUUACAAUAGUGAUAUCAAAGAAUUGAAAAACUAAAUUUAUAAAUACAAGAAAAAACCUUCUACUUACCACUCCAACAAGAUCACCUAAAACUCUGGGAGCAAUACCCAAACCAGUACAAAUCCCACCAGCUGAAGGACUUGAGGAAGUGACAAAGGGGUAUGUUCCAAAGUCAAUAUCCAACAUUGUUGCCUGACCCCCUUCAACUAAAAUCUUUUUCUUCUCGGAGAUGGCUUCAUUCACAACAAGUACAGUAUCAGCAAUGAAGGGUUCCAAUCUCUCAGCAAAUCUCUUGUACUUUUCUACUUCUUCUCUAAGCAUCUGGGGGUCAUACUUAAAAUCUUUGAAUCUUGAUGCAGCAUCUGACAACAGAAUAUCUAGCUUCUGAGGUAAAGUGUCCAUGUGCCUCAAGUCACCAACUCGAAUGCCAUUCCGGAUAACCUUGCUAGAAUAACAAGGUCCAAUGCCUCUCUUGGUUGUACCGAUGAAAGAUUUAGCAAGCUCAGCUUCUCGAAGCCUAUCCACUUCUUGGUGGAAAUCAAAUAAAAGGUGAGCACGAUCAGAGACCAAUAUCCUUCCCUUGCAAGACACUCCAUUGGAUUCAAGGCCAUCAAUCUCUUUAAAGAGGCCUGGAAGAUGCACCACAACACCAUUCCCAAUANNNNNNNNNNNNNNNNNNNNAGAGUGUUUCUUUGUCUUACCUGACAACGAGCAACAACGUCAAAGUGCUGGGCCAAGAUGUCAACGAGUUUGCCUUUACCUUCAUCACCCCACUGGCAGCCCAAAACUCCGGACACCUGGGUUAGAGACUCAAUUCGAUUAGGUCCGCUGUUGGGUGACCCAGCCACACUUAGCGAUGAGGGCGAGGCAACUGAGGGCUUCACAGAGCAUACAACAACAUUUCUGGGGCGCUGGAGGAGGUUAAACCUAUUGUGUUGGGCGCCCAAGUAGCAAGGUUUAGAGAGUGGGUUGGCAUCAAGGGCUGCGAAGGUCGACAGGUUGUUCAUGGUGAAGCACUGAGUUAGAAAGAAAUUGUCAAGUCAAAACUUUACAACUCUCAAAAGACAGGGUUUUUGAGAAAUUGAGCAUAACCACAAUUUUUCAUAAAGACCACAUCAAAAAGUCCAUUAUCACUUAUUAUUGGAUUACAAUUGAGCUUUGAUGUAAUGCAUUACACUAGUUUGAGAACACAAUAAAUUAAUAGGCCUAAAUAUAGAAGCACUACUCUUUAAACCAAGAGAUUUUCUUCAGCCAUCUACUUAUAUCAACGUUUCAUAAAAUCAGGCUUAAAACAUGACCAACAAGAACACAAAAACUACGAACACUAGCAAACAAGAAAAAUCUCUUCCCCUGGAGGUUACAAAGCAUUACAAUUUGAUAAUACUCGCAACAAUUGAUACAUACAAACAAGAUAAAUGAAACAUGAAAACCGAUCAGUCAUAACACACAGACUGCUCAAUACUAGCAAUCAGAAACCCAAAAAACCAGAAGUAAAAAUUUGCAGCAAAGAUUACAAAACUACACAAACAAACGAUAAGCAAACCAAUAAUUAAUAAACGAAAUUUCUAUUCCAAUAAACUAUUGCUAGCUGAGCUCUGUAAUCAUUACCAAUAUCUACUAAUCGAAUGCUACACCCUAACUCACCAAAGCCACAGGCCACCAUUACGAAUUCACAAUAGGCAAGAAGCCCUUAACAUUUAGCAGGAAAAUAGAGAGAGAGAGAGAGAGAGAGAGAGAGAGAGAGANNNNNNNNNNNNNNNNNNNNAAAUGAUCUGGCAAUGCUAGCAGAGUGUUCUUUGUCUUACCUGACAACGAGCAACAACGUCAAAGUGCUGGGCCAAGAUGUCAACGAGUUUGCCUUUACCUUCAUCACCCCACUGGCAGCCUAAAACUCCGGACACCUGGGUUAGAGACUCAAUUCGAUUAGGUCCGCUGUUGGGUGACCCAGCCACACUUAGCGAUGAGGGCGAGGCAACUGAGGGUUUCACAGAGCAUACAACAACAUUUCUGGGGCGCUGGAGGAGGUUAAACCUAUUGUGUUGGGCGCCCAAGUAGCAAGGUUUGGAGAGUGGGUUGGCAUCAAGGGCUGCGAAGGUUGAUAGGUUGUUCAUGGUGAAGCACUGAGUUAGAAAGAAACUGUCAAGUCAAAACUUUACAACUCUCAAAAGACAGGGUUUUUGAGAUAGAGCAUAAUCACAAUUUUUCAUAAAGACCACAUCAAAAAGUCCAUUAUCACUUAUUAUUGGAUUACAAUUGAGCUUUGAUGUAAUGCAUUACACUAUAGAAGCACUACUCUUUAAACCAAGAGAUUUUUUUCAGCCAUCUACUUAUAUUAAUGUUUCACAAAAUCAGGCUUAAAACAGGACCAACAAGAACACAAAAACUACAAACACAAUAAAUUAAUAGGCCUAAAUAUAGAACCACUACUCUUUAAACCAAGAGAUUUUCUUCAGCAAUCUACUUAUAUCAACAUUUCACAAAAUUAGGCUUAAAACAGGACCAACAUGAACACAAAAACUACGAACACUAGCAAACAAGAAAAAUCUCUUCCCCUGGAGGUUACAAAGCAUUACAAAUUGAUAAUACUCACAACAAUUGAUACAUACAAACAAGGUAAAUGAAACAUGAAGGCCAAUCAGUCAUAACACACAGACUGCUCAAUACUAGCAAUCAGAAACCCAAAAAACCAGAAGUAAAAAUUUGCAGCAAAGAUUACAAAAACUACACAAACAAAUGAUAAGCAAACCAAUAAUUAAUAAACAAAAUUUCUAUUCCAAUAAACUAUUGCUAGCUGAGCCCUAUAAUCAUUACCAAUACCUACUAAUCGAAUACUACAUCCUAACUCACCAAAGCCACAUGCCACCAUUACGAAUUCACAAUAGGCAAGAAGCCCUUAACAUUUAGCAGGAAGAGAGAGAGAGAGAGAGAGAGAGAGAGAGAGAGAGAACNNNNNNNNNNNNNNNNNNNNGGAGGAGGAGGCGCGGUGCUUGUUGCUGCUGCUUCGUUUGGAAGAUUGGGGUUGCCUCGUAGCCGGUUGUAGUUCGUGAGGAGGAAGUGGAGGAGGAAGCGGGCGCCGAGGAGGAAUCGGGCGGUGAGAUGCCGAGGCGGAGGAAGCGGGCGGUGGAGGAGUUCGAAAGAGAGACUGAGAGAGUGAGGAGGAAGAGACUGGAGAGAGUGAGGAGGAAGAGUUGGAGACUGAAGAGAGUGAAAGAGAUGAGAGACUGAGAGAGUGAGAGAGUGAACGAGAGUUGGUAUUAAGGUUAAAAAUGAAAGGUUGAAAUCAAAACAUCUAAAAAAUUUAAUGGCUGAGAUUACUUUAUAUUUUACACGGGACGGGACGGGCCUGACGGGCCUUAACUUUUCAGUCCCGCGUCCCGUUCCGUUGUUUUUCUACGGGACGGGCCUAGUGUUUUUAAACAUAGAUCUCGUCCCAUCUCGUCAAAUUUUGGGAUGGGACCGGGAUUUAGGUUUUUUAUGCCCACCCCUAGUUUUCAAUCAAUCUUAAUUACCGAGUACAGAAUAAACAUCAAACCCAUAUUGAAUCCAAGCUAUAAAUACCUUCAAGUGAACAAAUUCGAGUUCAAUAGACCCAGUUCAGAUUUUGACCAAGAACAAUAAAUCCCAAAAACAAAGCAAUUCAGACACUGAAACGAACAGGGGAAAAAUCACAUUACAAUAAACUAAUGGUUCAAAAAAAAUCACACCCAAAACAGGACCAACUAGAACACAAAAACCAGAAACACUAACAGACAUGAAAAACUCAUAUCAAUAUUACAAUCCUCUUCUCCUGGAGGUUACAAAGCAUCUAAUUUGAUAAUACUCAGAACAAUCAAUACAAAACAGGGUAAGCCACAGCACUCAAUACUAAUAUCAAUACUAAAAAAACGCAGAAGUAAAAAUUCACACCAAAGAUUACAAAAAGUAAACUAACAUAUAAUUUAUGACGAAAUUUCUAUUACUCCAAUAAACUAUAGAUAGCUGAGUUCAGUAAACAUUACCAAUACCACACAUGAUUCUGUUAACCCAAUCCUAAAUCCUAACCCACCACAGCCACCAUUACCAAUUCACAACAAAACACACAUGGAAGCCCUUAACAUGCAGUAAAGAAAAUAGAGAGCUUAAACCCUAAUGAGUAAAAAGAGUACCUUUUGGGCAGUAAUGAGAGAGAAUCAAACAACCGAAGAGAGGAGGAGAAGAAGAAGAAGAAAAAGGAGGCGGAAGGCUGCUGAGUGGGUUAUGGAGACUGUUAUGACGACUGUGAUAGAGCCACUCACUCUUUUGUUUGCCCAAAACGCCCUUUUUAUCUGGUUUUCCUUUUAAAGACUAUUUUUAUUUUUUUGGAAAAUAGUCCAAAUACAGAAGAUCAUUCCUUAAAUAUGCUGGCUUGGGAAUUUUGUCUUCAAUGGGGAAGAGGAAUGUUACAAAUCAAAAAUAGUUUCUAAAAUUUAGGAGAUAAUUUUGAAUUUGCGAUCAGACUCAAUAUAAUCAAAGGAUCGAAAAGUGUAUUCAGUCUCGAUACAUUUGGUCAAAAUCAUAUGAACAAUGUAUCUAAUAAACACAAACACGUUAUAGAGAAAAUAGAUAGAAUGUUUUGACUUUAUAGAGUUAGACAAAAAUAUCAGUUACACAAAUAGAAUUUGUACAUUGUUGAUAUCAUAGAUUUGAAUAAUUUUGAUAUAUUUUGUUAUGUUGAUACGUAUAUUUUUUUAUGAACAUAAAUUUAUAUAAAAAUUCAACUUUUAUAAUCUGAAAAGAAAUCUAUAAGGAUAAAAUAGGAAGGAAAGACAGAAUCAAACUAAAAAAGUUGGAUGCUAAACAAACAUUAGUACUUUUUCAGACUUGUGGUGUUCAGAUUUUCCAUUUUGUAUCAAUAGCUUUGAUAUCUUUUCAAAUGACGAAAAUGCCUAUAAUCAGGUAAUUGACAAUCCCAACUCCCAAGUGACCCAAUCAACCCUAACCUUUUGGGAGAAUACCCAAAGUCUUCUCUCUCUCACUGCUUCGAUUUCCCUCUGCUGCUCUUGAUCGCCUGCUUCUUCUUCUUCUUCUUCAGGUGAGCUGCACACCCAAUUCUCUGACGUCACCCUCGAACAUAUAUUUAACACUGACUGUGUAUUGCUCUCUUCUUGAUUCAAAUCUCAAAGCUGUAGAUCCUUAGAUUCACACCCAAAGUUUGUUUUCAUGUAUAAUUUGUUGUUAUUAUCUCAAGUUGUGGUUAAUUUCCAGCUCAAAUGCUUCAAAUUUUCACUUCUAUAUGAUUCACUGUGUUAAAAGCUGUCAACUUUAAACUGUGUUUACUGCAAUUUGUAUGAGCUUUAAAUGGCAUCAUUUGGAAUUUUACAGACUUCGUCAUGACAAUGUACAUUUCGGAGUUUUGAGUUAGAUGGAGAAGUUUAUUGUUACAUUCGAUAUAAAUUGCGAAGAAGGGUGGUUGUGAACUGUGAUUGUUUUGGUUUGGUUUUCGCCUUUUUGGAUUUGCCCACAUGGAGGAGGAUGAGGAGGAGACAUUUUUUGUUGGUCAGGAGUUCCCUGAUGUCAAGGUCUUUAGGAAUGCGAUUAAAGAAGCAGCAAUUGCACAGCACUUUGAGCUUCGUAUAAUAAAGAGUGAUCUUAUCCGCUACUUUGCCAAGUGUGCUGCUGAGGCUUGUCCUUGGCGCAUUCGUGCUGUGAAGCUUCCUAAUGCCCCGACAUUUGCGAUAAGAAGUCUGGAAGGGAAGCACACUUGUGGUAGAAAUGCACUCAAUGGGCACCAUCAGGCGUCUAUUGAUUGGAUAGUCAGUUUUAUUGAGCAACGUCUGCGGGAUAACAUUAAUUACAAGCCAAAGGAUAUAUUGCAUGAUAUCCAUCAGCAAUAUGGGAUUACCAUACCAUAUAAGCAGGCUUGGCGUGCAAAGGAACGGGGACUUGCUGCGAUAUAUGGAUCUUCCGAGGAAGGGUAUUGCCUUCUUCCUUUGUACUGUGAUGAAAUAAAGAAGACCAACCGUGGUAGCAUUGCUGAGGUGUUUACUACUGGUCCAGAUCACCGGUUCCAGCGAUUAUUUGUUUCCUUUUAUUCAUCCAUUUAUGGAUUUCUGAAUGGUUGUUUGCCCGUUAUUGGGCUUGGUGGAAUCCAUCUUAAGAGCAAAUAUCUGGGUACUUUACUUUCUGCAACUUCUUUCGAUGCUGAGGGGGCUUUAUUUCCACUUGCAUUCGGUGUUGUUGAUGAAGAAAAUGAUGAGAGCUGGAUGUGGUUCUUGUCAGAGUUGCACAAGGCACUAGAGAUGAACACCCCAGAUAUGCCACAGUUCACAUUUAUAUCGGAGACACAGAAGGGCAUUGCAGAUGCAGUGAGAAGGAAAUUCCCACAUUCUGUACAUGAUAUUUGCAUUCGCCACUUGAGUGAAAGCAUUGGAAAAGAAUUCAAGAACCCAAGGCUCGUACAUCUGUUAUGGAAAGCUGCACAAGCCACUACUACCAUUGGUUUCAAAGAAAAAAUGGCUGAAAUAGAGGAGGUAUCUUUGGAUGCUGCAAAAUGGCUACAACAAUUUCAUCCUUCCCGCUGGGCAUUCAUGUAUUUUGAAGGAACUCGUUAUGGUCAUUUCUCAUCAAAUAUUGAGGAGUUCAAUAAAUGGAUUCUGGAAGCUCGUGAACUGCCUGUAAUUCAGGUGAUUGAGAGGAUUCAUGGUAAAUUGAUGACAGAGUUUGAAGAACGGCGGAAGCAAAGUAAUUCUUGGUUUUCCUUCCUUGCUCCAUCUGCUGAGAACUAUAUUUUAGAAGCCAUCAGCCGUGCAUCCACAUAUCAGGUCCUUCGAUCAGAUCAAGUUGAAUUUGAGAUCCUCUCAGCUGAUCGAUCAGACAUUGUGAAUAUUGGAACCCGUUGUUGUUCCUGCCGCGAUUGGCAGCUAUAUGGUUUACCAUGUUCCCAUGCUGUUGCUGCCCUCAUCUCAUGUCGGAAAGAUGUAUAUGCCUUUACAGAGAGAUGUUUUACUGCAGCAAGUUACCGUGAGACGUAUGCUGGAGCGAUAAAUCCUAUUGAAGCAAAACCUCGAUGGGUAAAGACAGAAGAGGCUGCAAUGACUGAUGAUGAUGAUACUCGAGUUUUUGUACGACCCCCAAAGAUUCGUAGACUGCCAGGGCGCCCCGAAAAGAAACGGAUUUGUGUAGAGGACAUUAAUCCAGGCAAACAUACUGUACGUUGCAGUCUGUGUAACCAAACUGGACAUUAUAAGACAACCUGCAAAGAGAGAUUGUGAAGAGCAGUGAACAGAUCUAAGUGCCUAACUUCGUAUUCUAGAGAUGGCCGCAGUUUGUACUGUUACUUUAGUGUAUAAUACUGUUCCUGCAAUUAUGCCAAACUAGUUAUUCAGGUCUUGUAAAAUAGGAAUUUCCGGUUUUACCAGUAGGUGCUUUGUAAAUUGUUCACUGUUAACGCUGAGGUACUUAGAAGCACACAUUCUGAUUUGGUCAUUGUGAUUCCGAAUCUUCCCUCUUUUUGUUUAUCAAGAGGCAUUAGAAGCUAAUCCCUCGUAGUAUCUUCUCUCUGGAACUGAAUCGGUUUACUAGAUUGGGGUGGUGUGUCCGUGUGUGUGAUUCACUAACUGCAGAAUCUCCACUAGUGAUCUUAGUUCAUUCUUUCCGCUCAGGAAAAAUUCAAAUGAAACCAGUGAAGUGAAACUGAUGGAACAAGUGGUCGUUGCCAAAUUAACUGAAAUGUUUUAAAUCCACCAUUUUGCAGUAAGAAUGUAUGGAACAAUGUGCCCGUGGAGUGUGGAUCACUAUAACAGAUGUUCUGUUUACAACUUUUGUCAUCUUUAACAUACUAACUUCAGCAUUGGCCUCCAUGGAAAUUCUGAGAUAGCAAAAUAUAUUGUGAUUAUUGAACAGGAGUCGAUUCACAACUGAUUUGCAGGCCAAGAAAGAUCAACAACUUUAUUUAGGUAAAAUUAUACUAUUCUAGCAAACAGAAUCAAAGCUUCUGAUCCUUAGAAAUGUUACAGCAAUUAAGUGUGUAACACAUGAAAACAAGGCUGAUCGAAUCAUUUUCACAACAGCUAAAAUCUCCAUAAUUCAUAAACUAAAGCCGACAAACUGAAUAAGGAAUUGGAACGUGCUAAAAUAUUUAGCAUAGAACGGAAAUGGGAGGCAAAUAGGUUCAACUAGCAUGCAGCAGAAACUGGUCUACAAUUCAGAUCCCCAGUCCUCACUUGUAUAAUUGCUUGAAUCUUUUGCAUGCUUCUAAUAUAUUUUCCCUGUGUCCAAAGGCACUGACCCUGAUGAAACCUUCACCACCAGGUCCAAAGCCACUUCCAGGUGUGGUUACCACAUGAGUCUUCUCAAGGAUCUCAGCAAACACAUCCCAGGAGCUUUGUCCGGGGAAGUGAACCCACACAUAUGGAGCAUUCGUCCCUCCAUACACGUUAAAGCCAAGAGAGUUAAAUGUCUCCAUUAUGAUCUUAGUAUUUUCUUUGUAGAAAUUUAUCACACCGUGCAUAGCCUACAAGGAGUUGAAAACAAGGAGUUGAAAACAAAUAACAUAAGUAAAGAAACAAUAAUUAGACCUUAAAUGUGAAUUCCAGAUUCAAAACUGUAGGAAAACAAUCAAGAAACAGUAAUUAGACCUUAAGACCCUCUGGUUGAAGGCAAGCCAGACCACCAGCUUGGACAAUAGUGGAUGCACCAUUGAAGCAAGUACAAACAAUGCGGUUGAAAUCCUUGGCAACUGGAAAACCAUCUGAAUACUGCAACUGCUUUGGAACCACAGUCCACCCCAAACGAACUCCAGUGAAUCCGGCAUACUUACUAAAUGAUGAUGUCUCAAGUGCAACCUUGAAUGCCCAUAAAGAAGCAACAUUGUUAGAUCUAGGAUAUUGAUAAAUAUAACAUUCAAAAGGAGGUUUUAAAAAACAUGAGUACACAGGCCAAAACACAUCAAAAAAUGUACAGCUCUCAACAAAACAAUACCUUUAACAAUUUUAUUAUCAACACGGGUAAAGAUAAAGUUUGUAGUAAGAUGAUCACGAGCCUUAGAGUAGCAAAUUACUGAUUGCAAACUUACAUCUUUAGCUCCAGGGAUUUCAAAGAUGGAGCGUGGAUUAUCAUCUGACAUAUACAUGGCAUAUGCAGAAUCAUAGACUAUGAUUGAACCAUUAUCCUUGGCAAACUUUACAAGUUGUGUCAGUUGCUCCCUUGUUGCAGCAGAACCAGUAGGAUUGUUUGGUGAACAGAAAAAUAUGAUAUCUGUUCGCUUAGUAGAGGACAGAUCAGGAAAAAAUCCAUUAUCGGGAGUACACCUCAUGUACUCGAUGUUUCCAAACUUCUCAACAGAUUUCUGAUACUGUCCUGUCUGGCCCAUAAUAACACUUGAAUCUACAUAAGCCUGCAUACACGAAAAAAAAUCCCCUCAAAACUAGACACAAGUCUUUCCAAAUAUUUUCUUUUAGCAGAAGGAAUACUUAGGUGUGUGUGUGUGUGUGUGUGUGUGUGAGAGAGAGAGAGAGAGAGAGAGAGAGAGACGAAGAGUAUAGUAGAGAUGGACAUGAGAGACGAUUUACAGAUCUUAAAGCACAAAAACAAAAGUUACCGGAUACGAUGGAUCUUGCACUGCUAUUGUUUUAUCCGCCCCAAAAAGAACCUGCCACAAAGUAAAGAAACAACAAAGCCCUCAAAUUGUUAGUUAUUCUCUAUAUAUCAAUCAAUCAAACUAACAAAAAAAACAGUGAAACAAAACAAAUACAAAUUUUAUGAUAGUUAUGCAAACCUGAAGGCGGGAUAUGUCACAUUUUGCCCCAUCAGAAACAAAUAUGUCAUCUUCCUCUAUGCCAAGGUCGCCAUAAAACGUUUUAGCAAUUGCAACUCUCAGUGGCUGCACACAUUAAUGACACAGGUAAGUCUUGAUUAUCAGUUUAUCACACACGUUACUUAAUCCUGAUCAUUGUAGAAUCACUGCUCAAGGAAAUGAAUAACAGAUGUUAGAAAGGAAUUAUAAAUGAAGGAAAAAAAAAUCUUGACAGUCUCUAGUUUGGACUGAAAAAAAAAAUGAAAAAAAAAAGAAGAAGAAGAAUAUCUAUCUGAGUGAGUAGAAAUUGAGAAUGAGGUUUUCAAAUAUAACUUACUCAAAUAGAUACAUCAAUGUAUCAACAUUAACAGCAGAAAGUAAAUCUCAAUUCUGCAUAAAAAGAAUUACACUAGAAAUUUCAAUCCAAAUCUCACGUAUAUUUUACCCAAGUGAAACCUCAAAUCUGAUUUUCGAGCAUGACAAUUGGUAGUAUAGAUAGGACAUAUUUUGCACAGAUGAAGUAUCAAUUGAAACUUUGUAAAUGCCUAAAUGGAAAAUAAAUAUAAGAAGGCCAAGUACCUUUUCACCUUGUUCAGGUCCAUAACCACUGUAACCCUCUAGGGUGGACAUGGCAAGUGCUCUCUGCCAAAUAAACAAUACAUAUUUUAAACAGUAAGUCUAUGUAUUGGUUGCUUCAUUUUCCUUUAAUGCUACAAACUCCAGACUAGUAAGAUUUCACUUCUGUACAUGCAAUCAAAACAAAACAAACUGUUUUUCCCCACUGAAUAUAGUAUCUUCCGUUGGUUCAAGGCUGGCAUUUCAGACAUUCAAAUUCGAAACAAGCCACAUUCAUAUUGAUCAGUAGCAAAGCGCCAUUAACCAUGAGAGCCGAGAAGUACCUUUGCCAUUGCAGAGGUUAUAUAUUCUGGAAUUGGCUCGGUAGUAUCUCCAAUUCCAAGUGGAAUUAUCUUCGCAUCAGGGUGCUUCUGCAAGUGCGCAUUCCUCCUCCUCGCAAUCUAAAAACACACAAAAACACGAAAAAUCUCAUAUCAAAAACUCAAUCACAAACAGCAUUGCAACAUACUCGAAACACUUGCAAACUCAAUCCUAUUCUUUUUACUACAGUAAACAAAAAAAAGGUUAUGCUAGCGGAAACAAAUUACAGACCUCUGGAAAAAGAUAACCGGCUUGAAGCUUGGCCAUGUUGGCAUUGCGAUUCACCUGAGUCUUGUACUCUGUCACAUUACAACACAUACACAAUCAGAGACUUCAUUUCUCUAAAAAAAUAUAAAAAAAUAACGAUUCGAAGAAGCACCGACCUGUCUUCUCCGGAGCGGCGACGCAUUUGCAGACGCCGACGGUUUUGGCGGGAACCGCGACGGUCUGCGCCCUGCGAAACAGUGACGUAUGUUUAGCAGCUAAAUUAGAAAAAAAAAAAAAAAAAAAUUGAAAAGGUGCGGUGGCGGAGUUGAACCUGGAGGUCCUGGACUUGAAAUCCAAGGCGGUCUGAGCGAAGAAGGCCGACGAAGACGACGCGAUUGAAGCUUGACUCAGUGCCAUUGUUGUGGUUCGAGACGGCGCUGCUAACACUUUUAUAUCAGCUUUUCUGUUACAGUGGGGUGUGAGACUGGUACUCAAAACGCAGCGUUUCGAUUGGGAUUUAUGUUUUGAAGGAAGCGGAGGGUAUUUUUGUCCGAGAACAAAAUACUUGGGUGACACGUGGCUAUUGGUUUUUUAAAGAAGAAAGGGAGAGAGAGGAAGAAUUUGACUCUCUCUAUUUCUCUCUGUGGCUCUCGUCGCCGCCAGAAGAAGCAAUCGGAGAUUACAGGGUACGACACCGUUUCGACGCCGAGCCGACUCAGCCGCCGUUGCUAAGUCUUCUUAAUUUUUUCUUUUUUUGAAAAUUACAUAUUUUGAGGUAAAGGAAUGGAUUUUCAGAUUGACGCAAAAUUGGGUCUUUAAUUGUUACUGUUGAUUUUCUGUGAUUUUGAUUGGGUUUUGUUGGUUUUGAGUAUGAAAUUUUGUAAAUUUGAAACAUUUGAGGGAAUUUGGUUCUAAAUGGAUGUGUUCAUUCUAUUAAGUUCUGGAUUAAGAUGCUACUCUAUAUUUUUUUAUAUAUAAUAAUUUGAUUAAUGAUAGUGUUAUAUUGCUCUACUGCACUAAAGGAAGAAUUGUUAUGCAUCAGGUUGAGGACAAGUGAAAUCAAGCUUGACGCUUGCGAGGGAGCAGAAGAGAUUAUAUAAGGUGAUUUACUUUUGUCUGUGUCUUCAGUUUGGAUCAUAGAGAUGUUUUAAUAUAUAGUUGAUAGUGCCUGAUUUGCAGUUAGAAAAUACCAAGUUUAUAACUAAGGCUAAUACAAAGCAUUGGAAUAACUAAUACACGGUACUUAUGCAAGGGAUGAGAUGGCAUUAGAAAGGUUACAAAGUUUAUGAUAUCAUAUGCCCUCCUAUGAGUAUAGUAGUGUCGCAUUACAUUCCAUUAUUGCUUCUGUUUCCAAACAACUGAAAAUACAGAUCAGACUCAAUAUCCUGAACAUGCGAUGUUUGCUGUUACCGCUCUUGGUAAUAUUAGCAGUCUGGAUGACCUUGUUGGUCAAGUAUUUUCUGUUUCAUUUACCCGGUUAUCGUCCUAAGGUGGUGCUUAGAUGCUUCUUUUCUGUUUGUCCCAAUUCUCCAUCUACAAAGGGCGCUGUUUCUAACUGUUUAGAUCAAAAGUCUGAUUAAAAAUCUGAAAAAAGUUGUUACCAAACAUGCUGUGCUAUUUGGCUAUAUUGUGAAAGGGUUGUGGAAUUGACUGUCUCGGUUGGCUGUCUCGGUUGGUUGGCCUGAUUUUCAGUUUUUUUUUUUUUGCCUUGUUUCUGUCUUGUUUUUCCCCCUUCUUAUGUUAAAAUGGUUCUGUUAAUUCAGACGAUCCUGAAGUUUCACAACAUUUGUUAUAUAGAAAAAUACCCUUUUUACUGUAUGAUUUAAAUGCUUUCUUCGUUUUUCUACUUUUCACAGGAAGUUGUUUGCCCUGGUCAGAUGGAUCUUGAGACAGAGAACAGAAUAGCUGCGAUUCUUAUGAGAGAAGCAGCAGAAUUGCGGCGCCAAGCUGAGAAGGAAGGUGUCCAUGCGUAUCUUCAACAACCUAAAGCAAGAUUUAAGCCAAAUUCACGGUUCCUCAGUGCUACUGUUCGUGGUGUUGAACAAGGUCUGUUCUGAUUGCCAUAUCAGUUCUUUCAUCAUCUUUACAUGCCCAAUUUAAACACUAUGCUAGUACCUUUUGAUUGCGUUUAAUUGAAUCAAGUCACUUUUGUUAUUAGAGAUACUGUACAUGAUGAGCACAUAGUGAUUUUAUUAGUAUACGCAAAGUUCUAUGAUGCAAUAAACCUACUGCCUAGAUACCUGGAUCAACAAGCUCUAAGGCUUAGGGUCUUAAACACACACAAAACACUUUUAUUUGGGAAUCACUCCCUGGUUUGAAACCAAAUCUAGGCUUCUCACCCAAAACUAGGCUUCACGCCAAUCCCAUCACAGGAAAACUCAGAAACAUUCUUAAGAUGCCUGGGCAUUAGGCCCUUACACUUAUUUGUACUUGAGCAGAUAGCCCACAUUAACAGCAUCAAAGACUCUUCUAAAACUGAAACAUUAAAGACUCAAUAGAAGACCUUAAAACUUCUAAACUGCAAUUAAAAUAUGAAAAGACAGCAGCAGCUUAGAGACUUCUAGAAUCAGCUUGGUGUUUCCCCCAAGCUGGGAAAAUUAUAUCAAGAGCAACUAAUCAAACCAUACGGAAAAGGGAUGAUUAGGUGCUUUCUUUUUCCUGUUUUUUCCUCUCAUAAACCUUGAAAGGUUUGGCUGUGAUGUCCUCAUCAUUCUAUUUAUCAUUUUUCAGUAUAGUACAGUUAGUUGUAGUAGACUAUCCAAUAUUGUUGGUUUCAGAUCAAUUUUGAUUCUCUUUUGAUAUAAAUUUUGAUUCCCUUUUGUUUGUUUAGCAAAUAAAGCUGUGGAAGUGAAUGAAAUGUGGCGAAUCCGGCAGAAAGAGCUUGAAUUGGAUGAAAGGCUUAAAGGCAAGAUGAAGGAUCCAAGCAGAAGUGACAGGAAUCCUGGAAAUGGUAACACUGCUAGAAGCGAUAGUAAGAGGCACGCUGCUAUGGAUGAUUAUGCUAGUGCUACUUGUUCAUCAAGUCAAAGAGUAGAUGAGAGAUGUCAUUCAAGGGAAGAGAGUGGAUUAAGAGACAAAGAACUUGAAGAAUUCUUACAUUCAAGGUAAUAAAUUAAAAGACUCUUGUUUUGUGUUGUGUGCAUGCAUGUUGGUAUCUGAUCAUGUCUGCUGUUGCAGUACUACAGAGUACAUGAUGGAUACUAGUUGACGUGAACUUUUUGCUAUGGCAGGGUCAAGCGUGGCAGAGGUGCUGUUGGGUCGAGGAUGGAUGAAACAGGUCCAUAUCUACCACGUUCACAUUCUGAGGAACAGGUAGCCGGUCCCAGUCUACUAGAACGUCGUGUUUAUGGACCAAAGAAGCCUUCAAAGAAGUUAUGUGAUUCUUCUGAAGAGGAGCUUGACAACAGGAAGAGAUCGAAAAAGGUUUCUUCUGGGAGCUCAAAGAAACAUAAAUCCAAGGAUAAGUCUAAAGAGCGGAAAAAAAGAAAGAGGAAAGAAGAGAAAAGAAGUAAAUAUCAUGAUUAAAAAGUGCUGUGUACCACUGCAUGUUUUAGAUGGGUCACAACAUGACGUUUCUUAAAGGUUCAUCCUAGUUUGUACAGAGGUGAUCUGAGUCGGCUUUCAACUCUAGAAUGUGGCAGGCUGUGGAACACAGAAGAGGAGACGAGUAAAUGUUUUUCCUGCCUGACUUUAACCUGUCUGGUUUUCAAGGAAUAUCAGAUAUCAGUGGGCUGAAGAAAUGUGAAUAUUCCGGGAAUUGAUGCAAGAUUACUGCUAAGGGAUCGCAUGCCAAUUGUAUCUCAUCUGGUUUAUUUUUGGCCUUCAAUUUGGAAACUGAUGUUCCUUGUCAAUGCUCUAUGACCAUCUUUCAUUUCCAUUUUUAUGGAUAUUCUAUUCAGCAGUGCUGACUUGGGAUAUUCUAUUAAGCACUUUUUAUGGAUGUUAAAUCACUUGCAUCUGUGGAAUCAUAUUCUUAAUUUUAGAUUGGGGCAAAUAGAGAGGGUCUUGCCGUACAACCCCAUAUAGAGGGAGGUGAGGGGUGGGAAGAAAGGAAUAAACUUUCAACAGAAAUUAUCAGUACCUGAAUUUUUUUCAUUAUAGAGAUGAUGCCUGAGUUUAAUUUUUUAUCGCAACCAGAAGUUCUUAAUUUGAUAUCAACUCGUAUUUCCUUGCAUUUUUCGUCAAAGAUGCAAUAAAGGAGCUUGUGUGAGGAAUCUGCAAGUCAUUUUCAUAUGUAGUUUUGGCUGAAAUAUUGUGUUAUUAAAUAGUAUUACAUUCUUUUUUUCGAUACUGUAUAGUGGUACUCUGAGUAUUGAACUGAGAAGUCUCGAGCACUCCGAAAAAUGAUUCAACUUGAGCUAAUGAAUUCUCAAAAUCGGCCCUGAGUCCCUGACAAUGAAAAAUUGAUGAAGAAGACUAAUGCAUUAAGUGGGUGAAAAAAAAAAAAAAAAUUAAUCUCCAAACCGGUUUCGAUCAUGCUUGUAUCAGUUGUAUGGGGUAGAGGAACAUGCAAAUUUCAUAUUUAUAUGAAUCACAAAAUGCUUAUGAAUAUAAAAAAAAUCUUACGAGUAAUUUAUUGUUGCGCAACGACUAUAUAUAUAGACUCACACACGCAUUAUUGAUCUGUUAUAUGUUUGCAAUCUAUUGUAGUUAAAAUUGCUACAAAUCUAUCAUCUAUGGUUCCCUGAGAAUGAAUGAGAAAGUCGUAAUUACGACUUACGAGUAUAUAUACAAUAUAUUGUGAGAUAUUGGUAGAAGCUAAGUAAGAUUAUGGAAAACUUUAGCAUAAUUAAUUACGAAAAAUAUUGAUAGUUUAGAAUUUAAAACGUCUUUUAGAAAAUAAAUUUUAUGUAAAACACGACAUUUUCAAUUAAUAAUCAUAUCGUUAUUUAGUUCUAGAAGAGAUACAUGACCGGUCUCAAUUGUUACUGUUCUUACCUUGUAGAUUGUAAUUGUGGUUGUCUUUCUUUGGUGUUCUUCUCCAUGAAAUUUAUAAUCAUAGAAACUUCUUCAAUUGUACUGCUUAAGAAGAAUGAGAUAGAGAAAUACUAUAUUGAUAUAAACUCAAUGUUCCAUUAUUGUAUCUUAGUUAAUACAUGCAAUUCCUACUGGUAUUCAGUUUUGUCGGCCAUAAAUUAACAUUCAAAAUGAACUUGAGUUUCCUCAAAUAAAGAGAAUGCAAGUCCUAAACCAAUAUCCAUGUUUCACAUGUAUAUUAACCUUACAAUGACAUUGUAGUGUUAGUUUCUUACCUAAAUACUGCAGGCUACAUUGCAUCUCAACAAUAGUUCGUUUUCGUUAGUUACCUCACAACAAUUCAUAUAAUGAGCACCUAUAUAUGUUUGCCCGCGGGUGCUUGAUGAUUGACUAAUGGUUACAUUUGGCUUCUGGCAUUGAGGAAUUAGAUUGAGUAAUUCCCAAUUGUGAUUUAUGGCCUCACUGUCAAGUGUUUCUCGAUCUGUUCCAGUUUCACUAAAUUACCAACAUUGUACAACUGAUAUCAAAGUUUACAGGUCUAUUGAUGCUAAUGUUCCGUUUCGUUUGGACGUCGGACAAUGAUGAGAGGGCUCGUGCUGCAUAUUGAUCGAGCAAAAUAAUAUUAACGGGUGCCAUACAAAGGAACAAGUGAAAGAGCUUUCUGUGUUGGGAGCAAGUGAACAUUGUUAAGAUGAAGAAAGAUGUAUCAGCUGAUGCAGUAUCAUUUGAGAUCAUGCAGUACAGUUGAUGUACACCAUAGUCAUAGUCUAAGAAAUUGAAACAGUCUCCUGACAUUCCCAAUUCCGUCCAAGUGGAAGUCCUUACAGUCAUGAGUAGACUGUGCCGGAACGGUGUGCUUGUGUAAACAUUUGGUAAUUCGACACAAGCAGACUGAAAUUACCAACCGAUAUAUAUCAGAAUUUCAUGCCUCCAAAAUUUAACUUCUGCCAAAUUUAAGCUUAGUGAUGAUGUCCCAUGUUCUCUUCUCUCUCUGUACUAAGCCUGGAGAAAAUUUUCCAUUCACCUCAACACAUAAAAGUUGGUGAUAUACUAUGGUACUAACAAAUGGCACAUCACUUCCAUGGCUUUAGGCAAGUUCCAGUAUUGCACCUGAUUAUCUAUUUUAGAACCUAGGGGCAAACAAAUAUAACGAAUAUUGUGUGUUUCAUAUGUACUACAAGACACUGCUUCCUAGAGAGACUGGUGUUAUGACUCCUCGUAUUGAUGAUCAGUUUCAUCAAAUAUUUCCUCCUGCAAAAUAAUGUACAGUUGAUGUCAGUAAAUCAAGAAGCAAAGGCUUUGUAUUAGAAACUCUUGAAGAAAAUCUGAAACAUAGCUCAAGCAGUCAAGCAUGAUAGUUGGUACCUGUAAAAGCUCUUCAAUGACGUCUUCCAUUGUUAUAAUGCCAACAGCCACUUCCUCUUCGGGGAGCCUCGGGAGUGCUUCAUCAUCUAUCUGAAGGAUGUCUGAAUACAUCUCCUUUGACCAUUUCUUGCUUCUAGACCCGCUUUUGAAAGAAGUAUGCCCACUGUUAGGGAAACUCUUCCAUUUAUUCAGUGAUCUUUUGCUCUUCAAAGUCUUCUCCUGAAGAGGCUUUUCACCAUCAAUGUCCACUCUCACUUCUUUCACUGGACCUGUUGAAACAGGCAAAGAUUGGUUAAAGAGGUAGAAGCAGCAGAUGGAGAUAUAUUUUGUAUGGAACUUUUUCAAGGCAUUUUAGAAAGGGAACUUACUGUCAGCUGUAUUGCCAUCAGGUUGCUCCGCAGUAUUGCACCGUCUUACAACAAUAGCCAUGUGACUGUGACCUUUCUGAAAUUCAUUCAGUAUGUCAUACAAGGGCAAUGUUUCUUGAACCCUAUCAAACAAAUAGGAGUGAGAAAUUAGAUCAUCAGUAAUGUUAUAGUUGAUACCUUGACAUGUAAUGCAACCUUCAACUAACAUCAAUAGAAAAGUACCUUGGAAUCUUGCGUAUAGUCACAUUCUUUACAGGUGUUUCAUCUUCUGGAUGAACAGUCAACAAAUUUUUGACCUGAGAUUUGAAGUUAAGACGUAAUGUCAACAACCAAUAAAUACAAGACCAAUCAGAAAGCUAAAACAAAAUUGUAUUUGUGAAUAGCAUUCACAAAUAAAACCCACAUUAUCUUUAACCUGAUUCUUUACAAAAGCUGUUCAGAAGUGGCGUACCACCCUUCUUUUCAACAAUAUAUGUUACUAAAACUGUACUCACAUGUUUAAGAUUCAAAGUUGAUGAAGGCAUACUUUAAGCCAAGUCUAAUGACUUAGAUCGGUAAGUAACAAAAGAAAAGGACAUGCUAAAGACAGCAGUUCAGGAAAUAAAAAUCUUAAAAUAACCAUGCCAAAACAAAAUUGUAUUUUGUAUUCACAAAUAAACCCACAUUAUCUUUAACCCAAUUCUUUACAAAAUCUGCUCAGAAGUGUCAUACCACCCUUCUUCUCAACAAUAUCUGUUACUAUAACUGUAUUUACUCACAUAUUUAAGAUUCAAAGUUGAUGAAGACAUACUUUGAGCCCAGUAUAAUGACUUAGAUCGGUAAGUAACAAAAGAAAAGGACAUACAAAAGAAAAGGACAUGCUAAUGACAGCAGUUCAGGAAAUAAGAAUUUUAAUUUUAAAAUAACGAUGCCAGAUUCUACGAUGAAUAAGAAAUUUAUUCCCUUUAUGAAGUAAAGAAGAGUUCAGAUAUUUGAGAUGCAGUUAAAAGCGUUAAGAAAUUACCAGAACAAGUCCAAUUAUGUUUGUGGGCUCCUCAUAGUACACUGGCACUCUACUAUGCCCUUUCUCCAUUAUCAAAUUCAUCAGAUUCCUGUGUGAAAGUUCAAUGAGCAGCAUUCAGGAAUUAGGAUUACAGAUCCAAAACAUCAGUUAUUCAAAUAAACAGGUGGUUCUCUGCCCAAAAUAAACCUGUCAAGCUUGUCAUUGAUAUCAAUUGCAAAAGUUUCAGCUAUAGGCGUCAUGGCAUCACUAGCAGUUUUCUCACUGAGCUCAAGGGCUCCAGCAAUAAUGGUGGUCUCAUCAUGUGUCAAUUCUCCACCUUUCCCAGCCUAGAAAAGAUAUCACAAAUCAUUAUAGAGCAGCUGUUAUAGCAUAAAAAUAAUAAAAAUUCCAAAUGAAAAAGGUUGAGAGAGCAAAGGAGAUAAAGGUUGGAUUGACAAAGAAAUGGUAUGAGAGCUAUUAGACACACCUCAUUGCCAUGAAAAUCUACAAGUGUUUUUAACUCUGCUCUGCGAAACAGAGCUACAUGUCCGUGGCCAAGAAGAUAGUCCAAUAACUGGAAAGCACAUAGAACAUACAGUAGUCAGAGAAAAUAUUUGAAUAUCAAGCAAUUGCGUUCCCCUCCUACCACUGGCAUAUAAAUGCAAAGAAAGAGUGUUUAUAACCAUGUCACACCUUGCUAAUUGGAUAUGCAAUAGGAAAGCAGACCCACAGAAGAACACGGACAAAUGGAGUCACUGCUGCACCUAUCGCCAAACCAUAUCGGGUACAGAUAGAUUGUGGUAUAAUCUGCUCAAAGUGGUAAGUAGAAUUUAGUGACACACCAUAAAAUCACACACUCUCAUACACACCAUGUUUGACAUCAUAACAAUUUGAAGAAUAUAUGUGAGGGUAUUAUCAAAUAGCCAGACUGAAAGUAACAUCAUGGUAAGGCCAUGGAUCUAUCGAUUCAACUGGUCCAUAUCCGUGAGCUGCUUAGUUAACUUUGAUGAACUAAUUUGUUAAAACCAUCCACACAUGACUCAGACUUACAAACUCCUAAGUGAUUGUGAAUCCAGCUCAAGACAACUUACCUCUCCAAACAGAAGAAUCAGUGUCACCGAAAUUAGGAUUGCACCCCAAGCCGUCACCAGACCAUCCAGAAAAAUGGGAAGUGCCUGGCACGAAAGAACAAACAUAUCAAUAUCAACUUUUGAUCUCAAGUGAAAAAAAAAAAAUGUUUUUCUUCUAUCCAAAAUAAACAUCAAUAACAUUCACCUCCAUUGCAGCAGCAUUGCAAAUCAGCAGGGUGCAAAGCAACAGAUGCUGCUUUCUGACAACUGGCAAGAUCUUUUCUGCAAUCAGCAACGAAAAACACACACGAAAACACACAAAUGAUCAGUUACAAGAACAACACAAAUCAAAAUCACGCAGCACUAGUAAAACCAUAAUCUUCUAUCACAAAGCUCAAGUCCUUGCACAAAUCCUCUCUUUUUCCAUCGUAAGCACUACCUUAACUCCACAUCUUCCAUCUCAAAAACUCAGGAAAUUAAAUAAAGAAUAAUAAUCACAGAUGAAACCUCAUCAUCAAAAUCUUGCCAAAUCACAAUUCACUCAAAUAAAGAAGUCUGAUUACAUUUCAACCAAACACAGCCACCAACUAUUACUUUUACCUACACAAAUCACAACAAUUUUGGAAAUUUCUUGAACUUUCUUUAAUCCAAAAUCAUGAACUCUUUUUUUAAUCCAAAAUAGCCAAUAAAACUCGAAUUAAAUCUCACAAAUUUAGGUCCUCUGAUCAUCUUCCAUUACUAUUUUGAUCACAUUUUCCAGAGCAAAACCAAAAAGAAGUCUCAAUUUCAAAACCAGACGCAGUCAAAAGAAUCAAAACCAUACCGGCGUGCUUGCGAUCCUUGGGCUUCCCAGACUUGGCCAAGACCUCAAGAUCGACGAUGCUGAGGGACAUGAGGCCCAAGGUGAGCCCAGACAUUAGCCCCGCGAACAAAACCAGAAACACGAUCACCAGUAUGUGUAUGAAGAAGGCGCUACUGCAACACUCAUACUCCACCGCCAUUCUUGAAAGCUCUCUUUUCUGCUCUCAGCUCCCAAAAUUCAAUCGCUGCUUCUCUCAACUCCGAAUUCGGAAACCGAGCGACGGCUCAGAGCUACACUUGGCAAUGGUGGAGAGAAAAGAGGAGAGAGAGAGAGAUGGAUUUUCUUCUUUUUUAUUUCUGGAGAAUGGUGGGAAGUCUGGGAAUUUAUAUCAGAGUGGAACUUGGCAAUGGCAUCACUUCUUUUUGGUUUUCUUUUGGUUGCGAUUAUUAGACGAAAAUUGACAGGGAGGUAAUGACAGUGAACGGUAACAGUCAAAACUCUUUUGUUUUCUAGUUUGUUUACUUUUCAGUUUUUACUGUUCAUCUUUCUUAUCUUCUUUUCAGACAGAAAUUACGGUUUAGGUCAAAUCAAGGAGAAAAAACAUGGUUAUCGUUUUGGUCUUUGAAUUGAUUUGAUGAAGAUAUUUUUCUUGUUAAGCGAGUGAGGUAAUAGUAUCUCCCAAAAAUAGUUAGUUAAUUUGUCGAAGAGCCAAUUGGAAGGCGAAAAAGAAUACGUGGAGUUGAGUAAGCGACGCUAGGUAGACCUUGUCAAAUUCAACACGAGUACAUGGCUGAUGAAGUGACACAGUGAAAGUUAUGAGUUAGAUCAUGUCAAACUUUACAGGAAAAUCUUAUAAACUGAAAUAGUGAUAAAUUGAUAAUAAUUGUAAAAAAAUUAAAUCAUGUUAAACAAACACAAAAACAAUUGAAUGAACACACAAUGUCUUAAUUAGUUACAUAUUUCAAAAAUCUAACCAAUUACCACAUCAACAACGUUCUCACUCCUAUUUGGGAACUCAUCAAUAUGUCAUUGUAAUUAGUUUCAGUCAUAUAUUCGUUUUAUGUGUAAGUUUUUUUUUAUACAACUUGCGUUUUAUGUGUAAGUUGUUUCGCAGUUGUUCCUCAAAGGUGAGUCUGUGAAUCAUGUAUCUCAAAAAGUUUUUGUAGCCUUCUUUGAUUGAUCAGUCAUCUCAUUUAGUUUGAUGUUUAAUUUCAUUCUGAAAAUUCAUCGUUUUAGGUGAACUACUUUUUAUAAACAGUAUCAUUUCAAGAAUUAUAAAUUAUCGAUCCUUUUAGAGAAGAGAAAAUUAACUUUACUUGAAAAUUACUUUUUUGAAAGAUAAAAUUAAUAGAAUAAUGAGAGUGAAAAGGCCUAAUCUUACAGAAUCAAAUAAGAUAAAGAGUGUUGUACGAGAGACAAGGAUAUGGUAAAUAUAAUAAUAGUACUGCUAUAACAAUCAUCGAUCAGAAGCAGAUCUUUUAAUUUGUUAUGUAUUAGUUGGUUUUAAGCUGGCUUUUGUUGUGUUGGGAGGUGACGUGUCGUGCAAAGCGCCAGUGGGUGAUAUGGAGCAUCCGAACCGAAUACCCGAAUAUGCGGGUUUGGCUGUGUCGGUUAUCGACGACCUAUCGUCAUCUUCAACCUUCUUCUUCUUCCUCAUCAUCUAUCUGUAAUUGGCGGGGUCUGAAACGAUGCUGGUUUUCUUUUGGUUAGGGCACAGUUGCAGUGUUUGCCCUACAUCAUCUGCAUCUCCAUAAUAAGUAUCGCAAAUAAUGGCCUUAUAUUAUCAAUGCUUCAAUGGGACACUGUGUUCAAUGAUGGAGGGAAGACGUAAGUCUUAACUAAUGUUAAGACCAUGACAUCGCAUGCAUGGCCUAUAGUGGAACAUCCUUUGGGGUUCUUAAUGCGUACCAUACCAUAAGAGAAUAGCUAGCUAGCUCGUCAAAUGAACAACAUUUUAAGAGUUAGGACUUAGGACUACAAACCUUGCUAAGUUUUAUAAUUGACGGAAUGACUAUUUAAAAAGAAAAUCGUGACUUUAAGGACUAUUUAGAUUAAAAUGAAACCAUAAAGACUGAAUAUAUGUCAACUUCAAACCAUAUGAACUAUACAAUAUUUAACGGUUUAACCCAUAGAAAAAACUCUUAAUCUAGACCGUAUAUCUGAUAAUUUGAUAUUAGCAUAUAACUAUUUAGGAUAUGCUAAUCAAAUGGCAAAAUGUGUCCCCAAUACCUUUUUAUUCAUGAUAACGUACUAUUGGUAUUGAUCAAACUUUGUUGCCCAAAAUAUAAUCUAGCUAUAUCUACCUUUUAAGCCAAAGUAAAAUAGAACCACUUGUUAUAGAUCGAUGUUAUUUUCAUAUAGAUUAAAAGCAGGAGAUCGACAACUGCAGUGGUCAUGACUCAUGACUUGGAUCGAUAUGUUAUGAUGCUUUGCGUAUAGAAUUACUUAAGCUUAUUAUUUCAUAAUCUGUCGAUUUCAUGCACACACAUACUAAACAGCGAGACUUGAAAAUGACACAAAAGCCAAAUUAUACAUGGUUUAAUUAAAUAAUUCGAUCAUGGGUGCUUUCAGUUAGGUAACAAUUUAAAGGCUAAUUAGGCAUUGGUUAAUAGAAGUCCUGCUGCUAAAAGGGUAAUAAUAUCAAUUGUUGCAGAUAUGAUUGAGGAAUAGUUAGUAAUACAUCUUUCACAUCUUUUGGAUAUUAGCUAGAUAAAUUUGAUUUUGCAAUUGCUGCAAGCAAUGCAACAUACAUAGUUAGUAAAUAAAUGUUCAUAUAUAUUUUGGCUUUACGUUGGGUUUACUUAUUAUUCAUGUUUUUGUCAAAUAUAUAGUGAUUUUUCUUUUGAAUCAGAUUAAAACUAUAUGUCUUUUCAACGUUGGCAACAAAUCGAUGUGAUAUUUAUAUAGUGAGCCUAUUGUGUAAUCUUAGUCGACAUGAGUGAGGUGGGUCAUGACGGCCUUAAUUAUGACUAUAAAUGUCGAACAUUAUUCUUGUUUCUUCUAUUUACUUGUAUGCGCGCUUCUCUGUUGUCACUAACCUUUAUCCACAUACACUAAAGCAUUGCGUAUCAACUGUCAAAUAUAUGCAUCGAAACGGAUCAGAAAGAGGAGGCCAUGCACAAAUUAAAGCCAUGCAUUAUGUUUUGGAAAAAAAUAGUGAUGAUUUUUGGUGCUUCCAGUUAAGUAUCCAUUUAAUCCGCCAGCUGAACUCGACUACCAUUAAACUAAUUGGAAGUGCAGCUUGCUAUAUGAAUUUAUAAGCAGAUCGAGUGGAAAUAGUGAAAUAUCCACGUACCAUUUAUUAUUUUGCUUAACUACGACCCUGUUCAUUAUUAUCAAAAUGGUGAUGGAGAUAUUAGAUAUAAUGGUAAUUUUUAGUACACUAUAUAUAUAGGAUUGAGAAUUUGAAAUUCAUCUCAAUCAAAAUAGUUCAUGAUCACUCAUGUUGAUUUUGUACGUUCAGCCGUAAACGCAAAUGCAUACAGUUAAUUAGCUUGUCCAUAUAUAUAUAUGCGUGUAACGGUGUUGAAAACUUGCAAUUGAUCUGUGCAUAUGUGCCGUGAUCUGUGUUUCUUACAUUGUUACUACUAAUGCAUGGUCACCUUCCACUAGAAAAUUUCCAAUAAUCAUCGAAAAUUUUCAAAUAGUUCUUGUUGAUCUAAUUGCAACAAUUUGUUGUUUUGAGAAAUUGUUCUUUUUGGAUAUAGAAAAUUGAUAAAGAAAUCCUACAACAUGCAUUUGAAAGAAAAUUAGAACACCAGUGACCGGUGUGGUUCCGGCCAAUGACCUUUCUUUUGGUGACAAAAUAAAUUACUCAUUAUAUCAUAAAACCGGUAAUUAAUUUGCUACAAUAAAAUUUCAAUUACGUAAAUACAUGGCUUGCACAAUUAGAACGACAAAAAAUGUGGUUGAAUCGCAACAUAUGAAAUUCUUUGACAUAGCUAGAAGGAAAUAUAAAGAAUACAAGGAGAGUGUGCUAUAUAUCGCUGGGUUUGAUGAUAUUGGCUGAUCGACGCCCCUUAAUUUGAUCGCAUGAGUAUAAUUGAAGAAGGUUUAUCCUGAAGAAGAUUCUCCUAGGGUUUGUCCUUCUGAACCAAGGAAAGGUUCCAGUUUAAUAUCUCCAACACCCUUUGGAUCAGAGCCGAUGCUGCAACGAGUAGUGUUGUGUAAUUGAAUAGCAUCCUUUAUUUUCUGGAAGCUAGCUAAUGAACAUGCAAAGGAUUCGAGCUGUCCCUCAGAUGCACUGUAAAAGUGGAAAUAGGGAAGGACCUUCACUUUCAUAAUUUCGCACAAUUUCUUGUUCUCAUCAAAAUUCACUUUCAGAAAUAGAAUCUCAGGGUGAUCCUCAGCUGUUUUGCAGAGCUUAGGAAAUAAUGCACGGCAAGAACGACACGAAGGAGCGUAGAAUUCUACGAGAACUAAUCUAUCUCCAGCUUCAGCUAAAGCACUUACGAAUUCUUGAGUUGAACGUAUGUCAAUCAUAUUCGGAACACUUCUUUCCCACCAUUCUGGUUGGUCUGUUUCAGCAACAGCGGCCUGUGCCUUGAAAUGUACAAACUGCUUUCUGGGUCUGUAAGAAACAGAGCGAGCAAGGGAAGAAUCCGGGAGAGAAUAGGCCCUCCUAAAUGGGUUUUGAUUAACAAAGAGACCCGGUUGCUGUGAAUUCAAAGAGGUGGACUUGGACAAAUUAGAAAACCGAAGCGUAUGGAGUUGUAAGCGAGCAACACUUGCCAUUUGAAUUCACUGAUUUAGUCUUCUAGUGAAAAAAGAAGACGAUCGAAGAAGAUAUGUGGAUAUAUGGAUAUUCUGGCCGGAGCUUUGGAACAGGAGAAAAGGUUAUCGACAGUCAAUAAUGUUUUCAGAGAUAGCUCCUUGUGAUGUAGUGAGGGGGUUUUAUAUACUAACUUAGGUCCUUGAACUAGUAGGAGUCCUUGAACUGGUAGGAGUCCAUAUGUCGUAUUGAGUAGGAAAAUAUCAAAUCCUUUUUCUUUUCUAAGAAGGGGACAAGCCCAAAAAGGUCCAGAACAAGUCCCGUAUUUUAACAAAAAUUAUACAGCUCCUGCCUCCGGCCACUUAUUCCGAACAAAAGCAUAAUACGUACAAUACAUAAACCCAAAAAAGAAUCUUAUUAACCACCAAAUUCUCUACUUGCUCAACACUUGGACAAUUAAUAUUUUUAUUUUCGUUAGAGUAAUUUUAUUUUAAAUAUAGAGGUACCAAGUCACAUCAAUUACAUUAACGUACACUCGGUCACUAUUCAAGUGAAGGUCUGCGAGGGUGUCCCAAUAAAGUCACACUCAUUUCAAGCCUCAAAUGAGCAGACUUAAUAACCCCUCAAACAUGUUAGGUCAAAAAUUAGUGGGAGCUGAAAUAUGAAUGCUAGAUAUGAAUAUUACAUGUUAACUUGCUCGAUUAGCCUUAUCAUAUCGUGGUAGUAAAAAAAAAAAAAAGGAAAAAGAGAAAAAAAGUGAAAAAGACCGGUUCGGCUAGAAUCCAUUAAUUUAUUCAAUAUAAGUUGUAGUCUUGUAGAUGUAGAUGUAGAAAUCGGUGUGUCCCAAGCUACGACUCUCUUCAACCUUCAGUAUUAGAAACUUAGUCUAAGCUCUCCAAAGUGUAAGACCAGCAGUCCAGCACAGAUCUGAAUCGGCCUUCCCCUAGAUCUCAUAUUCCACUUAAGGUUACUCCCUGCUUCUUCUUACACUACUACUCUUUGCUUUCCUUUGCCAGCAGUCUCUAUAUCCACGUUUUCAAUGCGAAACAAUUCAGCUUUGUUCACCCACUUAGCUUACUCGAUCUGAAAUCGUUGUCAUUUUCUUAUGGCAAUUGCCUUUUCAUGCAUGUUUCAAUUUCUUAAUCAAGUUAUAGUAUUUGAAAUGCUUUACUGAAAUGGGUUAUGGGUGUUGCUGAUCUAUGUGAUUGAAAAUAGUGUUGAAUACUAAUUUGCAUUAGAAAGCUGGCAGUGUGUGUGUGAUUGGGUUGCUUCUAGGAAAGAUUGAAUCUUUUGUGAGGUGCAUGAUAUUAGAGAGGUAUUGCUUAAUAAAACGGAGCCAAACUUGAUGAAUUGGGGAGUCUUCAAUGUAAAGUCUGAAAUUUGAACUGUCCCGAUUUCGAUUUUAGAUACCCAGCUAACAUCAGUUUAAAGAUUUUAUACAUUUCGACUGUGGGAUCCUCUUUGGCUGAAUCUUUGGUGGUUGAUCUCAAGUUAGCUAAAUUUAUAUGGAAAAUUUUGAGUUCAGUGAGUAGUAAACUGUGAGGAAAGUGUAUCACACUAGGCACUUGGAAAUACUGUAAAGUUCUGUUUCAACUUUCAACUAUUUUUGGUUUUUGCAGGUCCAUUGCUAUUAUAUCAGCAUGUCCAGGAGGCCAGUCAAUCCUGCUAGGCGCAUUGGUGAUGGUGGAAGCAUCCCAUUUGUGGGUGCGGUGCAGGCCAAAGCGAGCUCAUCACCUGUACUGUCUGUAGCGCUUGUGCUUCUGGUACUUUUUCUUACCAUCAAUGGCUAUUCAUCCCAACCUUCAAAUUAAAUAGUCAUAUCACUGUAUCUUUAAUUCAUUCUACCUUAUCCUUAUUGCAUACAAAAUUGAUAAUCCUAGAGUAACUGAAAAUAGAACACAGUCCCAACAUAAUUGAGCGCAAAUAGAAUAGUUCUAACAUAAUUGAGCACAAAUACAUGACUAAAAUGUCUUGCUAUAUUUGUAAAUCCUGAUUAUUAUUUCUAUACUUUCAGGGUACAAUUCUUCUUGUCUGCUAUGCUUUUAGCGGGUCAGGUUUGUGAUUCAUUUGACAACUCUAUUACUAGUGCAUAGAAGUGUUAAAGUUAUUCAUUUUACAGCUCAUUUGUUCACAAUCAUUACUUCUAUGCAUGAUAGGUGGAGUGAGCAGUAAAGAGGCUGUGAUUAAACUUGAAGGUAACAUUCGUGAUACAUUCGUUUAUAGUCUCGAUGCCUCUAAAUCAUUUUGGUUAUUGAGUGCAAUUUGCAAGUACAUGCAUAUUAUAAUAAAGGGAUUAAGGGAGGACCUCAAUUUUAUUAGAUCAAACGUAAAGUAAACUUUCCACUGACAAUUGCAGCAAUUGUAACCCGUCUAUACACAUCACCAUGCAUGGAGUUUAGAUUUAACUUGUAAUGUCAGAAUUCCUUUAUUGUGUAUAAAAGUUUUUCUGAAUUCAGAAGACAUCUUCCAUUUCAUAUAUCUUUGUAUGUUUAGGUUUUAUUCAUGAAGUAUGUCAGAUCUUGUGGUGUGAGAUAGCAUAGUUUAGAUUUUGUGAUGAAUUGGUAUACUGUAUGGUCCGAGAGGCACACAGAUUUUAGAACUAAUCCUGUAUCACAUAAGACUCACUGAGUUCACGUGUUCAGUUGUUUUAGAAUUUAUACCAUGCAAAUCCUAGACUCUUUUUGCUGUGAGAGACUAUUAGUUCUCUGAGUUGUUUGUGAUCAACUGUUAGCAUGAAAGUUUUGUCAGUCAGAGAAUCUAUUUACAGUUUGAAAUGUAAAUGCAGGUGGUGUUUCAUGUACACUCGAAGUUCAGAGAGCAAUACCUAUACUAAAGAAGGCAUAUGGUGAUAGCAUGCAUAAGGUAUUGCAUGUAGGCCCUGAAACAUGUUCAGUUGUAUCUAAAUUAUUAAAAGAGGAGGAGACUGAAGCCUGGGGUGUGGAACCAUAUGACUUGGAAGAUGUUGAUGGAAAUUGCAAGAGUCUUGUGAACAAAGGCAUUGUGCGUGCUGCUGAUAUAAAGUUUCCUCUUCCAUACCGGGCAAAAUCAUUUUCUCUGGUAAUAGUAUCAGAUGCAUUAGAUUACUUGUCUCCGAAGUACCUCAACAGAACUCUUCCAGAGUUAGCAAGGGUAUCUGCUGAUGGCGUAAUUAUUUUCUCUGGUAAAAUUUCCAUAUUACACUUGCAUUUUUCAUUUUCAUUUUGACGUACCCAAAAGUGAUCUCUUUACUUGAACAACAACCAUCUCUCCACUAUAGCUGAUUCCAUUUCACAAACAAACCAAAGACAAUUAAUCUGUGCUUGUGAAAAUUGUUCAAAUUUCUGUCUUCCUAAAUCUGCUUUACCAUAAGCUCUAUAAUUGGAUGGUCUCUGAUGAAUGGCUGAAAUAUGAUUUGAGAAAACCUAUUGAUAGCUAGUUGAUUUGAAGUUGACUGUGAGGGGCAAAUAAACCCUGAUGCCUGUGCUAAUGAUCUCUUUCUAUUUUCAUUUGUAGGUUAUCCAGGUCAACAAAGAGCUAAAGUUGCAGAGCUAUCCAAAUUUGGCCGUCCAGUAAGUAACAAUAUUUUUUUUUUAUCAUAUAACGAAUUUAUUGUUGAAACCCUAAAUGUCAAUCAUUAGUUUUCAUUGGCCUGCUUUUGUACAUGUGAAUAUCUAACUUGACGUUUACAAUGAUUUUCAUAGGCCAAAUUGCGAAGCUCAUCCUGGUGGAUAAGAUUUUUUGUUCAAACAAGCUUAGAAGAGAAUGAAUCAGCCUCGAAGAAGUUUGAACAGGCUGCAUUAAAGAGAUCUUAUAAGCCCGAAUGUCAGGUAUUCCACCUUAAGUCAUACCAUUGAGAAUCACAUCAUUGUAUCUUUCAUUGUAUCAGUUAUACCAUUGCACAAAAGGUAACUAUAUAUUUUGUGAAAUACGGAACCUCAUUAUGUGCUCCUUUAUGAGACGAGAUUUCUGAUAGAUGUGUACUAAGGAAUGAUUUCCCAAGAAUUGGGUACUGUCAUCACUUUGUAUUCUUUUAUACGAUGUAUUUGCCGCCCACAUUGCUGGUUCUUGUUGUUGCAAUGAUAGAUUUGUUAGAAUGUUCAGAUAUACAUUUGUUGAUUAUAUUGAUAAGACAGUCGUAUAUCGUUUUAGUGAUGCAAUCAAUUCUAUCUUUUGAUGCAUGCCCUCAGUGGAGAAGUCAAUUUCCACUAAAAUUAAAACUUAUUUUACCACGUUGAGGACCUUAUUUACGCCAUGACUGGAGGCUGUACCUGACGCCAUGGCCGGAGGCUUUACCUUAAUGUGUCAUAGAUCCACAUAGUAUUGAAAAGGGAAUAGAGAAACCACGUAAAUCCAGCAACUAUUGAAUUUACAACCAAAUGAUACCGGAGUGGUCCAUGGUUCCAUGACAUUCUGUAGCUCUUCAUUAACAAUGUCUAUAUAUGUAACAGAGGUCGAUUACUUUGGAGUGUAAUAUAACUUUUCGGGAGAAGUGUUGAUAACAAGAACAAUGAACUUACGUUCACAAAUCAGUAUAUUCCUCCAAUCCCCGGGAGAAAGAAUUAUGAAAUAUGUUCCAGAUCCAGACUGAAAAUAAUCAAAAUAUACUAAGCUAAAGCAGUAUAGCACACACCAAGACUAAGAAAAGCUACGGUUCGUACACGCUUCGGACACGAAAUGAGAAGCUAUUCUAUUUGUUCUCCACUCCUGCCGAGCCUGGCCUGCACAGUCUUAUUGUUUAUAUAGUUAGUUUAAUCUUCUAGCCUCGUACUAAUUACUACUUUCUACUACCAUUUUGAUUAUAUCAAAGACGCUGUCCUCCAUCUUAUACCCUGUUAGAGAUUCCUGACUUGAACGUUCCACCACUAUGACGAACCAAUUCUUCAUGUCUUUCUUUAGAAAACCACGCGAUUUCUUCAUCUUAUUCUUUUGUUUGGAAAAAGAAAGUGUUCAGACUUUUUCUUUCAUGAUCAUCUAGUGUUGGCCUGGUCGCCAAGUGAACAAGAUGGUUUGCUAAUCUAGUAUUCAUGUUGUGAACCAUUUAUCUUCUUCAAUAAGAUCAAAGUUUGGAAUUUUCAGGUAGCUGUUGCUUACCUCUAUCGUAAAACAUAGACAAAGACUUCCACACAAACAGCCAGACUAGAACACUAUAGUAUUUGUAAGUAUAAAAACUAAGGUCAGAUGGGUGGUUGGCCCUUCUCUACGUACCACCACACCGGCUGCACCUCCCCCGUGUGGCUACUGGCAGUGGCAUCAAGAAAAAGAAAAGCUAGCUAAUCGUGUACGAAUAUUCUUUAAGCAAAUGCAUGCAUUUCCCAUACCCAAAAAAUAAGAGACAAACCAAAGCAUCAUUUCCUUACCCCCCACUCCACUACUUUGCCUACUGCUUGUUCUAUAAAUAGCCUUAUUCCUAGGCCUUUCUCCACUCCUUCACCUUAUAGAUCUUCCAAGUCUCUCUUCCAAAUUAGUACAUCAUUCCAAAGAUGGCUUCCGGCUACGAAGUAGAGCUCACGAUUUCUUCCGCCAAAGACCUCAAAAACGUGAAUUGGCGCCACGGAGAGCUGAAACCCUACGCCGUGGUUUGGGUGGAUCCAAACAACAAAUGCUCUACCCACGUGGACGAAUACGGUGACGACUCGCCCACGUGGGAUGAGACGCUCUCAAUCCCGCUACGGGGCCCGGUCGAGGACUCGACCCUCUUCGUGGACGUUAUCCAUGUUAAGGCGGACGAGGACGUUAAGCCUUUGAUCGGGUCCGCGAAACUCCCACUUAGGGAGGUCCUCGAUGACGUGGGGCUCGGUGCGCCGUCCGUUCAUAAGUUGAAACUCAAGCGCCCCUCGGGUAGGCCUCAAGGAAAAUUAGAAGUCAAAGUCACGAUCCGCCCGCCCCGAUACCAAGCACCCGACCCAUAUCACGCCCCCGCGCCAUACGGGUACGGGGUCCCUCCACCGCAGUCGAGAGACUACGGCGCACCUCAGCAGUACAAUUACCCAUAUGCCCCUUCCGCCCAACCCCAAUACUACCAAAGCGUCCCACAAGCAGGGUACGGUUACAAUCAGCAGUCUUACGAUCAGAGUCAGUAUGGGAGUGGCGGGUCGUACGGGUACGGGUCUUCGGAGAAGCCGAAGGAGAAGAGCAAGUUUGGGGUCGGGACCGGAGUGGCUGUUGGCGCUGUAGCCGGAGUUUUGGGUGGACUUGCGAUUGCUGAAGGAGUGGAUUACUUGGAGGACAAGGUAGCUGAUGACGCGGCGGAGAAAGUGGAGGAGGAUCUCGGCUAUGACGAUUUCGGUGAUGAUGAUUGAAACUGAUGAUCGAACAAAAGGAGUCAUAUAUAGGCUUCUGCAUGUGUGUCUUCUUUGCUUUCUCCCUCUUUUAUGUAUUGGUUAUGUGAUACCAUUACUUCUACUGGUUGCUAUAAGCGAUCGGGUAUCAGAUGAGUUCAUGGCCAAUUCACGCAUUCAUUUUUUACUUCUCUUUUCAGUGAUAUUGGGAUGACGGAAAUGCAUCAAAAGCUUGCAAUUACAGUGGUUUUCAGGGAAUCUUCUUAUUUGUGCUCAAAUGACAUGUUUGAUUUGAAAAGUAACUCCCAAAAAAGGGUAUAUUUUGAUACUUCCAUCCAACUUCGAUUGGAAUAUUGCCAUAUAUAUGCCAAUAUGUGAGCUUUUCUUGUACUCUUGUAGUGGCCAAUAUGUCCAAAUUAGUAGAUUGCUCAUUCAAAUAUUGAAAUCCCAACGAAAAACCUAAGUAUGCAUGGUACUCAAUUUUGUAUAUUGAAGCAUUUAAACCCUAGCCUCGCGGUAGGAUCAGAAUGAGAUGGCUAGGACGACAAUAUGGCCGGUCUAUGACAUUUACAAAUGGGCAAGAAAAUGGAGAGCAAGAACUUUUGAUAUAGGUGGAUUUGAAAUACAAUUAUCAGAAGUAGUUAUUAAUGGAAAUACUGUAUUUAAAUUGGUGAAAAAGAAGACUAAACAUUUGGGUUUUGGUACAAUAUAUUGAUAUAAGGUUCUGGAUGAGAAUUCGAAGCUUAUUUGACCUCCAGGGUCCAUCCCUUCUUGUCCUCGAGACGAGCAGUUUGGAUUCCUGUUAGCGUUUCAUACAGCUUCUGAGAUACUGUUCCCUCCCAUGUUUUGUACUCCACUCUGCAACAGUGACAUGUAGAAAAAAAGUUUAUGUCGUUGAAGUAAUUAAAUAAUAGCUAGCUGAUCACAUAUAAAACAAACUUGUUUGCGAUUUGUCACACUGAUUGUUACAUUAGAAUCUAAUACGACACUGUUAUUGCAAGCACCUUUUAGUGUCAUAAGUUACUGAACCAACAGGGUUGACAGUCACGGCAGUUCCGGUGCAGAAGGCUUCAUCAGCUUCAAGCAAAUCCUCCAGCGGAAUUAGACGCUCCUCCACCUGAUUCACAAAUCAUCAAGAGAAUAUAUAUGUUCUCUGAAAGUUAAUUUCAUGUACAAAAAGUAAUGUCUGAAUUGUACAGUUCAGCUAGCUGAUUGUAGCUUAUAUGUUGAUCUAGCUAAUCAUGGAGGAGAAAAAUGGUGUUCACCUGAUAACCUAAAUCAAGGGCAAUCUCCAUUAUGCUUGAACGAGUAACUCCGGGCAGAAUAGUUCCAUGUACUAAUGCUGGAGUGGAAAUAACAUUAUCCUACAACAAUAGAAGUGCAUUUAUUUUGUGUGAAAAUUCAUAAUAGUUAGAAUAUAUUUGUUUAAGAGUAACAGAUCAUUGGUAGUACCUUGACAAUGAAAAUGUUAGCAGCAGAUAUCUCCUCAAUACAUUUACCGGUUACAGAAUCCAGGUAUAAGAUAUCAGAGAACCCUUUGGCUCUUGCUUGCUUCUGUGCCUGGUAAACCUAUAAGAAAGAAACGAAGUUGAGAAAGUAUUACGCACUAUAUCAAAGUUCAGGAUUACUCUCAUGUGUGUUAGACAAACAUAUAUAGAUCGAUAUCAUAUUUAUAUCAUGCUUAAUUACUGGUGCAUAAUUGGUGAUAGACUUGAUCCCUCCAGUUCCACCGGGGGUAGCUCUACGGAGUUUAUCCUCAACAUACAGGUUCAGGGAUGUCCUUCCCUAUUAUGUAGAAUUCCUAAGUUAUUAGUCAAGUUGAAAAUGUAUAUCAUAUUAAGACAUUAGACAUGCAUAUAUGCAGACAAGAAGAAAUAUUACCUUGUGGUAAUUACCAACCGGAGAAGAGUUACCAACCGGAGAAGCAUAUAUCAGGAAUGUGCACUCUGGUGCCGGUCCAACACUAAGAACAGAUCCACUUCCCAUGAGCAAAGGCCUAAGAUAUAGUGAUCCUUUUCCUGGAGGUGGUACCUAUAUAAAAUCCCAGCCCUUCAUUUUCAUUAAACUAGAUCUGAUGGUAAAGAGCCUAUCCCUAUAAAAGAUCCAAAAAAAGGGAUCCCUCAUUAGAAGGGUUCUGUAUAGUUAUAUACCAUACACAUGUUUAGAGAUAAAUAUUUUCCAAUUGACCAUGAAACAGGUUCAUUAGAUCAUCAUCCCAAAAUGUUUCCUAGCCUGACAAGGAUUUAUAUACGUACUUUAUAAGUUGUAACUUAAGAAUAUAUAAUAGUACCCAACGCUUAUUGGCGAGGACAGUUUGCUUCACAGCAUCAACAAAUUGCUCUACGGAUGGAGAGGGCAUGCACAUCCUCUCUGCACCCAUCUUCAUUCUUAGAGCAUUCUCUUCCGGCCGGAAUAGCAUAAUACGACCAUCUUCUGUUCUCACGGCCUUAAGAGCUUCCAAUAUUCCCUGCAGAGAUCGAUGUAUAUAUAGGCAUUCGUUGUAUCAACUAAUAUAUGGGUCAACAAUCUGUGUAUAUAUAUAUAUAUAUAUAUAUAUAUAUAUGUUUAAUAUUUUCUGACCUACAUACCUGUCCAUAAUUCAAGAUUCCAGCAGAUGGACAAAGCUCAAUAUUCCUAUAGGGGAUGAGAUGUCCUUGUGAAAAGAUAUUUCCAUCGGAGCAGUUCAUGGUGUACAUGAAAUCAGUUGGAGUUAUUACAAAUCCCAGUUCAUCCCAUUUGACACCAUCAGCGUACUUUUCACCAUCAUCACUGCAAGUUGAGAGAGAAAAUAAGAUCUAAUGAUCGAUACCGAAGAACCAGUAUGAAGAAACGUACAUGAAUGAGUAAAUUGACGUGGUAAUAUUAAGAACAAAAUUAAGGUCCUAAUUUAGGGUUAAACUUAUUUAUCUGAAAUUAAGUACCUGUGGUUGAUAGAUUCAGAAGUUGUCUGCAAAUCUGAAGAAGCUGCCAUAGCUGCAGACUGUAAGAAAGACUUGGCGAGCGCGCUGUAAUUAGUUUCGCAAGUGGUUUCUAAUUACAUUUGUGUUAACAAAAGUGGGUUGGUGGCUUUUGGAGGCCAAGGCCAUGGCUAAUAAUGUCAACAGAACGAAGUAACGGUGAAGCUACCAUUUUUGUGUUUGGUACGAAUAUUUGCCUUUGAAGCCGGCGGGUUAGAUUAGUACGUAGUCAUGUUCAAAUAAUAAUUUGAAUUUUUUCAAUUCAUUAAUUUGCUACGGAUCGGAUGUCAUCUUUUAGCUAGUAGCAGGUAAGUGACGAUUUGAAUGGGCUAUAAUUACUUAUUUUCACUUCUGAAAGAUUAUUGUGCGCAACAAGAUAGGAGCAUAACCAGUAUCCGUAAAUUCUCUUUAACCAGGGGAGCAUAAGCGAAAUACAGGAAAAUAUAUAUGAUGUAUUUAACCUGGAUAAAGCUAAAAACACAGAGAGUAAAAAGGCGAGAAAGAAAAGACAAUAAGCUACAUGUACAAAACUCGUCAGCAGUCACAUUCACUGUUUAAAAUCCAAAUAUUAUACCUGAAACUGAAUUGCAUAAUAACUUAAGUCAAGAUCGUUUCACAAUAAACACAAACACAGAACUGUAGAAAUAAAAAACCAAUAGCUUAAAGAGUUUCCUAGUUGCUCUAGGUGAUUACCAUAAGGACCAGCAUCAAUUGGGGUUCCAUUCACGGUAGUCAUCUUCUCAGCAACACAACUGCAAUCUCACAAUACACAAAACCAAGGAAAAUCUUCUAUGCUAGACUACUGUUUCUUCACAGAAUGGGACUGUUAUUUCUUUAGGAAAAACGUCGUUAGCAUAGGGACUUUCUAUUGGUAUAUAUAGUGGCCUAGAAACAUAACUCGUGCUCAUCCCAUAAGGAGUCCGGAUUCACUUAAUGUUUAUUUAUCUCAAGAACUCAAUGUUGAUCAGGUUAAUCAACUUGAUAAGUCUCCAAUUUCUAAUGAGAGACAUACACCUCAAUAGGUAACAGGAUAGAGUUUUAUAUUUAUAUUUCUACUGAUUAUAUUCAAGUUAAUCUCAAAACUAUUUUAUGUAGACAAAGAUAAAUGCAGUGUUCAAUAUUAUUUUCCAACAAUCUCCCACUUGGACCAAGUUAUCUUUGUUCAUAGUAAUUGAGAUGUAAUCAGAAUUGUAACAGUUCUAAAGUGCGCAUUGAAAUAUAAGAAUAACUCAUAGCUUAUCCAGCUUGGUCAAUAUGCAGAAAUGAUGCAGAACCUAAGAUUGAAUUUAAUCAGAAGACUAAAUCAAUUGAAGAUCACUAACACCAGAUACUGCAUACCACACAAGCAUAGUAAGAUACACAGAAGAGCAAAAUAGAAUAUGUCUAUCUUGAAUUUCUUUUGCUCAAGUCCUCUGAAUGAUUUUGAAUAAACCAAAAUCUUGUCAGCAAGCUGUAGUACAGUGAACCUGUCACUUGCUUUUCUUAACCUGCAUAAUGGUUCACUUCAUGAUAUAUUUACACAUUCAUAUACAUAUAUAUACAUACUUAUAUAUAUAUAUAUAUAUUAAUCAUUUAGAAGAUAUGAAUUUUGAAAAUUGAACUUUAUUGAUGAAUAAGAUACAAUGGAAUGAAAUGAUCCUAAAAAUUGAAUAGAAAUCUACUCAUGAUGAGAACUAAAAUACCUAAAAAUGAAAAGGUGACUCCCAACAGAACUCAGGCAUCUAAAUCUGAGAGNNNNNNNNNNNNNNNNNNNNAUUUUCUGUGUCAAUAUUGAGUACUUCUAUGUCACCCAAUUCAACCCUUUGUCUCACACUGUAGUACUUAAGGUCCAAGUGUUUUGAAUUGUUUGAUCUUUUUGCUGUUCUUGGCAAAGCAAACAGCUGCUUCAUUGUCACAGAACAUCUUAAGUGCUCCCUGAACUAUGAAUUUUAGAGCUUCAAUCUGUAUCAAAAAAUUCCUGAUCCAUAAGCCUUCACAGACUCCUUCAUACAAAGCUAUGGACUCAGCUUGCAUUGUGGAGGUGGUAAUUAAUUUCUGUUUCAUGGUUCUCCAUGUCACAGCACCUCCUACAAGCAUAAAAACAUAGCCACUUGUGGACUUCAUGUCAUUAGGAUAUUCACCUGCAAAAUCUGAAUCGGUAUAACCUAGUAACUCAAGCUUUUCAACUUUUCUGUAGACUAGCAAGUGAGACUUAGUUCUCUGUAGAUAUCUUAAGACUUUCUUUCCUGCACAUCAAUGUUCAUGACUAGGAUUUGACUGAUACCUAGAUAAAAUGCCUACAACAAAAGCUAUGUCAGGUCUGGUGCAGACCUACGCAUACAUCAAACUACCAAUUAACCCUGCAUAAGGCUUACUGUCCAUAAGCUUGUCACCUUCAUACUUCCCCCCAUUUUUAGUGAUUUUAGUGAGCUUAUCACCCUUAGACAUAGGGACUGGACUAGGAUUACAAGUUUCCAUAUGAAAACGUUUCAUAACCUUACAGAUGUAAGCAUUCUGUGAUAAACCUAAAGUUCCUUGUUUCCUGUUUCUCUUAAUUUCAAUCCCCAAAACAAAAUGAGCUUCACCUAGGUCUUUCAUAUCAAACUUGCUAGAUAAAAAGUUUUUUGUGGCUUUUAGCAGUUUCAUAUUAGUGCUGGCUAACAUGAUAUCAUCUACAUACAAGAUGAGAAAAAUAAAAUUCUUCCCAACUGUCUUUAGGUAUACACACUCAUCAACUGUAUUUUCUGUAAAACCAAAAGAUGAAAUUACUGAAUGAAACUUCUUGUACCAUUGUCUAGAAGCCUGCUUAAGUACAUAAAUUGAUUUUUGAAGUUUGCAUACAUAGUUUUCCUUUCCAGGUUCCACAAAACCCUCAGGUUGCUUCAUAUAGAUUUCUUCUUCUAAUUCUCCAUUGAGAAAUGCAGUUUUAACAUCCAUUUGAUGAAGUUCCAUAUCAAAAUGUGCUACUAGAGCCAUGAUAAUCCAAAAGGAAUCUUUAGUGGAUACAAGAGAAAAAUUUUCAUUAUAAUCUAUUCCUUUUUUUUGUGUGAACCCUCUAGCCACAAGCCUAGUUUUAUGUCUCUCGGCGUUUCCUUUCUCAUCUCUUUUUGUUUUAAAAACCCAUUUACAACCUAUGGCGUUAUGUUGUGGAUUUGGUUUUACUAGUUUCCACACUGAAUUUUGUCUCAUGGACUGAAGUUCAGCUUCCAUGGCCAACUGCCACUGUUCUUGAUGAUGUUCAUCUUCAACAGCUUGCCUAUAGGUUUCUGGAUCAUUGUCUUCUGCAAGAAGCUCAUCCAUUUCUUGCAAAUAGACAAUGUAGUCACUGUUUUCAUCAUAAGUGGGUUUUCUUUGUCUUUGGGAUCUUCUAAUUGAUGGUUUAGCAAUUUCUGGUUGUUCUGCAGUUUCUAGCUCUAUGUUUUUAUUGUUUUCAGCUGCAACAUGAUCAUUUUCUGCUGGUUUUUCUUCUACUACAAUUGGAUUUUGAUAUAUGUUUUGAGUUUGCAUAUUUUCUGAAUUUGUGGUUUGAUCAUGCAGUAAGCGUAGAUAAGCUUUUAACAUUUCAUCAUUUGAGACUUCCUCAAAAUCUGAAGAAAGAUCUUCAAAAACUGAGUUAUGUAUAGUCUCAUCUAGGAAUUUUGCUUGACCUGUUUCAAAAAUCCUUGGUGAAUGUUUAGCUACAUAAAACUUAUAACCCUUUGAUUUUUCACAAUACCCUAUAAAAUUGUAACUCACUGUUUUGGACCCCAAUUUUUCAGUUAACUCAUUUGGUAUUUUAGCUUCGGCCUUGCAUCCCCAUACAUGUAAGUGGUGCAGGCUUGACUUUUUGCCACACCAAGUCUGAAAAGGUGUUGUUUCUACAGCCUUGCUGGGUGCUCUAUUGCAAAUAUAAUUUGUAGUUCUUAAGGCUUCACCCCACAAGAAUUUAGGCAGACCUAAGGUGCACAUCAUGCUCCUCACCAUAUUUAGGAGUGUUCUAUUUUUUCUUUCUGCUACUCCGUUUUGUUGAGGGUUGUAGGGAUUAGUGUAUUGGGCCUUAAUGCCAUGUUCCUGAAGGUAAAUAGCAAAAGGUCCUUUUGCUGGCUUGCCUUAGUAUAUCGAUCUACCAUAAAAUUCCCCUCCUUUAUCAGAUCUCACAUUUUUAAUUUUUCUUUCAAGCUGUAGCUCCACUUCAGUUUUGUAAAUUUUAAAGGCUUGGAGUGCUUGUGAUUUUUCUGAUAAUAAAUAAGUAUCUUGAAUAGUCAUCUGUGAAAGUUAUGAAGUAUGUGUUUUUACAUAUAGUUUCAUGCCUAAGGGGUCCACAUAUAUCUGUGUGUAUAAGUUCUAAGAGAUUUUGGCUUCUUACUGCAGUUUUGUUGUGUUUGUUAGCCAAUUUUCCCUUAUAGCAUUCCACACAUUCAUUUAGAUCAUUAAAGUUAAGUUCAUAUAGAGUCUUAUUUUUGAUAAGUGUUUUAAGCCGGUCCUUAGAAAUAUGCCCUAAUCUUCUAUGCCAUAAAAAUGCAGACUUAUCAUUAUGAAGUGAUCUUUUAACACCAACAGUAGUGUUAUUUUUAAGUGUGUUUUCAUUAUAUUCAAUUAACAUAAUAUCUGGUUUUGCAACAGAACAGUUUAAUUGUAAAUAAUCAUUAACAAAAACACCACAUCCAAGAUAAUCUGAACCUUGAAAAAUUUGUAAUCCAUUAUGAUCAAUGAUUAGUUUGCAUCGCAACUUAACUAGCAAAGAAAUUGAAAGCAGAUUCCUUUUAAGGGAAGGAAUAAAGAAAACAUUAUCUACAAAAAGACUUUUAUUUGAACCUAAAUCCAACUGAAGUGAGCCAAUGGCUUUAACAGCCAUCUUCAUGCCAUUUGCCACGCAGACUGUAUUCUCAUGCCUCUGAGGUGCCCUCCUGCUUAGCAAACCUUGCAUUGAGUUGGUUAUAUGAAUUGGUGAGCCUGAAUCUAACCAAAAUGAGUUUGCUUUCACAUUUAUGAAGUUUACUUCCAAAGCAAAUGCAGUUUUAUCAAACAAAGAAACAGAAUAAUAACCAAAAAAAUUACUGAAAUCAAUUAAAGAAUUAUAGCUCUUACCUUUCUUCACCAUCCACUUUUUGAAGCCAUCACAGUUCUUCUUGAUAUGGCCAACCUUUAUGUAGAAAAAACAUUUCACUUUAUGCAAUUUUUCAGCAGCAGCAGCAGCAGGGAGGCAAGCCUUCUUCCCAUCUUUCUUGAAUUUGUUCUUCUUUGGCCUGAGGGUGAUGUCCCUCUUUCCCUUGUACUUUCGUACAAGGUUGACAGAUGUAGUUGGUGCCUUCUCCUUCUGAUCCUUCAAUAUUCUGUUUUGUUCAUUGACGCAGAUGGAGAUCAGUUCAUCAAUCUCCCAUUUUUCCUUUGUAGUUACUCUUAAAAUUUCCAUAUUCAGCAGGAAGAGAUUCAAGAGCUAUAUGCACCACCUGUGCAUCAUUGACCCCCAUUUGUAGGUCCCUCAGCAUGUUGUUAAUUUCUUCUAGCUGCAUCAGGUGAGUUCUGAUGUUUCCUCUGUCGUUGAACUUCAGUUCAUGUAGCUUUCUUGAUAAUCUUGCCCCUUCUGCCUUGCUACAUUCCUUGAACUUCUGCCUUAUGGCAUCCAUGAAGUCAAUAGCCAGCUCUGGUUCCACCACACAGCUCCUAACAGUAUCUGAGAUGGUCCUUCUGAUGACAUUCUUUGCCAUCCGGUUGGCUCUCCACCAAUCAUUGUAGUAUUUCCUGUCCACAGCAGUGCUGUCCUCAUCAAGCUCCUCAGUCUGCUCUUCAUUUAGGCACAUAUCCAUGUUCAGAUUCAUGGACAUGUAAAAUUCAACUUGAUUACGCCAUUUCUGAAAGUUCAGUCAUGUGAGCAAGUGGAUUUGUCCUAGUGUCACCACCUCAACUCCUAAAAUGAUUAAAAUCAAUGCAAAUGAGUUUCAAAAUUCAUGCAUAUAUAUAUAUAUUUGAAUAUGUGUAUAGUACUGCAGUAUACAUUUCAGCCUAUAUAGUUAAACAUGUAAGUUUAGCUACUGAAAACAUAUCUAAAAGUUCCAUAAAGUUCAUACCAGAUAACACAUUUGUGGUAUAAAUCUGAUAUCUUAAUAUUCUAAAUGUAUUACCACAAUCAUGUACUCUUAGAUAUAUGUUAAAAACAGUCAAUAUCUUUGGUAGGAUAAAGAAAAGUCUCAACAUAUCAGAAGUAAAAAUACAGAUCAUACAAGACACUAUUAUUUAAAAUAAAAUUGUACAUGUAAAUAUCUCUUUGGAGACCACAAGACAAUACAGCUUUAUAAACAAUAACACAAGUUUUGAUUCUUCUUCAGCUCUCUAAACAUGAUAGUAAAUGUUACUUUGUGCAACAUAAUUAAUACCACAUCUAGAGUUUUAUGAAUCAUUGAAGUUUAAGAUUUAGGUUUCAGUUUAAGAAACAUCAAAACUUCAUUUUAUGAAUGCAAAAAAUAUGAGGCUAUAACCAAAUUGGGAGAAUUAUAUAUCCAUUAUGUAUUUUGCAUUCAUACAGUAUGCACUUUAGUAGUCUUAUGCAUCAGUUGAUCAAUUUGCAUACGAGAUAAAAGUUUAUUCAUGUAUAUAGUUCAUCAUAUGGAUUAAGUUCUUAACUAUGAUUGAUAUAUGCCUAUGGGUACACGAAUUCAAAACCAUCACCACAGUAUUCCAAUUUCGUAUUCCCAAAUUUCAAACAUAGAAAUGAAUCUCAUAAGAACUAAAUUUAGGUCUUACCUCGGCAUCAGCAUCAUUCAUCUGCAAUAAAAAUUUAACGGAAGCAAAACGAAAAAAGCGCAACCAAUAAGUCCUAAUCUUAUUCUAAGUUUUCUGGAUUUGAAUCCCAUCUGAGGUGAUUAGCCUCAUAUGCCAAGGUUAUCCGUUCCAAAUAAAAAACAACAAAAGAAACAAGUUGGGUUUUAAAACCGGGUUGUUAAUGGACUCGGGCUUUAGGCUGAAACUGUAGGCCCAAAAACAAGAACAAUGAAUUUCCUCUAUUGGUUUUACUGAUUCAAAACUUUAAUCCAUUUGUGAAAUUGUGAAGAGCCAUUGGCUCUGAUACCAUAUAUUAUACCUGAAACUGAAUUGCAUAAUAACUUAAGUCAAGAUCGUUUCACAAUAAACACAAACACAGUACUGUAGAAAUCAAAAACCAAUAGCUUAAAGAGUUUCCUAGUUGCUCUAGGUGAUAACCAUAAGGACCAGCAUCAAUUGGGGUUCAAUUCACGGUAAUCAUCUUCUCAGCAACACAGCAACACAACUGCAAUCUCACAAUACACAAAACCAAGGAAAAUCUUCUAUGCUAUACUACUUGUUUCUUCACAGAAUGGGACUGUUAUUUCUUUAGGAAAAACGUCGUGAGCACAGGGACUUUCUACUGGUAUAUAUAAUGGCCUAGAAACAUAACUCGUGCUCAUCCCAUAAGGAGUCCGAGUUCACUUAAUGUUUAUCAGAUACAAGUCUUUAGGUUUAUCUCAAGAACUCAAUGUUGAUCAGGUUAAUCAACUUGAUAAGUCUCCAACUUCUAAUGAGAGACAUACACCUCAAUAGAUAACAGGAUAGAGUUUUACAUUUAUAUUUCUAUUGAUUAUAUUCAAGUUAAUCUCAAAACUAUUUUAUGUAGACAAAGAUAAAUGCAGUGUCCAAUAUUAUUUUCCAACACCAAAUAGUUCAGCAACUCUCCCAUAUGGACCAGAAAAGAAAAAUUUUAAGAAAAAUGAAUAAAUAAAAAACAAAGAAGCCAUGCAUACACUGGUAUAAUGGUAUUCAACUAUUUUCAAAAAUUUCCAGGCCGGCCAACUUAAACGGUUACAAGUGAAUGCUGGAAAUCCAUCAUUGUUUUUUUUCGAAUACCAUUGGUACGUACAUACAUCCAUUUCUGGAUACCUUCCUAGAUAUUGUUGUCCUGUAAACAAACUUCCGCUCAUCGGAACCACAACCUUCUCCUGCCCUUCGAGGAAGAGGACUUGGGCCUCCACAACACUUCUACUACCUGCACACAAAAAAAAAAAAAAAAAAAA
rnacentral:lncRNA from 1 species